CGCUAGCUACCGAUCUAUCUACACAAGUAAGAUAAUUUUUCUCUACAUAUUUUCUGCAAUCCUCAUCUCAUCUCCUCGAUCCCCACCUUACACUUCAAUGGUGCAAAAGGAAUCCGAGCACAACGAAAAUCCUAUCAACCAAUAAGCCCAUUGACACCUCCAUAAUUUACCAAUCAAAGAAAAGCUUAUGGGUUCAAGAAAUAAAGACUUAAGCUUUGGAGUUUUGGGCUCCAUAUCCUAACAUUUCCUAUCUCUCAAAAUGGCCCCUCUUGUUCAACCUUUGUUCUAAUAACCAACCACAUCCUCCGCAUCAACUCCCAACCUACAAAGAAAUAUUUCUUUGUGUGUUUAAAUUUGAAGACGAUGUAGCUAGAAGGAGAGAGGAGUAUCAAAUGUCAUUAAUUGGAAAAUACAUUUACUAUACUAUAUUUGAAAACUAUACUUAAAAGAAAGUGAUAAAAUAUGGUUGAAUUGAAACCCAAUUGAGAAGUAUUCACACAUAAAUUAUAUUAAAAGCAAGUAUACAUAUAUGUAUGUAUGUAUCAAAAAUCAUCACAAGUAAGAAAAAUAAAAGGACGAAAAAAUAAAAAUAGAAAUGAACAAACUUUGAUUUGAUUUCUAAACCAAAUGAAUCCGUCUAGGAUCAGUGAUAUUAAUGCUCCAAUGCUGAUCCUCAUAGCCAAUAUUCUUAGCCAUUUUCCUAUCCCAAUCCAACUCAAUCCUCCUUCUCUCUGUAAGCUUACAAAAUGAUUGCAACUUCUCAUCCAUCGCGUCAUGUAGCUUCCACCAUCUUUGGUGAGCCACAUCGCUAGCGUAAACCCGUUGGUCGUCUAUGUUCCAAUUGCAAUCGUAGUCCCUAUAGCAUAACCAUGGCUUCAAACCUAAGUAAUGUAUCGCAUAAAGCUUCGGUGGAUCCGCUCCGAACAUCUCGUUCUUCACACUCCUCUCUAGUGUUGUGUUCGACCAAAAGUUCUUUAGGAAGUUUGUUCGUCGUGGUAGCCUGUGCCACCACACGAACACUUCGUUCAGAAAUCCUGUUAACAUUAUAUCAAUAAUACAAGAUAUUAAACUUCUAGUUAUAAAUUAAACACAACUAUUAUUCCGGCCGGUCGAAAAAAAGAAAACUGUAAUCUGAAAGCAUUCGAGUUAAAAAGUGAUCUAACCUUGAUCACCUCCGUUGUAGGAGACGAUCUCGUCACGCCGCUCCAUGAAAACACGAAACGUACAAUUGGAGGGCUCGAUGACCAUGAUACCAGAGUUGAAGAUGGAGUUGUCAUUGCCGACCGCGGACAUCUGAGGGAAAUGAAAGAGUAGGUCGAGAUUGCGAAGAACGAUGAUGUCAGCGUCAAUGAAGAUGAUCUUGUCGUAGUCAGUUAGCUGCCAUAGCCGAAACUUGCUGUAGUUGUAUUCAUUGUAAGAGUCUUUCUCGGCUCGCGGGUUUCGGAUCCGGGUUAUGAUCCGGAUCUUCCACCCGGCUGAGACCAAGGCAGCGCGUUUGGGCAUGGAGAUAGAUUCGUCCAUUAGGAGAAUAAGAUCGCGCUUUGUUCGGGUUUGGAGUAGGCUUUGAGCCAGGGUAAUGGCGCCGCACACGUAAGCUUCUGAAGAGUGGAUUACCGUGGCGUAUGCUUCUCGUUUUACCGUCUUUGUUAAACUUUGGAUUUUGGAAAGAUCGUACACUUUCUCCACUCCUAUAAUUACAUGGACAUCCACGUCAGCAUGAAUAUAACACCAUGGAAAUUUGUAGGAAGAAAAUCAAUAAUUUAACACAUCAAAAGAGUAUGUUCGUAACUAAGUUAGUUGCGAAUUUAACGUAAACACAAAUCAUUCCCACGUGGGACCCCGAUGAUAAAAAGAAAAGAAAAAGGCCAAUUUCAAUUCUCAACCAAAACUCAACCAACUCUUAACUUAGUAAUCAAGCAACCAUCUUCUUCCUCUCCAAUCCCCCAUUUGAAAAACAUUCAGAUUUUGAAAGUUCUAAAUCGAAAUCAUCAUAUAUUCAUAUUCAAUAUAACUCAAAUACACUUAACAUCUUACUUGCAUGUUAUGUACAUAUGAGUAACGUACCUCGAUCCCAAAUGGGCAUUGCCAAUUGACAAGACCCAAUCGGCAAUGAAACCUUUUGCUCCAACCUACUCAUCUCCGGCUCAUAAAACCACCAAUCUCCCUCUCGCCCGAUCAAGUCGUUGCAUCGAAAAAGCUCCAUCAUCGGUCGACAUUUGCUCAAAAACGCCACCUUCGUUCGGGAAAACCAGUCCCUCUUACCUUUCUUUGCAGCCAUGUUCGCCGCAAUCAAAUGUAUUUGAAGUCGGAAUACGUCCCUCCCCCAACUCUCCUCCGGGUAUUGACAUGGCAGCUUCGCCACUAUCAUGUCGACUUUUUUAUAUCUUCGAUAAUCCGGUAAUGGUAUCUCUGGACAUGAUGCACCAUCAAGGUCUUCCUCUUCGUCAACCCACUCCGGAAACAAAUGCUUCCACUCGAAAAAUUUGGACACCUGUUGACGAAGAAUGUGAAUAAGUGAUGAUGCUUGACAUGACUUUUCAAGUACUUACAAAUCAAACAUUUAUACGAAGACCACCUUCUCGAAACCGACAUGUAUGAUAUCAAAACUCGACUCCCAUUCACUGACAUCUUCUUCAUCCAAAUUCACCAUCCCAAUUUUUGUUGAUUUCCCCAUUUUCUUCCAAAGCUUCAUUGGUAUUUCCAACUUUGUCAUAUUCCUCCUCAAAUGUAAAGGCAAUCUUGGUUCAGUCUCCUCCAAAACUGCCUUCAUCUACCAAAUUAAAACCAAUUUUUCAAUACAGAGAGUUCAAAAAAAUAUACAGUAAUUAAGUUUAAGUAAUAUAUAUAACAUUAUUUCAACCAUCAAUUAAAGCAGUACACACAAAAAAAAAACAACACUAAGUUUAGCUCACCUAACCUUGGGAUGACACUCGUGUAAAGAACACGAGACGAAGGAAGCAGCAUUGAGAGAAUACGGGGCGAAAGACGAAGAAGGACGGGGAAGGAGGAGGGCAGCAUAAAUGAGCAAGAAGAAAGCCAGAAAGAACAAGUUGACUCUGAUUAUCAAAGCUUUAGCCUUCAACAUUCUUUGAAGACCCAAUCCUUCAACCAUGUUUGAAUUAAUUGCUUUUUGGGAGAGUGAAGAAAAUUGGAGAUGGUUUUUUAUAUAACAAACAGGCUUUUGUAUAUAAUAUUGGAAAUGGUUAAGAAUGAUUAGAGAGGAGGAAUGUAAUAAUAUAGUAUUUGAUUAUGAGAGAAUUAGGAAGAGAUUAAUUGGGAUUUAAUUAAAAGAGCAAAAGUAGAGUAGAGAUUAAUUAAAAGAAAGUUGAACCAUUGUGAUGCCUCCAAGUGUCACUUUAUUUGGAAUUUAGAUUUCCUUUUCUUCUGAACAAACACAAACAUCAAGGAAAAUAAAAAAAAUUAGCUAAGGUUGGAGCAAUUUAGGGUUUUCUUUGCCAUGUUGGGUAGUGUUGGAUAGUUGUUAUAUGUAUUUGGUAAUAUUUGGCAUACCCAUAGAACUCAAUCUUUAUUUCGUAUUUCCCAAUAUGUCCUUUCCCUUAAUUAGUUAUGUACCUCUCCAUCAAACUAGGAAACAAUUACUAUAACAUAUCCAUAUUUUCUUAAUUUUUAUUUUGAAAUCAAAUUCUUCUAAAUUUAUAUAUAUAUAUAUAUAUAUAUGACCAAUUAAAAAUAAAAUGAAUAUAAAGUGAAAGUGUACGAGUAAUCUAGAAGGUGAGUGAUGGGUAUAAUUGUAAAAUGGGGGUUCCAGGUGGAGAGGCGAGGGAAAGAAAGAGGAAAGUUUGUUGGGGAGUCGGCUUCGUGCAUGCAGUGAAAUGUCGCUUUUAUCCGUUAGCAAAUCGCAAGUCUCCACCAAUUCCAAAAUUUCCCUCAUUUUCUUUUUUAUUUCUUUUACAUAAUUUCCACUUCGUUCAUUCGUCGUCGUUUAGUGUCACAAGUAAGUUUGCUUUCACUUUAGGUUGGAAUAGCAAUAGGGAAAACGACACCGUAAAGUAACCACCAACUUUCUUCUAUUUUUCCACAAAGGCUCAUUAAUUAGGAUCAAAUGGCAAUAGCUAGCGUUUUAGUUAUGGUGAACCAUCCCAUUUCAUUUCACAAUUAUUGCCAUAAAACUUACCCUCUUUUGUUUUUUUUAAUCUAAUAAAUAUUCGUCUCAACAUCAUAGUUUUCGAUCGAAAAAAGAAAAAAUAAUAACACCAUCAUCACAUCUACAUGUACUUUAAUGAAUUCAGCAACAUUUGAGGUAUAUAUUGAUGUUGAGGAUAUUAGUUUCACCAUAAUAUUGUUUACUGCAACCAUAUAUAACAAUAUAUCAAUAUCUUUACUUAGCUUAGUAGUAAUUUUAGGUUUUUAAUACACUCUAGACGUCCUUACAUCUAAUCCUAAUGUGUUUAGAUUUUUUAUUUUUCAAAAAAGUGUACUAAAUUAUAACGUCUUUUAGAUCUUUCUAACGAUAUGAUGUUUUUAUUGAAUAAUAAACAUAUCUUUAUAAAAAUAAUAAUGACACUAAAAAUACAAGAAAUUAAAGAAAAAUACUAAUUUGGAGAAUUCAAAUUAACUUAUAUGUUAAUACCAAUGGAGUUCAUCACUUAACUCUUAACGAAAAAAAAUUUAUUUUUAUCAAGAAAUUAUUUCAGCCUCUAUACGGUUUCUAUGCCCUCUACCAUUAUUAUUACUCUGAUAAACACACAUGAAGAAAAACCCUACUUUAUAUUCUCAAAAUUGUUAUCAUUCUCAUCAAGGUAAAAGGUAAAGAAAAAAAAGCGUGCAAAUAUAAUUUGUACAUGAAAAACACACUUUUUAAACAUAUUAUUCUAUUUUUUUUAUUAAAUUAACGAAAGACUAAUUAUGUCAUUUUCAAGUAUAGCAUCAAAAUGAAAUAUAUAUAUAUAUAUAUAUAUAUAUAUAUAUAUAUAUAUAUAUAUAUAUAUAUAUAUAUAUAUAUAUUUUUUUUUUUUUUUUUUUUGCAAAAGACUACUUAUCAAAUUUCCGUUCUAUCCCAAUAAACAUAAAUAAAAUUUUGUUGUGUUUUGUAAAUAUUUUUUUAAAUUUUGUUCUUUACCAUAAUACUCUUAAUUAAUUAUCCUUCCCAACAACUAUGAUCUUAAAAAUUUUAUUUUUUCAUUAUUUCAAAUGUAUGACUCUAGUUAAAUUUAUGGAUAUAUAACUUUAAAUUUAAUAAAAGUAAAACUAUUAAACUCUUUUCCUAUCCCUUACAUUCAAAUUUUUAACACUUUUAAAAAGUGAAAAAAGAAAAAUGAAUUUAUGGUUGUGCAACUUGUGGGUGAGACUUUAGGGUAUGCCCAACAAAAGGAAUUUAUGGUUGUCGAUUAUGAGCGAGUCUAAAUUGGAUGCGGCCCAUGCUACACCAUCUCCAUACCUUUCCUUCCAUCAUAAUACACACACACAUAUGUAGAGAAUUUUGUGAUGUGACAAUCUACAAUUGAACAUUGGUAUUGGUAUAAAAUGCCAAAGAUGAGUACAACUAAGAAUAUACCUAAAUAUAUAUAUAUAUAUAUAUUGUUAAAAAAAAUAAGAGAAUAAACUUUAAAUGAUAAAUGAAUGGUAAAAAAGGACCAUUUAAAUAUAUUUUAAAAUAAAAUAGGUAAAAUAGGAAAUGUUCUUAUAGCACUCUUAUUAAUUUAAAUUUUUUAUUUGUAAAUUUAGCAUGAGCAUGAAGGUCGGUUGGAUUUUUAUAAAAUUUUCAAACUAUAUAUAUAUUAGCACGAUCCAUAGUCACACUUCCAACUCUAUAUUAGAAAAAUUCCAUCAAAUGAUAAAAACAUUUAGAAAGAAUAGUUUAAGAUAUAUUUUUUUUUUCAUAUUACAAAUAUAGCAAAUUAGUGAUAUCGAACACCUACUUCUUUUAAAUUUGUUAUUUUUAUAUAUUUAGAAAAUAUUGUUAUAUCGACUCUUCUAUUAUAAUUUUUUUUUGUUGCUAUGGAAAGCUCUUAUAUUUUAAUCAAGGUCUAAAGUUUGACAUUCUAAUGGAAUUUUUAGACUACAUUUUCCUCACCGCGUGGUAUAAAGUUAAAUUUUAGACUAUGAAUUGGUCCAUAGUUGGUUUUAAACCACAUAGUAAAGAAUAACUUUGUUGUCAUCUAAAAUUAAAAUAUUUUUAUAAGUCGUAUAUAUCUAUAAACAAAUCUUUUUCACGGUUUUUUUAAAUUUUAACCGUGGUACGUAGUAUUGAAUAUUUUGUAACAAUUUUUUUUUGUUAAUAUGUAAGGUAGAUGAAUCAAACCUCUAAUUUUGAAGUUAAUACCAUAAAUAUUAUGACAAUUGUUGAGUAUUAAACAACUAUUUUUGUUACUAUGAUUAAAGUUUGACUUUUGGACCAUCAUUUAAAUAAAACUAGUUUGAUUUUUUAUUUAUUUAUAACUUGUUUCUUAAAAGCCAUAGAAAGUAGAAGGAUUUUGAAGAUGAUGGUUAAGAAAAAAAACUACAGCAUAUCAACUCUUGUUCAUUUAUUGUGUAGUUUAAUGAGUUUAUUUGAACAAAAUUAUUCAAUGAGAACCUACUUGACCCUACAACAUUUAGGUGUAAAAGAAAUUUGUAGAAAAUUAAUGGUAUAAAAUUAAUUCUAGGUAUGUGUGGCCAUCAUGGAUCGACUUUAUGAUCUCUUAGUUAUUGACCCUUUUACCACUAGACCAAUCCAAGAUGGGUACCGUUGUAAUUAAAACUUAGCUUUGUUUUAUAUAUAUAUAUAUAUUUAAAUUCAACUGAGUAAUAUUUCCUACCUCUCAUCUCAUUAAUUAUUCAUAUUUUUGUUGUUAGUGAUCAAGAAGAUAGUGACUUUUCCUUGCAUCCUACUUGUAUUAAAAAAAAUUAUUUUAACAUUUAAAUUUCUGGAUUUCAAUAUAGCAUAUAUUUUUUUAUAUAAAAAAAAAACAUAAACAUACACAUUAAGAUAUAGAUGGGUUAUAGGUAUACUAGAACAUCUAUUAGAUAUGUGAACACUUUGUAGCAUUCGUAUUGUUGCUUUUAAAUUUGAAUUUUGCUUAACUCUACUCUUUCCUUUUCGCUUUGCUUUAUAGACUUACCUUUUAGCCUUUUUUCUCUUUUCUCAUCUCUUUUAGCAUCUAAUAAUUUUGAAUUAGAUGGAAGAUCAAAAGAUUAACACAGAUAAUUAAGUUGUGACGCUAUUUAAGUUUCUGAUAGAUUCUUUUUGACAAGGAAUUAAAGAAAUGAAAGAAUAUUAAAGAUGGUAAGAACUGCAUCAUCUAUGGGACUGGGAGAAUAUGUAUAUUAAAUUUUAUCAUCUCAUCUGGGUGUUCUAAGUCAUAGCUAUUUUGUAAUUAUAUAUGAAUUAUUCUUUAACACACUACAAUCAGAAGGCUUUCCUACGGCUCCUCUCUUUCUUGUAUUACAUUAUUCUCUUUCAAGUUUCUCUCCUACCUCGUUUUUGUACCACAUCUUUAUGUGAUCUCCAUUGUGUCUUGUGAAUAAUAUUAUAAUAAAAAAUCCAAAACAGAUACUUUGUAUGGAUGAACAAGAAAUUUCCAGAUAUAAGGAAGACAACAAGAAUGAAACAUGAAUGAAUUCUGACUUAACCCAAAUAAUAAGAAGAAGAAAAAAGAAGAAAUUCUAUCCUGUGAAUCCAACUGAUAUAUGUACUAAAUAUAUAUAUAUGUAGUGGGGGAAUAUAAAAGUGUGAAUUUUGAAGAGACCAAAGAUGCUAUACCAAAUGUAUGGAGGAGGACGUACCGUACUCUAAAUGCUUUAACAUGGAGAAGUACUAUACAAAGAAGAACAUAUUCUCCAUAAUCUAAUUAAGGUUUCGGAUAUGUGUAAUUACCAAAAAUGAAAGCUUACCACACACACACUCACACACUUAAGGAUAUGCAUUAUAUUAUUGAUCCUUAGCUAAGGCAAAAAAAAAUUUCUCUCAAUCCUUCAUUCAUUUAUUUAUUUUAUUAUUGUUGUUGUUGUUUUUCAUUAAUAUAUUGUUGGAUAAGAGAUGAAACUCUGCCUCAAUAAAUUCAUAAUCUUCAAUUGGUUAAAUUAUAACAAAUAUCCUCAAACUUUGUAUUUUAUUUCAAAAUUUCACAAACCUCGCUUUUGAAUUCAUCUUUGAUUUUUUUUUUUAGAAUUUAUAUGGCAAUUUAUAUUUUCUUUCUAAUUUUGUUUCGAAAAUUUUUAAAGGAAAUUCUAUCUUCUUGAGAUUAUUUUCUUUUACAAAAAGUUAACGUUAUGCUUGCUAUUAUGGCUACUUUUGAAAGUAAAACGUAUUUUUUAAACAAAAUAACAAAAUUUAAGGACUUUUUUUUUCCCUUUACUUCAAUAUUUUCAAUCCCAUCCUUUUUUUUUUCUUUUUUUUUGAAUUUUUGAAUUUUACAUUCUAGUAUUUUCAUGCACACAACAUUUUUCACAAACUAAUAAUAAUAAGAAAAUUGUUAAUAAAAAGUGAAUGAUUAUUAAAUUAUUUUUUCCAAGUUCUAAAUGUACUUGGACAUAUGAAUAUGCACUGAAAUAAUUUAAUUUUGACAUUUUAAACUCAAAACUUAGCUCAUCCAUUAACAAAAUCAUUGUUUUUCAAGUAGCAUAUGUUGAGUAUCAAUGAUGACACAUCUAAAUAUAUAUAUAUAAAUAAAUAAAUAAAUAAAUAAAUAAAUAAAUAUAUAUAUUAGUUUAAAAUAAUUAAGAAAAUACAAGUUUGUAUUUAAUUAAACCAAAAAAAGGACAUAUAAGCUUAGCUUUUUUUUUUUUACCAACUUUAAUUAAAACAUUUUAUUUCACAGAUAUCCUUCAUUAAAAUAAUCAAGGACAAAUCAUAGGUUACUUUUAAAAGAUUUAGAAAAUUAGUUGAUUUUGGGUUGUAAUUUGGAUUUCAUAAUCAAAAAAUUUUUUAGAAGUAAUUAUGUUCUUAACAUGAGAUUAUAUAUCAUUAAUGUUUUGUUCACUCCAAACAAAAAUGUUUUGUUCACUCCAAAGAAAAGAGAAGGAUCAAAAUUUUCAAUUUUUUUUUUUAUGAAAGUUUGCUAGCUGUAAAUAGAUAUGUAUGAACAUAACUAAUCAAUUACACUAUCAUUUUUGUGAAGAGUAAUGACUUUGCGGAUGCUAAAAGUCAAAAGAAGUUACUCGUAUUUACUUAAUAAAGAUUCUAGAAGCGCGUUCUUUUGAAGAAACAAGUAUGGCAUCAAACACAUCGGUUGACAUGGAUGGAGGAAGAAAUAAAGAAAAGGAAAGGAAAAGGAAGGGAGAAAACAAAGUAAUUUUAAUUCUUGUAUAUAUAAUUCAAUAAUAAACAUUACCCCAUCAACUUUUGCUAAGACAUUAAAAAUAAUUGACUAUAAGGACCAUAGACAAUUUUUAAAAAAAAUAUAUGUUUCUAUAUUUGAUGAUAAAAUGGUCUUUGAAUAUCACACCCCCAUUUCAUUAAUGCAUCUUUUACCACUUUUGGAUAGUAAGAAAUUGCAUGAGAAAAAAAAAGAGAAACACAUAAAAGAUCAAAUUUAAAAUUUAAAAAGAUUUGACAGAAAAUUUAUUUUCUAUGGAUUGAUUGCACCCGAUGAUUUUAAAAGGGAUAAAGAAAUAUUUUUAAAUAAUGAUAAAUAUAACAAAAUUUAUGAACGAUAAACUUAUAUUUUUAUAUAUUUACUUUUAAAUUUGAAUAAGUUAAGUAAAAAAAAUUGACAAUAAAAAAAAAUCACUUUUGACUCCGUUUGGACGUGGAAUCAAAUUCCUUUUACUUUAUAACUAAAUAUUCAUAUAACACGUUAAUUUAUUCUUAUACCAUGGUUAAUUGUUCCAUUAUUUUUAAUAUUUGGGUGAAUUUAUAAUCAUUUUAAAUAAUUUUAAUUUUACACCAUUUAAAAUGUUGGAAUAACAAGAGACAUAAGACUUAUCUUAAUAGUCUCCUAAAAUAUUAAGACCAAAACACAUAUCAUUAUUAUCCUUUGUUAAAAGAUAAAAGUUAUUGGAAUCUAAAAUUCGCCACGCUAACUUGAGAUAGUUCAACUAAUAUCAAAAUACUUAUCAUUUAUCAAUUGAUUAGAGAAGACUAGCACAUUCAAUAUUAGUUAACAGGGAUGCUUUCCCUCACUAUAAAAGCACAUUAAAAAGCCUAGUUUUCAAGCCCAACAAAAAACAAAUUAAAAGAUAUAUGUGUAUAUAUAUACAUCAAAUCUUAUUUCCUUUCCUCGUCAUCUAUUACGGCUUCUUCUUUCUUCUCUUGGAUGGGGAACUCCAAAAGCAAAACGUACAAACGAGUUCUAGUUCCAUUCUCAGAGGAGCAACUGGCCAACGUUUUCAAGAACCAUGACCGAGACGGGGAUGGGCAUCUGACGAAGGAGGAGUUGAAGCAAGCCUUCGAAUAUCUCGGCUCACGCUUCUGCAACUUCCGGGUAGAAGAAGCCCUACGUGCCGCCGAUACCAACGGGGACGGUGUCAUCAGCAUGGAUGAGAUGGGGAAGCUAAUUAAGUAUGCCAAAACUCGUAAAUACACUAUUAGUUAAAAAGUAAAUGUAUGUUAGCUAUAUCAACUUCAGUUGUUCUUGUUCACCUAUAUAUAUAUAUAUAUAUUAUAUAUAUGUCUUCAUAUAUUUAUCUGUAUUUGAAUGAGUGGAUUCGAAUUAAUACCCCUCUUUGUCCAACGAUAUAUAAAUAAUAAUAAAAAAAAUUGUUAAAUGGUUUUGUUGAUUGUGUAUUGAUUCGAUCUCACUCUCUGCUUGUCUCUAAUAUAAAGAAUGGACCUAAUUUAAUUUGCAGGGAGAUGGAACAAUAAUAUUAUGAUAUGAUUUGAACUCAUGAUUCGAUGUACGUCGUGUUUGGAAUCAUUUUUAAUUUUUUUUUCUCUGGAAAUAUUAAUAAUUUAGAGUGUAUUUAACAUAGUCUUCAAUUAUUUGAGAUGAUACUAAAAUUUUCUUUAAAAAAUUCUUAAUAAAUGAAAAGUAGAUUAAAGAAUUUGGAUUCAUUUAAAAUCAUCUUUCAAUGAUCUAGCUGAUGCCUUAUCUAUAAUAUAGUUUUUUUUUUUUUAACUCAAUUACCAUUUUUUUCUUAAAAUUAAUUUUGUUAAAAUAUAUCACAGUUCAAGUAUUGGCAACCUACGAUAUUAAUCCAUUCUAUUCUCUCUCAUGUAUAAUAACAAGAUUGCAUCUUGUAUAUAUACAAACACUUCUAUAAAUUUUCAAGGUCUUUUUAGCACAAUAAAGCUAGGAGAAAUUUUGGUCUUCACAUGCAUCAUUUUAAACUUAAAAAUAAAAUAAUAUUACCAAUAGUCUAAAAAUUCUUCCAUAGAUUCAAUUCUUUUACUAAAUAGAGUUUUCGGUCUCAUAUUUUGUCACCAAGUUUUAGACUAGAAUGUUUCCUUUAAUAGAACAUUUAGAGUUAAAUGACUUUCCACUUCUAGUUAAGAUAGAAGAUCACACCAAUUAUUACAAAUGUACUAAACUUGUUUGGACUAAUCGUUUUUUUCGAAUAAAACGCAAAACCAUAGUCAUGGAUUUGUUUAUACCCUAACAUGAAAGAAUAUUGAUUGUUUAUUUAUUUUUAAUUCUUUUUUGUUAAGCUUCUCAUUAGGUGUUUUUAAUAUUACAAUAAUAAAAAUAAAAAUAAAAAUAAAGGGAAGUUGGUCAAAUUUUGGAAUGAAAUUCGUGAAAAUCUGAUUAGUACGGUCUCCCUAUCUUAGGGGCAAUUCCAAUUUCUAAAUACACCAAAUAAAGUAUUAACAUAUAUAUAAUACUCCAAAAUCAUUUAUAACUAUAACAAAAAAUUUAAAUACAAACCUAUCACUAUUUAGAAUUUAACGACCUAUAAUAAAAUUUAUGAAUAACAAAUUUUACUAUAUUUUAACACAUAUUCAAAAAAAUUUCUUCAUCUUGUAACUUAUAUCUAUAUAUAUAUUAAUAAUUUUAAUCGUCAUCACCAAAUAUAUUUAUAUGUGAUCGACUUGAAUAUAGUUCAACUCAUUAAAACAUUAUACUUAUAUUUUUGCUUGAGAUGUCAAAUAUUCUAUUUUCUCUCUUUACAACUGUGUCCAUGUAAGCAAUGGAAUCCAAUUACAUCUAAUACCCAUCUGUAUUUACUUCUCAAUUUAGAAUUACUUUCCUUUCCCAUUCAAUAUACCUAAUAAAUUACUUAUUGAUAUUAGAAUGCAAACUAUACCCAUAUACCCCAAUUGUGAGCAUCUCAACAAGAAAAAUUCUUUCAACGAUGAAUUGUUUUUUUAAUUAAAUAUUUUGAAGAUACAGUGGUAUUUUAUAAAAAGAAACAAAAUUUUGAGCAUUUUUUAUUGGUAAGAUUAGGUAGAUAUAUAUAAAGAUAUUUAUUUAUCAAUUCCUAUUAAUCAAUUUUAAUUAAUAAUCAGAAAGUUGGUAACAACUUUUUCUGUGGGUUUCUCUCGUAAUGUUUUAGAGAUAGAUAGGGUUUAGAGAAAGAAUAUGGAGAUUUGUAUUAGAGUUUACAAUCAUGAUUACAACAAAGAUAUGACUAAGCUUAAAUAUUAAAGUCUAAGGUCCAAUGGACUUGUGUACAUGUAAAAUAAUAAACUAAUACUGAUUGUUAAUUAACAUCAAUUAGCAUAUAUAAUAUAAACCUUAUUAAUACACAUCAAAACUACAUACUUUUAACCCUUUCAAGUAUGCAUUACUGUGAUUCUUUUUGUAACUUAAUUUAGCCUCCACUUUAAUAUUAUUUUGUUUCUAUAAACUAAAUUUAUAAACACUACUUGUCCAUAGGUUUUUAUAUUUUCUAAUUAUCUGUCUUCUAUAAACAAAUACAAAAACCAAGUUUUAGAAACUAAUUGAAAAACUAGUUUUUUUUAAAAAAUAUUUAUUUUCGUUUUUAGAAUUGAACAUUGAAAAUUUACCAUAAAAAAAGAGAGAAAACGAACUCAUUUUUCUUCUUUUUUUUUUUCUUUUUAAGAUAAAAUAAAAUAUUUAUAAAAUGAAGCACAUUACUUUUGUUGUUGUGUGUUCUUUUAAUGUCAUUUCUUGAAUAUAUUUUAGAAUUUUGAUUGAUUUUGAGUUAAUCUUGACCAUCUAUCUCACACGAGAACAAUAGAAAAUAUAAAUCUACUGUACAUAUCAAUUUGUAAAUACAAGCUAUUAAGGUUAAACAUGUUAACCACAGACGAUUAUUUUUAUGUAUCUCUAUAAUACUAUGAUACAUAUUUUUGAGUUUACACCUUUGUUUUUUAUUUCAUAAAAAAAUUAUACCAAUAAAUUAAAAAUAAUUGCCCCAUUUCAAUUUUCGAAGACAUUGUAUUUUCUCUACUGCGCCAUUGACACUACCCAGACCAUUUGUAUUAUGUUUGGUGUGUACUCAACCUAACAACUUUCCCUAUUAAGUCACACCCUACUUUUAAAAAGAAUAUGCUUUCCAUCAAAUGUUGAAAUUAAUCUUCGUAUAAAAUGGAUCUUUGGGAAUUAAAUUUGUUAGCUACCAACUUUCUGAUACAGAGAAAAAUAAAACUUAUUAUUUACAAAAGUAAUCUCUCGUAAUGAUCUAGGGCAUGAAAACUUGAGUAUUAUGUAUUUUCAAGAAAGACAAAUGAUAAAAACUACAUUGAUGAUAUAGUUGUAAAUGUAUACCUUCAAAUUUUUAAUUGGAAAAUCAAAGGUUAAAAUUGAACCCUUAAACUAAUUACAUAAUUGUAGGAAUGGUAACAAUUGUUUGCUAUGUCUAAAGAAUCAAUUUUUAUCAUUCAAGGUCCUACUCUUAAUAGAAGAAACAAAACACCUUUGAAGAUGAUGAGUCCACCUGUGCAUUAUUUUACAUGUUUAUAGAUAGUUCUUAAUAUAAAAAGAAAAGUUGAAAUGUAAGAACUAAAUUUAUAUAUAUAAAGAAAAAAAAAAACACAUGUUUCUAAAAAGUUUUAAAUUAAUAGAAAUUAGGUGGCCUAAAAAUUCCACUCCUUUUAUCUUCCUUCAUAGGUCAAGAAAAAGGGAAACCAACAAUUCUCCCUCUCUCCUUCGUAACAGAAGAAACACAUGUUCAAAAAAAUUGAGAUUUGGUAGGCUGCUUGCUUCAUGAAGAUGGUGAGUCCAAACGUGUGAGAAAGAAACACCGCACGUUCAUUUUACAUGUUUAUAGAUAUAAAUCUCUCCCAUUGUAAAUUAAACCAACACAAAAGUCUUUCCCUCCUCUUACCUGUUCUUCUUUUAGAGCAAAACCCUUAUACACGUAUUAUAACCCAUCCAUGGGGACCUCCAACGGCUUGAUUUUUAAGUGUUUUCCAGCGUCGUUGACGGAGUUUGAGGUGGCCAAAGUUUUCAAGAACCACGACAAGGAUGGAGAUGGAAGGUUGACCAAGGAAGAGCUGAAGAGCGCCUUCAAGUAUUUGGGCUACAAGUUCACCACCUUUAGAGUCCACCAAGCCCUCCACGCCGCUGACGACAACUGCGACGAUGUCAUCAGCUUUGAGGAGAUGAGUAAACUUAUUAUGUAUACCGCAGGUUCAUAGCUAUAUGUACUCUCUUGGUGCAAGACCGCAGUUUGUUUCCAGUCGUCAUAUAUUUCAAGUCCGUGUGACAAAUCUCUAGUCAGAGACAUAAGUUUAACCUUGUAAUUUAGCUUGAAAAACCAUUAUAUAAGUUGUUCCUAUAAGAUAUAACUAUUCACCUAAAUAUAUAAAAGCAACAAAAUGAAAUUCUGUGUAUAUGACACACAUGUACCUGUGCAGGUGCGUAAAAGUUCAUUUUGUUUGCUUAUAUAUGUAGCAGCAAGCACACAUGGCCAUGGAAUUUUGGGACUAGUGUCUAGAUUUAUAUCUCUUAAGACUAUUUUCUGCCCCAGUGAAGCAACCACAUGUUACAAAAACAAAUAAUAUCAGAACAAUGAAUAUCCUUUUUUUUAAUUUAUGGUAUAAAUACUGUCUACAUUGUCGCGACGUGAUCGCUACGCGGAGCGGCCGACCUCUCCGUUUAUUUAAUUUUAAUAAAUGAAUAGUUUUAGAGUCGCCACCAAUCAUAUUAAGGUGUGAUUGGUCACCCAAAAAAGAAAAAAAAUGGUCUACGUAAAUUAAAAAAUUUAAGUUCGGAAGUGAGUUGUGUAGGGAAGUUGUUACACCCUACAACACCCACAAAAUGGUUAGCCAAUUUUAUCUUUUAAAUUAAAUAUAGAGGUUCACAAAACAAAGUUUUUAUUUAGGUUUUGUUUAAAUGUCUCAUGUUUAUCGAUUCAUAUCGAAGAAGAAAGUAAAACCUAAGCAUGAAUUGAUAAUUAUUGGUGGCAUAAGAGCCAUUAGAAAAUGAAGGUUAUUUUUAUUUUAGAAGAUUUUUUUAUUCAAUAUUAAGAUAUUAAAACUUGAUAUUUUAAUCUCUAUCAUAGGUGUUUAAUGAGAAAUUUCAUGUAUUAAUAAAUUCAUAGAAAACACUACUCAAUCUCAUUUAAAAUAUGAAAUGUGUUUAUUUAAAAACAAUCUAUUAAUUAAAAUUUCAAACGGAAAAAUUUCAUGUAUUUAUGGAAUUUAAAUUAUAAAAUCCAUAAAAAAACAAUAUUUUUCUCCAAUUUACAUUUUUAUAUUUCAAUUGGAAAAUGAAUAAUAACAAUCACAAAACAUUAUUAAAUUUGAAAAAUAGUUGAAGGAUAAUAUGGUGAGAUAAAAUAAAUACAUAAAACAAAUACAAGAUAAUGUAAGUAAUAUGCAAAAUGUACAAGAUGAUUAAUUAAUGUAGGAUGCAAGAUAAUUAAUUAAUACAGAAUGAUGCAAAAUAAUUAAUUAAUUCAAAAUGAUGCAAAAUAAUUAAUUAAUGCAGAAAGAUACAAAAAUAAUUAAUUAAUGCAGAAACAGAAAUAAGCAAAAUAAUUAAUUAAUUCAAAAAUAGGCAAAAUAAUUAAUUAAUUCAGAAAUAUAAAAAACAAUUAAUUAAUUCAAAAAUAUAAAAAAAAUAAUUGAUUAAUUCAGAAAUAUGCAAAAUAAUUGAUUAAUUCACAAAUAUACAAAAUAAUUAAUUAAUUCAGCAAUAUGAAAAAUAAUUAAUUAGGCCAAACCAGAUUAAUGAAUAAUUAAACGAGGAUGUCAAAUGGAUAAAAUAAUAAUUAACUGCAAGAGUGCCAUAAUAGGUUUAAUGCAAUAUGACCAUAAAUAAUCACAGUAGCCAAAUGAAUGUCAAAUAAUUUAAUAUAUAAUGCAAAUAAUUCGAACGAGUAAUUUACAUAAGAGGCCAAAUGAGUGCCAAAAUAAUUAACGAUGUGCAAAUAAUUAGCCUCCAAAAAUUAAAACUGUCAAAUACAUGAUACUAAUUAAUUAACCAUGUAUAAUUAAGAGUGUAUGUCAAAUGAAUAAUUAUUUUCAAAUGCAUAAUUAACACAUAUGUCAAAUUGAUAAUUAUUAACGCAAGAUACCAAAUGGAUACACCCAAUUAACGAAAAAUGUAAAAUGGGUGGCUAGAUAAUUGAAAAGAUAGCAAAUAAUUAAAUCAGUAUGCCAAAUUGGUGUCAAAUGGGUGCUAAAUAAUUAAGACAGCAAUCAAUUAAUUAACACAUCAUUUAAUUAAUUAACCAAAUGAAGUAAUUAACAUAGCACCCAAAUGGAUGUCAAAUAAUUAAUCCAUAACAGAUUAAUUAAGGUAGUAGCCAAAUGGAUGCCAAAUAAUUAAACAGAUGCAAAACAACUAAUUAAUCAACCCAACAAUCAAAUAGUCAAAUGAGUAUCAAAUUAAUUAACUAUAUGCAUGCAAUCAAAAUAGUCAAAUGGCCAAAUGAAUGUCAAAUAAUUAACUCAAGAUGCAACAAAUUAAAAAUGUCAAAUAUGACAAGUGCUAAUUAAUUAAUAGGUCAAAUGAAAUAUGUGUAUUGUCAAAUAUAGGAGGCUAAUUAAUUAAUCAUGCAUAAUUAUUAAUGCAGAAAUAGGUGUAAGUAAUUUACACAUAAUGAAUAUGAGAUGGGUGUCAAAUAAUUAAAAGAUAUCAAAUGAGUGUCAAAUGAUUAAAAGGAUGCAAAUAAUUAAAAGAUGUCAAAUGAUUAACACAGCAGCUACGAGUGAUUUAAAUGAAUAAUUAAGACAACACCCAAAUGAGUGCCAAAUAAUUAAGGCAGUAUCAUCAAGCAUGAAUAAAAGAAAUUAACUUAUAGAUCUGCCUUAAAUGCAAAAAGUUAUAUAUUCAUCAUCUUCACCUCUUUCUAAAAAAAUUUCUUUUACGUGUCUCUCUUCUCUAUCAAAUAAUCCUCCCAACAAAAAAAUUCUCCUAGCACCAAAAAAAUUCCAGCAAAAAAUUCUCUCAUUCUCUCUUUAUAAGGCAAUGUCUCAUUUUUUAGAUAGAAGUGGAGUAGUUUUAGAUAGUGAAGUGAAGUACGGAAAGGUGGAAGAGUGAGAGAACGUGAUAGAUUGAGAGAAAGUGGGAACGUAGUGAUCAAGAAAAACAAGAUGGUUGAGAAAAACAAGAAGAGAACAAAAACUUUUACUUUUACUUUUAAAUUUUAAAUAAGUUUUAUUUUUGUUUUUGUUUUAAAACAUAAAUUUAACUUAAGAUUUAAAAUUUAAAAUUUAAAUUUAAAUUCUUUUAAAAAAUAAUAAAAACAAAAAAACAAAACAAAAUACGAUAUCUACACACAUAUGUAAAAUGGCACCCUACAAAGGGUCUCGUACCCUUCAAAAAUUUACCCAUAUUUCAAAUUGAAAUGGGAGGAAAACUUAAGCCAGGGUAUAUAACUCAAAAGGAUACAAAAUCUCAAAAAUAGUUUUUCAUUGCAAUGAUAAUAUCUUGAGUUUCUUUUUAGGAAAAUUGCAAUGGAAGACUAUUUUAGAAAUAAUAAUUAAGAAUAUAGCAACAUUUUAAAAAAAUUACAAAUAUAGCAAAACUAUCACUGAUAGACUUGUAUCGCUGAUAGACUUCUGAUAGAACUAAGUCAUGCACAGCGGAAAAAGAAUCGAAUUUCUACCCUAAUUGCCAUAAUUAACAUGUAACCAUAAACUAAUCAAAUUAGAGUUUUAAGAAGUAUUACCUUUGAAGCUUUCAAAAGGUUUGAUGUCUUCUUACCAAUUCUACCCGAGACCACCACUAGUACUCAACUGCUAUCCUCUAGACAAAGAACCGGGUUGUGGGACCCAAUUUUGGUGUAGAAAGUAAUGGAGAUAAAAUGAGAUUGGAAGCUUUCUUUUUUCUUUUGUUGAGAUGAUGAAAAUGAUAAAAGAGGCAAAAGUCUUUCAACAUUUGAAAACAUCUCUAUUUAUAGCCUAAUUACAUGCAAAAAUGCAUGCAAUUCAAUUGCCAAAUCUCAACACCUAAUAUUCCACUAACAAUUAGUGGAACUUAGUGGGCUAGGUGUCUAUAUCUCAUAUAGCCACAUAUCCCACUAAGAGUUAGUGGGAUUAUCCAACAAAAUGUUGGAUUUUCCCACUAACUUAGUCCAAGGGUAAAAUGGUCAUUAGAUUUUUCUAGUCAAAAGUCAAACUUUGACUUUUCUAAGUCAAAAGUCAAUAUUUUGACUUUUUACCAUUUUGUCCGUCUUGACUAAUUCCAACCUCCCGAGCAUGAAUCCGCAUUCAUUUUUCCAAAAUUCAAAUCACAUUUGAAUAUAAGGCCGGUCAAAGUUUGACUUUUCAAAGUCAAAAGUCAACAUUUUGACUUUUUACUAUUUUUGACCAAUUCCGAGCUUCUUAGUAUGAAUCCGCAUUCAUACUUAUAGUAUGUAAAACAUAAAGCUCUAUUUCUAAUUAGAAGACCGACGAUUAUAUCACUGUAUAUGUCGGUUUUCCUUUCUUCUCCCUAUUCGAACAAUUCGACUUAUUUCAUCACACUGUUCUAAGUUUAAUCCAUAUGAGCUAGCAGAGGAACCUAAUGGACCUAUAGAUCAUGGGCUCCAACGAUUCAAGAUUAACUAGCUAAACUCUUUUAAACCGAGUUAAUCAACAUUCGUUAACUAACGGGUCAUUCCACUAAAGUCCCGUAGUUGCACUCCCCUCACUAUAGAUAUAUUUGUGUCCAUUUGAUAAAACCAUAAUCAGUAAGUUAAUCCUUCACAGGUUGCUCGUAACCUUGGCUGGGUCAAAAUACCGUUUUACCCCCAAGAUUACAUCUUGCUCCUUAAGUCCCACUAAUCCACUAUUGAACAAUUGGUUUAAGGUUCAACCUAUAAACUUAAUCCCUCUCGGGCCAAUGAGAGGGUGGGGCCCCUUGUUCAAGACUUGGAUUCAGUGCUUAAGAGAGCAACCUAUCUACUAACCCUAAAGCGGGUAGGAGUGAAUUCCAUCUUGUACCCUAUGUUCCCAGCUAUCCACCCGAUCUUACCCCUGAAAUGGGAGGCUUAUUGGGCCAACGCUGAUGAGCUGCCCUCACCUAUGCAGAUCUAAGGAUAAUCUCGUAUGAACAGGAGUUCAUAGUUAACUCAGGAUUAAGACUAAGUUACCUAGGUCAUCAAUAAUUGAGAUAGUCAGUUUUAAACAGUAAACGGUGUUAUAACGUAAAAAUGACUAAUUCAUGGUUCAGUCUUAUGUAAACAUUUUACAUAGGAUGCCCCCACUUUCAUGUCUCUACAUGAACGAUUAGGAUCACAUCGUUUGUACUACAAAGUGGGCCGCAUCCAUAGUCUCUCAAAAUAAGGCGCCCAACCUUUAUUUCAUAUACUAUAGACUAUUUAGGCUAUAUACUCGAACUUGAUCCACGUUUAUGUUUACACAUAAAGUUCAAGUUUAUUCAAAAAAUAGCCUUGGAACUUUGAUUUAUUGGAUUUAAGAUUAUAAUAUUUAAUUUCUCAAUAACAACUUUAUUGAAUAGAAUAUGAUUUACAAACUACGAGUUUUAGGACAAAAAAUUCCAACAACUUCAUAUGAUAUAUCAGUGAUAGACCAAUAUUUGCAACAUGAUCUAUCAGUGAUAGACUUAUAUAAUUGAUAGAAUUUAACGAAUUUUGCUAUAUUUACAAAUCUUUUAAAAUUAUACUAUAUACUUAAUUAAUUUAAAUUUAAUUGUUAAAUUUACAACUCCAGUAGUUUUCUAACAUGAAGAUUUAAAAAAAAGAUGAUAUGACAAUAAUAAUUGCGUGAAUUGGGUUGCUCAAAUUUUUACAAUCCAAAACCCAAAACAAACACAGGGUUGUCACGUUGCCCAAUUAUGAUUGGGCCUGAAAGAUAUAGGUGCAACCAAUUUGGACCCAUAAAGGUAAAUUCAAUAUUUAUAGUUAGUAAUUUUAUAAAUAAUAAUUAAGUAUAUGAUAAUAUUUUAAAAAAUUAUAAAUAUAGGCAAAACUAUUCUUAUAUUUGUUUUUAAUUAUAUAUUGUUAAAUCACCUUAACUAAAUUAUUGUUAAAUCACCAAAACUAAUUUUUUUAAGGUGCUAUAUCAGGGUAAAUUUAAAUAUUAUAGUAAUACUCCAACAAUCAUGACUAUUUUUAAUAGGUUUGGCUAACUAUGUCCUGUUAAAAAUAUGUGAUUUUGAUAUAAUACAUUUUUAUUUUAGAGAUGUUUGUUUUUUUGUUUUUUUGUUUUUAAUUUCUAUCUGCAAAUUAUUGUAUCUCAAUGAAGAGUUUUAUUGCUGUCAUAAAAUAAAAAAUGACAAAGGGGCUAAAUAACAUAACAUAUCUGAAUAAUAAACUAUAAAAUUAAUAAACACAUUAACAAGACUGAUAUUUUUGGUUAAAAAAGGCAAAGGAACGUAACAUCAAAUCAUAGGGGGGCUUAAUUAAUUGAUAUCAUAAAGUGUAUUUACAUGAUAUUGACGACAUAAAAUAAUCAAUAACAACAAAUUUAAUUAUCAAUUAUGUUAGGAAGGAAUUAAAUUCUUUUACUUUAGAGUUAACAUAUAUAUAUAUAUAUAUAUAUAUAUAUAUAUUUCCGAAUAUAUUAAAUUAUUCUUAAUCGAUAAUCAUUGAGUUAAUUUUUAAUCUAGAGGAUAAGAACAUGAAACUUAUCUUGGAAAAGAAAGGCAGAGAGAUGCUUACCCCACGAAUCUUUGUCAAAUUGGAAAAAAAUCGAAUAAAUACCAUAUGUUGAAGCUUGGGAUAUCUUUUUUAAUAUCUACUAUUCUUUACCAAAUAAUAAAUAUACAUAUAUAUUAUACCUACCUAUUUUUAUUUACGUAUAUAUCUUUUUUUAAAUAUUAAUAUUAGUAAUAAUAUUUUAAAUUAUUUAUUUAUUUUAAAAAUGUAAAAAAAUUAGUAAUCAAUUUAUUUUUAAAAAAAUCUUUUAAUAUCAUAUUUAUACUAUUUUAGGUAAAACAAUGGAUUCGUUUUAAAAUAAAAUAUUAUAAUAUCACUUUUAUUCUUUUAAGUAAAAAGAAAUCUAAUUUUAAAUUAAAAAUCUUUUCAUUUUCAUUUGAUUUAUUAAUUUAUUUUUAAGAGAAUCUCAAAAUAUCUAAUUCAAUUUAUUCAAGAAAAAUAAAAAUUUGUUUUAAUAUUAAAUUUUGAUUUUUAUUCUUAUUAUUUUUUUUCUAAUUUACCGUACACCCCAGUGUAUAAAAUCUUAUUUAUUUUUUUCUUAUUUUUAUCUUGAUCUUUAUUUUCUUUACUCUAAUAAUAUAAAGAGAAUAAGAUUAUGUCAUUAUUAUUAAAAAAUAUAUAUUAUUGUUAUUGUACUUAUAUUUAUAUUUUCUACUGUUUUUUAUUAUUAUCACUAUACUUUUAUUAAUAUUUUUUUUAUAUUACUAGUUAUUCUCUUUUAAUUUCUUCUUAUUAUUACUAUUACUUAUAUAUAUUUAUAUAUAUAACUUAUUAUUGUUAUGUGUAUUAUUACUUUUUUUCUUUUAUUAUUAUUAUGGGUGGCGACCCCUCUAUUUAAAAAAAAAUCUUUUUCUUUCUCUUUUAUUUCUUCUUUCCCUUUUUAUAUUAUUAUUUAUUUAUAUAAUUUUGUUUUUUAUUUAUUUUAACUUAUUUUCAUUGCACGUUAACAUUGUAUUUUAUAUCAAUUUUUUAUAUCAUAACAUUUUAUCAUUCUAAAAAAAUCCGACGAUCAAAUUAGAAAUAUCUGGAGGUCAGUUAUUUGGGAGGGCAAGAUUCGAUUUCCAAUAUUAUUUUAAAAUUAAAAUCUUAUUUUACUUGCUUAAUUCGUUGUAUAAUAUAUUUGAUUCCAUUAUGCAUUAUUUACUAUUGACCUAAUUUUCAAGACCUUUCUUAAAUUUCAUUUUUUAACCGUUUAUAAAUUUUUACUUUAAAACUAUCCUUUUUAAUCUUUUUUAAAAAAGGUUUAAAAUAUAAAUCUAUAUUUGAUAAGUUUUCCCUAAUCAACUUUUUUAAUAACCCACUUUUAUUUUGCUAAAAAUUUCCUAUGAUGAAAUCUAAGAAAUUUGAAAGUUCGAUUUUCUAGAAUUUUUAAUGUGAUGGAUCACAUUUUUAGAAGUCCAAGAUGUGAUCACAAGAAAAAAAAAAAAGAAUUUAAUCGAUAUUGUUUUUAUAAAAAAAAAAAUUAUUCCAAGACUAGUCUAUAAUAAAUUUUGAGAAAUUGUAAUAUUUUCUCAUUUUCUUAAGGUGAGAAAUUUUUCUCAAUAUAUAGUUUAAUUAAUGGAAUAUUAUUUUACUUAUUUUAUGAAAUCAUUGCUUCAAAUAUUGGAGCAAUGAGGUGUGACCUUAAUUUUAAAAUAAAUAAAAAAUAUUUUCAAUUCAAGAUUUAAAAUUUGGCCACCGUUUUUUCUAAAUGAGUGUUGUGAGAUGCUAAUACUUUUCCCCACACAAAUGAUUCACGAACUCAACUCACUUUUUCGCAGACCAUGUUUUUUAAAAUUGUUUACUUUAUUUCGAUGUCCAAUCACACCGUAAAAAAGAUUGGUGAUGGCUCCUAUUUUAUUUUAAAACUAGCUUUUUUGAGAACGUCGGCCGCUCCGCGUCGUCUCAGACACAUGCUGACAUAUAUAUAUAUAUAUAUAUAUAUAUAUAUAUAUAUAUAUAUAUAUAUAUAUUAUAUAUUAAUAUAUAUAUAUAUAUACUCCUCAUAGAGUAAUAUUAAUUAAGGAAAAUUGCAAAACCAUCCUAAAAUAAGGUGGUAGUUGCAAUUAUACUCUUCAAACUUUCAAAUUUUAAAAUUAAAUCCUAAAACUUACAUAAAUAUAUAAAUUGUAUAAAUUUGAUUGAUUAUAUACCUUCGAGGAUUCAACCAUUUUUCAUUUUUUCAUUUUUAAAAUUUUAAUUUAGACAUCUAAUUGUUAUUGUUGAAAGUUUGAAGGGGUGCAAAUUGCAAUACUCCUCUAUAUACUUUAGAGUUGGUUUUUGCUUCUCCUUUUAAGGUGAAAGAAGAUUAAUGGAGUUUUUUUUUUUUUUUUUUUGGCCAUUUUAGGUUCACAAAUGAGUCGUUUUUAUAUAUGUGUAUAUGUAUAUGAAAAGAGAAAGAAUUACAAAUAUUUGAGUGUGGAUCAAUGAAGUUGAUGACUAUAUAGUAAUGGCAGUUGAUGUUGGUACCAUACAUUACAUCUCAUCCCUUGCUCUUGGAAUGGCAUACAUGGAAAAGGAAAAGGAAAAGAAUAACGUUGAUUCAAAAUGGUUCAAACUUAUAUUGCUGAUUUAAGGUUAGAUUAAUUAGACACAAAAAAUAAAGAUAAAAUGAUAAACGACUAAAUUUUUUAGCCUAAUUAAUAGUAAAAGAAAAAAAGAAAACAAUAAUAGUAACAGCAACAACCAUAAGAUAUUGGCUAAUUUAGAAGUUGGAUUUCAAAAUAUGAUAAAGAAAAACAGUGAUAUAAUUGAAAAAAAUUCAACAUAUUCAAUUUGUUCCUAAUUUUUACUUUUUAUAUUUUAUAAAAAUAUUAGGUUGUAGAUCGUUUUAAUUGAUAACAAUGAUUUAAAUUUAAAUUUUUAGUUAUUUGUUUUAAUUUAAUGUCAAAAUUUAACAUCAAGGAGACUUACCUUUAAGAACAAAAAGAAAUAUAUCCUCAUUCUUAAUUUUUUUCCAAUAAUAAAGAAAAAGUCUACAAUUGCCUUCCAUGUUGAUGCACAUAAGUUCAAUGAGAGUAAUUAAAUAGAAAAUUCUAUAGUAUUGUAACAAGUGUAAUGACUGAUUCAAUACUUGACAUAUUUGAUGAUUGAUGUUAUAAUCGGAUGGAUUGCAAGGAGGAGCAUUCUCAUUGUUGGUUAUGUUGGAUUGGAGUUAAAGUUGAUAUGAUUUUAUUAUCUUUGAAAUAGUUUGAUAUAUACUUAUUAAUUUUUUUAAAAAAUACAAAUAAUGGGAUAUUAAAACAUUAUUUAUGUUCUGCACUUGUUGUGUGUAUAUAUAUAUAUGUAUAUGUACGUAUAUGCAUUGGGAUAAAAUUAUAUUGGCUCCACAAAAGAAAAUUAACUUUUUAAUUGAUGAAAACACCAAAUUCUCGUCAAAUAAAUUUAAUAACACAUACCAUUUAUUCUUUAUGAUCCACAUCUAUAAAAGUAUUAUUAUUUUACAUAUAUAUUAGACUAUUUUAAAAUAGCCGUUGAUCAAAUAGAUGUGAAGAUUCCAACAUAUUUGAGAACACAACUAGUGGAAGAAUAGAACCAUCAAAUCUUAUAUAGAUUUGAUCAAAAUAAAUGGUAUCUCUCUUUUGAUGUUUUUCAUUCAUAAACUUUAACAUUUUUGUUAUGGUAAAAAAAUCAAUGUAAAAUUCAAAAUUUGAAAGAUUUGAUAACAAUAAAAACAUAGUUACUUAUCUCAAUUAUCACUUAGUUGGAGAGGUUAAAAUUUGAGUCUAAAUUUAAUAUUUGUUAAAAAAAAAGUUUAACAAUUUUAAAAUUUUAACCAACGUACUUUGAUGUUUUUAGUUAACAUUAUUCACAAAAAUGUGAAAUUCUUCUUCUCCUGUGCAUUGAACAAAAAGUUUAAUUGAAUAUUUAGUCAAAAAGGAAUAAGGAGACUACCAAAUUAGUUGGUAGGAACUUGAAGUGCUUUUCAUAUAUUAAUAAGCAACAAAAAUAUUCUUAAACUCUUGGUUUAUAUAUUUCUUUUGAGUAUUAGAACAGUUGUUAGAAUAAAUAUUUACAAGUUGAUAAACAAGCAAAGAGGGGAAUUGUAUUCUUUCUACUUUUUAGCAAUAUCUUCCUAAAUAAGUUAAACUAUUCUUUAAUUACAAAAAAAAAUACUUAAUUAGUGUAGGUAAAUCUGCACAAUUUCAUUGAUAUAAAACUUAUAUUAUUGACUUUGACAUUGGUGGUUUAAUUUUUUCUCAACAACUAAAAUGAAAAGUUCAAUUUUCUCUAUGCCACAUAUUGUGAUCUAGGAAAAGAAUAGAUUAAAGAAAUAAAACUCAGGUAUACUCUUCAACUAUCUUAUAACCCAAUUGUCCAAUUAUAUAUAUAGCUUGCUACAUGUCAAUUAUAUAUAUGCAAAAAUAUUUAACUUAGGAAAGGGUUAAAUAUGUCAAAAAUAAUUUUAAAAAAUUGUUUUAAAUAAUAAAACAGUUAAAAAAUAUUUACAAACACACAGUAAAGUUUUAUUUUCUAUUUGUCAUAAAACUCUUAAAUUAAUAUAGCAAGAAACCAAUCUUUAGGAAUUAAGCACAAAAAAAAAAUCAUAAUCAAUACUUAGCUUGUGAAGAUAAAAUUAAGAUAGAAAAGAGAUGGGCACUUUAAUUAAAGAGUACCUUUUUGUUGUCUUGCAACACACAAUUUAGGAAGAAUUGUAGUUGAUAAUAUUCUUGCCACUAGAAAAUCUUUGAUAAAUUAGAAAAAUUGUAUUAAAUAAAGAAGACAGUGUGAUGAUUAGAAGAUAUACUAUACUUUGACUGCCUAUUAUUUAUUAAUUGUUAAAGUACUCCCAAAAGUUACUCUCUCUUUUCCAUCUUUAAGUGGAAAAUUUUAAUUUAGUGAACCAAUGAGCUUUUAGAUUGGCUAUAGUAAUUACUAAUUAGUAAUGAUAAAAUGACUAUUGUUUUAGGUAGGGCUAUAGUAAUGACAGGAAAAAAGAAAAGAAUAUAUAUUGAUAUAAUCUUCACUAGAAUGCUUGAACUCUUGGCUAAAUGGAAAAAGGAGUCGAUUUGGAUAUAGUUACGUAUUAAAUUUUAAUUAUAAUUAAACAUAUAAUUCUUUUAAUGUAUCAGAAUAAGAGUUUAUACUAAUUUAAUGAUAUAUAUUUUAUUUUGUGUUGUGUUUUCAAAUACAACAAAAUGGAACUAUUUUAAAUUUUUGCAUCAAUUUUUUAGAUUUUCUUAUAAAUUCUUCCAAAUUUUCCUGCUAUUUUAAACGUGAAAAACUUGAAGGAUUUAAGGAAAACAAAAUGUAGUUUGCUUUUCCAGAAUAACAAAUAAAAUUGUUUUUUUGAUUGUAAGUUUAUAUAUAUUCCAUUUGUAACAGGACUGUAUGAAUAGUUAGGCAUAUAUAUUUUCUUUUAAGAUCACUAAUUAUAAUACAUUAUAAUUCUAAAACCUUGUACUUUCUAUAGAAAAUAUAUCCUCAGAAUGCACAAAAGUGGAGAAGGGUUGGCGUAAAGACUCUUUCUCCAAUUGCACAGUGACAGCUCGUACACAUCUUUAACGCUGAAACAAAAACUAUACCAAACAUUGUGUGUAGUUUUCCAAAAAUAAAAAUCUAAAAUCGUUUAGUCUAUGUUUAAUUAUAUUAAUCUAAACGUAAAGUAAUAAAUAUAAUCUAAUUAAACAUAUCAAAACUCAUUGUUUAUAUAGCAUGCAUUUGCUAUACAAAAUGAUAAUUUCUUUCAUAUAGAAACUCUAAAAGAAAACGUUCAGAAUAUAAGAAUAAUAUAUAAAUCCCAUGUGAGAGUGUGAACAACAACAUGCACACUUUUACACAGUAUAUAAAUCUCCAUUUCAAAGAGCAAACCCUAACCACUAACAUCCCAAACAAAAUCUCUUCUAAUUUCUUCUUGUUCUUCGUGUGCAUGGGAAACAAGUACAGUUCUUUGAGUGAAGAACAGCUCGCCUGGAUUUUCAAGAAACAUGACAUCGACAGAGACAGGAAGCUGACCAAAGAAGAGUUGACACGAGCCUUCAACUAUUUGGGUUCAAGGUGGACCGCCUUGAGAGUCAAGGAAGCCAUUCGCGCUGUCGAUGCAAACCACGAUGGCGUCAUCAGUUUGGAUGAGAUGAGUAAGCUCAUUGUGUAUGUCAAAGGUUGUCGCACCUAAACAAUUAAUAAUACUUAACUGCAACCAUCUUUUACAUGUCAACCUAAGUGGAACUUACUUGAUGUCACCAUGUAGUUGUGCCUCUCAGUUGAGUCGUAAAAUACAAAUGCAGCUUAGUUAGCAGUCGAACACUUUACGUCGCAGAGUUAUAAAUAUUAGCAAAAAGAAAAAAAAAAUCCUUUUUAUUGGAUAAAAAUGUAAAGUGUGAUAUCCACUCUCUGUCAUAGGUCGGAAAUCUACAUUUGCUAACGAUGUUUAAGGGGAAAAAAGUGUAUAAUGUAAUUACUUGUCUGUUUUCUUUUUAAUAAAUCGUUAACUGUGUUGGUAAAUUACUAUUGGUGUAGUUAAUUAUAUAAGAAGCAAGUGGUUUUUUUUUCUUUAAUUUUAUUUUAUGCAUGGUUGUGCAAAUGAUUACUAAAUACAAAUAUGUCAAAUAAAAUUUGAAGAGGAAUUGAAUUCUUUCUAUUUGUGAACAAAAUAUCCUCCGAUAUGUCAUAUAAUUAUUCUUACACUCACUACCAAAAUUAAAAAAAAAAAAAAAAAUCAGCUUGUAUAUCUAUUCUAUGAUUAAAAUAAAUUUUCCUAAAUUAAAAAAUAAUCUUCUAAAUUCUUAUUAUGGGGUAGGUAAAUUUAACUAUAUUACUAACAAUGGACUUGACUGCAUAAGCGCGUUUUAAAAAUAAAUCUCAUUAAGAACAACCAUCUUGUCCUGCUAAUUAAGAUGAGAUUUAAGAGAGUAAUUUUUUUUUUAAAAAAAGACAAGGAAUAUUAGAAAAGUGAAAUCGCAAAGAUAUGAACCCAAUUUUCCAAGUACUAAUUAUGUUUUUUUUUUAAUGAAGUAAUUUUUCUUUGUCCAAUGUUAAGGUUGCUAUAAAUUAAAUUUAUCUUCAUAUAUAUAUAUAUAUAUAUAUAUCAUCAGAACAUGUAAUCUAUAAACAACUUUAGACGUGAGGAAAAUGUUAAAUAAUAUAUAAAUUAAAUUUACGUUUCAUCUAUAUCUUAUGUUUUUACGUCGUUAACCAAAAAAAUAUAUAGAGAGUAAAAAAAAUAGUUAGAGUGGUUGGCCACUAAAACUUAUGUGAAAUAGGAUAAGGAUGGGGAUAAACAAGAUAGGGUUGGAAUAUAUAAGUUGGAAUAAAGUACUAAUCUUCAAAUAUUCAUUUCUCUUAUUUUAGGUAACUAAUAAAGCCAUUCCCUUGAACUAAUGAACAUGGUAGGCAGAGAGAUACACAAUAAUAUAACAAAUGGAUAUUAUGUUCCCUCACACCAUUGCUAGCUUCCUAUCCAAAAAGAAAAAGAAAAAAGAAUGUUCUGAUCUAUUAUUUCUUUGAUUAUGGAAACUUUUUAAAUAUAUAAUUAUCAUCAUCACACUUGUGGAUGCAUGCUUGGCUAAGAUUUAGUAUUAAUAUGGUUGAAACGAUCUAGUUGAAAGACGGAUAUAAGUGUUAAACAUUAUGCAUAUACACACUUAAGUUUGUAAAUUUGAUAGAAUUACUGGGAAGUUUUACUAAACUAUAAGAUUUAAUUUUGUUAGACUUUCACCGAGUGUUGAGGAUAAUAUAUUGAUUUAAAUUUAACAAGCUAAUUUAGAAGUAUAUUUUACUAAUAAUCUUAGUUUAAGUUCGAGUUUUCAAAUAACUUAUAAUAAAUAAUUUGUGACGCACCCAAUAUAGACUACAUACAAAUCUAUGAUAUGGAUGUGAAGUUGCAUUACAUAAAAUAGUUGAUGAGAAAAAUACAAGAGCUUUUGACCAAUUUUUUACUUUCUUUUAACCACUCGUGCAAUGCUUUAAUGGUUUGAUUUUUUACUUUUCAUACCAUGGAGAUGAAUGAUAAUCUAUGGGAAAGUUAGUUUCAAUCUCUCAAUAGGGAGCUGGUGGAAAGUGAAAUGAAUGAGACUUUUAAUUGUAUAUUCGAGUAGAGAAUUUCUAACCGUUCGAAGUGUACACGGCUCAAUAAAUUUCUAAAUUAACGAGUUAGGGAUGUAGGGUUACAGUCAACUAUAUAAUUAAGCCAUCAAAGUCAUUCAUUCUAAACAUGUCGAAACACACCACUACUAAGUAUUCAAUUCCAACUUGUUUUGUAACUUGAGUGUCAAAGCGUUGGUAGUUUGACGUUGCACCAGUGUUGAAUUUCUCCAUUCUGCCAAGCACUUGAACUAUUUUCUCCCAAAAUAAAAUUUUAUAUACGUUUAUUCAUUACUCUUCCAUGGGAAAAAAAGAAAUGGUGUUGCAGAAACCCCGCCUUGAAAAAAGUCUCUCAAACUCUGUCACUGUUUUUAUUUUAAUCGUAUAUCACACUUCCAUAAAGAAACUUGCUGAGUAAAUUGGACUUUGUAAUGGGCCAUAAACACAAAACAGGCUUUAAAUGUUUCGGCCUCUAAUUUUCUUAACACCAUGCUUUGAUUUCACUUUUUUCUCUUAAUUCCCAGACUAUUAGUAAAACUUUUUUGGACAAAACUUGGGAAAUAAUGAAACAAAACUUAGAUGAUAUAGUUUUCCUUUGAAUAACGUAGUUCAAGAAACUUACUGAUUCUUAUGUAAUCUUACAGCAGUUAAGAUUCUCAAGUGUAGAUUCAUUAUUUAAUUCUCGAAUUAGUAUAUGUUCAUUCCCUUAGUUUAUCUGCUCAAACCCCAAGAAAAGUUACUAUUUUCCUUUUGAGAGGCACACUUCCCAAUAUGCCUCCCAUAAGAUAUUUAUGGGCUUCAACCCAUCAUGCAAAAAACGGGAAUCGUAUGGUUCGUGAAGAUAUAAACUAGAGUGAGGGUAUAACUCUCCACCGAUGUAUGUCAAAGAUGAUGGGUCUUUUUUUUAAAAUAUAAGAUAAAGUAUAGAUAGAAAAGGAUUAGUAAUUAGGAUCUGAAGUAAAGGGAAGGUUAAGAACAUGAAAGUUUGAUCAAAUCAUAAUAGAAUCUAUUGUAAAUGGAAUGAAAUUCCUUUAAUAGCCUUUAAAGAACAAAACACAGUCGUCCAUAAAGAAAUUGAGAUGAUUAUUAUGGGAAUCCCUUUUUCAUUUUUCAAAUUUAUUAAAUUACAAUUACGACUAAAGAAUAUAUUAUAAGAAUUAAAAUAUCGUUUUUUAUUUUAUUUAAUUAUUAAUUCUUUUCAAAUGUUUAUUCUUGAAAAAAAGUAAAAACUUUAAAUUAAAAUAAAAAAUAGAUUACCCAUCAAAUUUCAGUAUUUUUACACUUUCAACUUUCAAAACAAAAUCCAAGACAAUUGCUAAUUUCAUAAAAAAAUUAGUCAUUUAUACUCUUUUUGUAAUGAGUAAUAAAGAUAGAAUGAUCAACAAACACACUUAGAUUAACACACCCUUAAUGACUUCAUUAUAUGAUGCUGCACUAUUCGGUGAACUAAUAAAUGAGUAUAAAUGGAUUUCUAAGUUAAAUGUUGGGAUAGUUUAACGAGAUCGUUUUUUGGUGCAUAUAUUUAUCGACCUGUUUAAUGAAACAGAUGUAUUUUGUUAAAAAAAGAGUUUAUUGGAUUUUUAAAAUCUUUUUUUCUUCAAGCUAUUUUGAUUAGAAAAUUGAGGGAGGUUAAAUUUUAAGUUGUUGUUUCUUUUUCUAUAAUAUUAUAUUUAAUUUAUCGAUUAUGACUGCAUGUUCCGAAAAAACGAUCUCCCAAGUAUCAAUCAAUGUUUUAGCCCAUUUUUUCUUUUAUAAUUAACUAUUAACAUUGCCUAUAUUAUGCCUCAAAUUCUUUGCCAUGUUAUUAGUGUUUUUCAAAAUAACUCAUUUCUAAAAUUAAACACUUGAAAAUUUUAAUGGAACAUUUAUUUUAAUAACUUUUGGAUAUUCAAAAUAUCGUCAGUCGAUGCUAGGUUGACACGUACAUAACCACUCUGUUUAUGCCGACAUCCAAAAGAAAAUUAUAUACAUAUGCUUAUAUUCUGAGAUUAAUUCCUUAUGUUUAUAUUCUCCAUCCUCCCAAGUGGUAUUAGGAAAAGUUUGAUGCCAUCUACUUUAGGUUCUGGUGCUACAUAUAGUAUUUUCCUUUGAAUGAAAUAUGUGAACACAAGAAAAUAAAAGAAGGUAUUAUUAGAUUUUCGUUGACAUCAUACAAAAGAAAAUUAUAAUAGAAUGUGUUGACAUUUCAUGAUCACUAUAUAUUGUGUUGACACGUAAAUGUGAGAUUCACCGAUAUUUUUAUUUACAUCGAUAUAUUUUACACCUAUAUCGCAAGAGAACCUUGCAGACACUCGAAUUUUCAUUGUUGAUCCAAAUUGUAAACCUUGCAAAAGGUAUUUUGGAUACUUUAUUCCGAGUUGAUAGAGAUGCUCACAAAAAGACACAUUAUUUCUUCUACGGCAGAAAUGCAUGAAGUAAACUUUGGUAAAUAAAAACUCCCUCAAAGCAUCAAUUCCAUUUGAGAUGAUGUGUAAUAGAUAUCAUCUCAAAGAGCAAAAAGAAAAAAGAAAAAAAAAAAAAACCAUCUCCUUGUGUUAGGGUUUUUGUCUUUUACAUACCAACUCUAUAUAAAGACUCCUUCCCCAUAGAGAAAAAUCUAAGGCAAACAAAAACUAUAUUAUCAUCAACACAAAGAUAUAUUAUUAGAGCUUACGUUCUUGAAUAUCAUUGAAAUGGCAAUGUCAAGGUCUCAACUGAAGUUGACUAGGGAUGAGGUUAGGGAGAUCUUAGAAGAGCAUGACGUGGACGGUGAUGGUAGCCUGACGAAGCAAGAGGUGAUGCAAGCCCUGAACUCCAUGGGUUCUAUGAUGUCCUUUCAGAAAGCUCACUAUGGUGUUUCUCAUGCUGACAAAGAUGGGGAUGGUAAAGUCGAUCUAGGAGAAGCAGAGAUGGAGAAUCUUAUUGACUAUGUCAUGAGGUUUCAGACCCCAAGGGCCCCAAAGACCCCAAAGGUCCCUAAGGUGCCAGCCCAAAAGCCUUGCCAUGAUGGUAAAUCAAUUGUGUAAUAAUCUUAGCUUAUUUCUAUUUAUUAUGUGUCCGUCUUCAGUCUUCGUCUACGUCUUCAUCUUGUUUUUCAGUCCAUAUAGUUUAUGUUACAAAUUGAGCCAUGGCUGUGCUCAAAUUGGCAAUUAUCCACGUAUGUUCGUUAUCUGCAGUAUUGUGUGUCACUGGUAAUAAAAUUAUCUUCUUGUUGUAUCCAUAAAUUAUUAUAUAAUAAACAUUCCUAAACUAUUAAAAAUGUCAGAUUUUCAAUUUCAUUUCAUGCCAUCGUGUGAUUUAUUAUUUAACUUUGCACUAUGUAAAUAUAAACUAAGAUCUUUUAUAAAUAUUUACAAGUAACAUAAAGUUUAAUACAUAGUAGAAUGUUUUGAAUGUAUUAUUUAGCAUUUCUAACACCCAAAAUCUAAGUGGUAUUCAAUAUUUAUUCUAUCUAUGUGAUUUAUGAUUGACUCUUAACCUUAGAAGUACUUUUAUAGUUUAACAGCUUUUAUCUGAUAAGAAAACUUGCUCUCUCCAUCGAUUAGUGUACAUCUAACUCAUGAUUAAUCAAGUAUUUAAUUGUAUCAAUGUUUACUGGUUUUUUGUUGCCCAUUUUUUCUUAACACUGUAGCUAUAAAAUUGUAUUUGCUAACUGACAAAAUUACAUGACCCAAAUAUACUAGAAAUGUUGUAAAUAAUUAACGCCAUAAUGAACCAAAUAAAAGUGUAAAGAGAGUAUACAAAAGGCAAAACACACCAUAUGAACAUUCUCAUGUAAGGAUACAAAUGUAUAUAUAAAAUGGGGCCAUUCGUUUUAUAAUAGCAGAAAGCAGUAAUUAGAAUCGAUGAUAUAUAAAAGGAAAAAGAGAUUCAUUGGACGACAUUUAAUUAAGACAAAUCAAAUAAGCCUACCAUCAUAAUUUUCUUAAAAAAUCUGUUACAUUUUUUUGAAUGGAAUACUAGUAGACCAGGGUCAUUAAUGCACCCAACGACUCAUCCAAGAUCGUUUGCCAUAGCAGCUGCAUCAGUCAUCACACUCCAGCCCAGCCCCCAUGUUGUUUACUUUUGUAUAAAAUGGUAAUCAAAUAUAGAUGUUUAUUGAAAUGUCAAUCUGUUUAAUUAAAAUACAGUAACUAAUGAAUAUGUAAUAAAGAUACUAUCCAGCCCUGCCUGUACUACUUUUCUUGGUAAUAAAAUUCUGGCGUUAGGGCUUUGCCCACUCACCUUGUUUCCUCUUAAAAAAUGAAUAUCUAAUAAGAAUUAAAAUAACCUUUUCUAAUUUUAUUCUUUAUUAACUGUCAUUUACAGCUUGUUCAAACAUUAACACUUAAAAGAUUUAAAAUUAAAAUAUGGUUUGACUUAAACUCACCCAUCUAAAUUCCAAAACAUCUUAAAGUGAAAACAUUAAUAAACUUAAAUUAAUAUCUCAUCUUCUUUUAUUUUUUGUAACCAAAGGAUGAUAUAUGCAUACAGAAAUAUGUAUUAUUGUACGUGAUAGACCACCAAAUAUUUGCUGAAUAUCUUUAUCCCCAUCGACUGGACAUUUCUAUAACUUUUGAAAAACGAUUCUUCUGUUUUGGUAGGGUUUUGUUUUUCUUUUCUUUUCUUUUCCUUUUGACAAAAAUGAUAAUAACUUGGAUUUUUGACAUUUUAUGGUUGAGUUUCAGUUUUCUUUUACAAGUCUAAAUCGUGGCUAGCUUAAGAAAUAUUUCUACAAUUCAAUUUACACUUAUAUCAUACAUUUUAAUUUUGAAUAUUUUGCUACAUCAAAUUUGAGUAAUUACAUUUUAUUUGAAUAAAUACAUCAAUUAGAGAGAGGUUAGAAAUUGCAUCCAAAAGUCUCAAAUAUGACCUUAUUUUGUUCUUCUAAAAAGAAAGAAAAAAUAUUCGUGAAUAAAGUAUAAAAUUCCAAAAAGCUGAGAUUUAAUUUAGGAUUCUUUUCAAAAAUAGGAAAAAAAAUCACAAAUUUGUUCACUCCAUAUAAAAAAAUAUUAAAAAAAAUUCAUUACAUAAAUAAUAUUUAAAAAAUUGCAUAGGACAAUAUUUUGAGAAUAUGAUAUAGCAAUUAUAGAACACUGUUUUAGAAUUUUGCAAAUAUGACAAAUGUUUUACUUCUUCAUCUUAAAUUUGUUAUUAUUCUUAAACUAUCAUUUAAUAAUUUAUUUCUCUUCCUCUUUUUAAUGCCCUAUUCAUUAUAUAUUUAUUCUCUCACUUUUUAAGGCCCUAAUUAUUUGUUUAUUCUUAUACUAGAAAAAUUAUUUAUUCAUUAUUCUCUCACUUUUUAAGGUUCUAAUUAUUUGUUUAUUCUUAUACUAUAAAAAUUAUUUAUUCUUCAUGUGUUAAUCUUAAUUUUAAAAUAUCAAUAGUAUAAUAAUUGCAAUAUGAAAUAUAAUAUAAUGGUUGGUGAUCGGAGUAAUUAACUUCAUUUGUGAUUUCUUUUUUUACUUUCUUCGAUGUGUAUUUUAAGCUGAAUCUAAUUUCAAAUGAUUUUGUUUUAUUUUUUUACAUUAAUUUUUUGAUUUUACUUUGUCUCAGUUUCAUAUAUCAGUGUUAUGAUAUACUUAUAUUAUAUAUAUUAGUUAGUUAAUAUACUUACUAUGUAAUUUUUGUUUUCUGAAAAUUUUAUAUAGAUCAUUAGAGUAUUAUUAAGUAUAUGAAUUAUUUAACUUAGUGUAUCAUUAUCAAGUAUAUCAACAAUAUAUUGUUAAAACAUAUCAAUAAAGUGAAUCAUUAUCAAGCAUAUGAAUCAAAUUUACAAGUGUAUAUCAAUAGUAUAUCAAGUGUAUAAGUAUGACUUCAAGCAUAUCGAGUGCAUUUAAUCAAUCAAUUGUGUAGAUACCGUAUUUUGUCCUGCCUUUUUAUUUUUUUCAUUAAUUUAUUUAUUAUUUUUUUAAAAGAAUUUGAAUUUGAAUUUAAAUUUAAAUUAUAAAAUUUAAAUCUUAAUUUUUAAAUUUAUGUUUUAAAACAAAAACAAAAAUAAAAACAUAUUUAAAAUUAAAUUUAAAAGUAAAGAUUUUUUUUCUUCUCCCUAUUUUUCUCAACCUUCCCCUGUUUUCCUGAGUCACAACCCUCCCACUUUCUCCCAAUCUCUCACGUUCUCCCACUCUUCCAUCUUCUUCCCCAAUCUCUCACGUUCUCCCACUCUUCCACAUUUCUGUGUACUCCAUUUCACUAUCUAAACCUACUUCACUUCUAUCUAAAAAAAGGAGACAUUUCCCUAUAAAAAGAGAAUGAGAAGAUUCAAUGGGGGGAGAAUUUUUUUUGCUGGAGAAUUAUUUGGUAGAGAAGAGGGACACGUAAAAGAUUUUUUUUGGAAGAGGUGAGGAGGAUCAACCCAGAACAUUUUGCAUUUAAGGCAGACCUUGUAAGUUCUUUUUUUUAUUCACGUUUGAUAAUACUAGCUUGAUUAUUUGGCACCCAGUAAUUAUUUCGCACCCAUCUGGGUGCUGUCUUAAUUAUUCAUUUAAAUCACUCGUUAAUUAGCUGAUGCGUUAAUCAUUGGGCACUCAUUUCACAUCUUUUAAUUAUUUGCAUCAUUUGAAUUAUUUGGCACCCAUUUGACUCUUUGAUUGCUGACCUAAUACAGUGUAUCAGGUGUAUCAAACAUAUAUUAGUAAUGUUUCAGGUGUGUAUAAAAAAGUAUCGAGUAUAUCAAAGAGUAUCCGAGCAUCAAGUGUAUCAAUCAAAUGUAUCAAAAAGUAUAAGGUGUAUCAAAGAAUGUAUUAGGUGUAUCAGACGUGUAUAAGACGUGUAUAAGGUGUGUAUAAGGUGUAUCAAACGUAUAUUAGUAACGAGGACAUUUGUGACAUUUUACCUUUUGAUGUGUGGACUGGGUUUCGUUUUUGCCAUUUUCGCAAAUAAAAUGUGUGUGCUAUAGACUUAAUUGUUAUAACUUAUUUUGUCAUUUUUGCAAGUGCCCCUAAAUAUUUUGUCAAAUUUUCUAUUUUUGACAAUUUUCCAUAAAAAAUAAUAUUAAUUAACGUUUAAUAAAGUUCAAAUCUCUUCUCUUCUCGGAUUGGUCCAAAAUGGUGAAAUUAAAUAAAUAUUAAAAGAAAAUGAGAAAAAAAAGUGUCAAUAGAUAAUUGCAAAAUAUAUACUUUUGAUUGAUGAGAUUUGAAAUUAUUUUGUCUAUCCUAGUAUUUAAAAUUUGAAAAGAAACACUUGACAUCUCUAAAAAAAAAGUUUGACAAGCAAGCAAUGGAUCGAUCCAUAAUUUUUCUUAAGAGGGACUUAAGUUAAAUUAUUUUGCAAAAAUAUUAAAAUACAACUUAAGUUCAAGAAACUUUCAAUUUAAAUUUUGCCAUAAAAUUGAAAUGAUGUCUCAUGUGUUAUUAUAAACAUUCAAUUUUGUAUUUAGUAUACAAAACACAGGAUGAACUUUGAAUACCUAAAUCCACGCAAAAUUAAAAAAAUUAUUUUAAGUUCACACUUGAAUUAAAAUUUAGAGAAGACAUCUUCUUUCCUUUUGUGAUUAUUAUUAUUUUCUCAACAGAGAAAUUAGAAGUUGGGGUAUCGGACAAAGUUAGAAAGUUCAAAACGUUCAAAACGUUCUUUAUUCUCCAAAGCUUCCUAAUCAAGAUAAGAUGGAACCAAGAGGCUACGCUUUUUAAGGACCCUUCCCUUCCACUUUCUUCUCAACAGUUCUUCAAUCGAAGAAAAACGGCGAAGGUUGCGAAGUCGUCUAGGUUUCAUCUAAAAUGACUCGUCAAUUAUAUGACAAGAAGAAAUCAGGGUACAAGUUGCAAAAAGAAGAAAUGAAAGAAAUGUUUAGGGAGCAUGAUUUCAAUGGCGACGGUCGCUUGAGCAUUAAAGAAUUGUCGAGAGCAUUCGGCCAAUUUGGCGCAUUCUUCCCUCUCUACCGUGCAGCUUUUGGGUUGUUCCUUGCAGAUGAUGACGGCGAUGGAUUUAUCAGUGAGCAAGAACUAGAUAAAGUGGUAGAUUAUGCUAUUAAAUGUAAGUAUAACCUACUUUAGUUAUCUUUUCCAUCCUGCUGUGGAAGGUUCCCUAGUGAGUGUGAGUUGUUGAUGUAAAAAAAUAAUAUACAGAAAGGUAAUUUGUGUGUUCAAGAGAUACCUUCCCCUAUUAUUGUAAAAUGCCUUUCCUGAUGGCUGAUGCGAAGAUGAUGAUGAUAGCAUUUCCAAUAAAAAUAAAUUUUAUGCUUCAUUCUUGCUCUUGCAUGAUAUGAUAACAAUUUUCUAAAUAUAUGUAUAUUGUUACAAAAUAAUAGACGCACUUUAUUUUAACAAUGUACCAGGAUCUGUUAACCUAUUAAUCUCUUGUAUCCAAAAGUUUCAAAAACAAAUUACAAGCUGAUAUAAACAAUAAUGAUUACAAAGUAAUACAAAAAUGUCAGUGUUGAAGUUUGCAGCUUAAUUAAAACUUUACAAAUAUAUUGAUAGAUACACAUCGUACAGGAACGUCCACCAAUAUCAAAAGGUACGAAAAUCAAACUAAACUGACCAAUGUCCAAUUAUCUUCAAAAUCGAUCGGUUUGGUUCACUUUGGUGAUCUAAUUAAUUUUGUUCCCCGGCAUCUUGGCUUCGGUUUUAUUAACAUUUUUUUGUAUUCUCCAUUUGUUAUAUUGGCCAUCAAAUCUAGGAAGAGAAGAGGGUGAAAUAGAGUAGGAUGUUUAAUUUGGGAGAGAAAGAGGUUCAUGAAUCUUUGAACCAUAAACUUCGUCCUAUUUGGAUGUCAAGAUUCAUGUCUCAAAUAAGUAUUUGGUAAAUUAGAAUGGUGAACCGAAGAAAUAUCUUCUCGUAAAGGCUUGUUGAACAUAUAGCUUGCUCGCUGUAUAUGAUGUACUGAUUCAAUAUCUGAUCUAUGAAACAAAACAAACAUGGUGAACUUACAUUUCUUUUUUUAAACUUUAGAUACUGUUGUGUAUUUUCAUUUCUAAAACUUUGAGAAAAAAAACUAUUUACUUUCCUAAAGUAAAUAGUAAAAUAGUUUAAAUUAUGUGAAAAUAUUUACAAAACACACAAAAAUUUCAAAUUCUAUCCAGAAUAGAUAAUGAUUAACUUUUGUUGGUGUCUAUGUUGAGUGCAAUGUCUAUCAUUAAGAAAAUCUUAAAUCUAAACUUUUGGUGGCAACAAGCAACAAGCAACGUACAUCUUGAAUAUAAUUAUUACUCAAAUUAUUUUUCUUAACAAAAUAACUAAUGUUGUUAAACAUUGUUCAUGGUAAAGACGUAGAACCCUAAUUUGCCCACACAAACAACGAAUGCUCGAAUUCUAUUGUUAAUAAUUUAUCCUCAUAUGUGUGGGUUUUUCUCUAGUAUAUAAUAUUUCGGUAUACCUACUAAUCCAUUCUAGAAUAAUUUCUUGGUAAACAAAAAAAACUAUAAAUUAUAAAGGAAUGAAUAAAUUAGAAUAGACUAAAAAUAGAUUACUCAAUUUUUUAAAGUUAUUAUUCCAAUCUUAAAGCUUAAGUUCAACAGAUGAUGUCAAAACACUAUCUACGUCAAUCACUAUCUGAUUUGCCACUUUUGUUAAUAAUAUAAACUCAACUUUUCUAUUUUUGACAACUUUUCUAAAUUCUAAUUUUUAUAAUUAAACAAAACGUACAUACAAAAUAUAUAUUUACAAAUAAAAUUCUGAAGUGAAAUUCUAUUUUAAUUUAAAAGUAAUUGACAAAUUUUGUUAUAUUUUUUUAAAAAAAUAUUACUAUAUAUUUGAAAUGUGCUACUUGUUGCAUUUACCAUAUUUUUUAAUCUUUCACCAAUAAAUUUAAAAUCCUAAUUUAAUUAAUCUUCAUUCUCAUAAGAAUGAUAAUUGCAUAAGCAUAAUAAUUUAUUCUUUCACAUUAUUUCCAACUUCUAUACAAGUAUUUAUAAUUGAAAAUUAUUAAAAAUAACAAAAAUUGUUGAAAAUAUCUAUCUAAUAUAGUAAAAUUUUCCAUUCAUCGAUAAGGGUAGAUUUGAAAAAAUGAUAUCAAGUUAUAAUCUUAGUUCUAAAAAAACCAAAACUUGUAUUUCUAUUUCUUCAACCCUUUCCACAUAACCAAGGUCCAAUAUUUGAAAAGGAAAAAGAAAAGUAGGUAUUCAAAAUUAAAAGAUGUGGGAAUUAAAACAGCCGUAAUUAGCAUAUGCAAGGUUUUUGUUUUUAAUCAGUAUGUUGUUUCUUUAAACACUUAUUAUUACGAUUAUGUAAUAAAUUUAAGACUUAUUAGAGAAAUGUUGUUGUUAGGUUUUUGGCGAUUCCAACAUAUAUAUCGUAGUUUUUUUAAAAAAGAAAUAGAAAAGAAAAAGGAACUAAGGAAGGGGAUGGAAAAACCUAAAUCGGAGGUAUGGUGAUGGGGAACGGUAAGGGAAGUCGGAAUCCAUUUCCGGCAACGAAAAGUAAUUAAGGAAAGAAAAUUCCAUAAAUUAUUAGCAGAAUCAAUAAUGGGAAAAAUAUAAAGGUAUGCUUGGAUGCAGGAAUGAUUUAUGGUGGACUACUCACUCAAAAUUAUUCCUUUGUUCCUUCCUUUAUUUAUUUUGAUGCACCACCACAUUUUCAAAUUACCACCAUGCAUGAAGAUAUAUAUAUUAUAUAUAUAUAUAUAUGAGCCAUGAAUAUUUUUUAAAUAUUAAUAUUAGAAAUAUAGAAGAAAACGAAAACCUAAGUUAAUAUUUUGUGUAAAUUUGGUAGUGAGGGUGAAAGUGGGAAGAUAAGAAUAGGGAACAAAUGAAUCAGCCACACCCAUAAUGAAGAUGGUACCCAACUUGGAAAUCUGAGUAUCUUUGAACGAACAGUAUUUUGGUAUCUCUUUUUUUUUAUAAAGAUACUUUGAGAUAGCUGAUGCAAGGCCACAUGGGAACAUAUCAAUGCAUCAACUAUAGCCCCACUUCAUUAAUAAUAAAAGGUGAUUACAAGAAGCGGGGAAUAGAAAGGUUAGAGGGCAGCCCGAUUAUCCCAAAACGAAAGCAUGUAAAUUUAAAGCAAUAGAACUGGACGGGUAAUUUUUGAAAAGAGAAGAACGACUCGACCAUAGACCAGUUAUAGCUUGAAUGUCUUCCCAUACAGAAACAUCUGAUUUCUCUUCUCCCUUAAAAGUCCUUAUGUUUCUUUCAUUCCAGAUAUUCCACAGGGUAGCAGCCACCAGAUGUUGUUCAAUGGUUUGUCUUUUUUAUUUACCUUUAGUUUUGAAAGGUUGUUUGCAUAAAACAGUAGAAUCUAUAUGGGGGAGAAGUUUGUCUAGUACCUCUUCAACUUUUUUCCACAGGUUUUUUUUGUGAAGGGGAAGAGGGAGAAUAAAUGAAUACUAUGUCAUUCACCAUUUUCUAAUGUCAUACUUUUAAUGGUAAAUACUUAGACGUUUCAUGAAAUUUAUUUAUGAUUUAUCUAUGUACGUUUACUAAUUGGAUGUUUAAUUACAAUAUUUUUACCAAUGACGAGAUUCUUCAUCUUUUUAGUUUUUCUUAUUCCUUGAUGAUUGUAGGAUGCAUUCAAGAUCCAUCCAAUUUCAUUUUUAGAUUUUUGAAAUUGUUAAAAUAAUUUUUGUCAUAUUAAAAAAUAAUUUAAAUAUAUUUUAGUAAUUUUUCUAUCGUUUUGUUUCAUAGCAAAUAUAAUUUAAAUUCAAAUUCGGUAGAAAUAAGAGAAAGAUGUGAAAAAAUGGUACAUUUUUGCAAUACGACAACGCACUCUUUCAACUAAACUAUAUAUGCUCGAUUUGACUAGUAUUAUUGCAUUGAAAUCGACACAAAAUGGGUAGAAAAUAAGUGGGUAUUAUAAUACCAAAGCAUCAAAUAUGCAAAGCCACCACUGUGAAACUCUUAAAGCCUAAAAGAUAAAACGCAAAUUGCCAAAAGCAUCUUCCAUCCUUUACCUUGUUGGAAAAUUCAUUAAGUACUUAUUAAUUAAUUGCGAUAACAAAGGAAUAAUUGAAUUGUGAAUUUGUCACUCUUUAAUCACUUUCUGGAUUUGGGUGAUCAAGUUUAACUUUAUUAACUUUCAAUUUUUAGGAAUUGAAUUCUAGACUCUAGUGAGUAUUAAUACACGUUUAAAUUGGUAUUAAAUUUGUUUUUAAUGUUAUAUGUGUUUUAGUCUCCUUUAAAUAUCUCUACCUUGUUAAGAUAUAUACAUUUCCUCUGCCUCCUUGUUAAAAGAAAAUUGGUAUAAAACAAAGAUUUCCAAAAACCAACAAAUAAAUCAAAAUCUCAAAAGGGCAAAAAAAAGAGUAAAAGCCAGAGUCUUGUCAAAUUAAUUAUAAGAAUCCUCAUAGCUAGCUUUAACUGCAAGUUCUAGAAACAAAAUGAAUAAAUUUAAUCGAUAUCAUUCUUUUAAUAAAUGUUUCAAAGUACGUAAAUAAAACUACACAUAGUUAGAUAGUUAUUAAUUAUUUGACAAGGUGUAACAGAUAAUACCCUAUAAACAACGAUCCAUUUUUGACAAUUUUUUAUUGCAACCCAAACUUUAUCUAAAAGUUUUUCAUGCAACAAUAUAUCAUGACUAACUUUACAAGACCAAUAAGGUUUUACAUCCAAAGAAAAGAAAAUGUAAUAGAUAAGUAAGGAUAGUUAUUAAAUUUUUUUUUAUGCAUGAAAACUUUCUGAACUGAUAAUGAAAUCAGAAGAAUAUUGACUACUUUCAAGACACGUAUUCGAUUCUUCACGUGAGCUUCGUAAAGUUGAUGUUAAACGUUUUGGCAGUAUCCUCUUUUUUCUUCUUUUUCCAUUUUAUUAUUUUUAUAUAAAGAAAAAUGAAAUUCUCCUUUCUAAAAAUUCAGAAAAUACCUCAUAAAAAAAAAAUAGUAAAAUGUAAUAUUUUAAUUCUAAGAAAAGAUUCCAUAUAUCAUUAUGAUACCAAUAUGAUUACAAAGAAAGUGGGAGAAUUCUACUAUAAAUACCCCACGAUCCAUACAUCGAUAAACACCAAGCAAACCAUAAAAAAAAUACGAACAUUUUGCUCCAACACUAAACCGUAUCAUUUCUAAGAAAAUGUCUCGUGCAGCAACCAGGCUACAGCUCUCCAGGGAGGAUAUAAAGGAGAUUUUUAGAGAGCACGACAUCGAUGGAGAUGGUCGAUUGAGCAUGAACGAGAUGGUGAAGGCCUUCGGGUGCUUUGGCAGUAUUCUUCCUUUCUACAAAGCACACUACGGAAUGGCUCAUGCUGAUGAGAAUGGCGAUGGCUUCAUCGAAGAGGAGGAGCUCGACAAGCUUGUCGACUAUGCCCAGAAGUUUCAGCACAAGAGAAAGUGCUGAGGUUAAUUAUAUGUAAUUUUCCUCAGUCUGCUGGUCAUAAUGUCAUUAACACUUUCAGUUUACAUGCACUACUUUAAAUAUUAUACUCUCAUGUUUAGAAGUUUUAAUGUGUUGUUGUAUAAAUAAAGAAAAGAAAAAGAAGGGCUAGGCUACGUAGCUAAAAUUCCUGCUUUGCCUUAGCUAUCAAAAGGGGAGACGUUGUCUUUGUGUUUCAAAAAAUAAAAUAAAUAAAAAAUAAAAUCAUAUUGAGAUAGUUUAUCUCAUUAUUAUCAUAUUUGUAAGUUGUGCGUUUUUUACAAAGAAAUUGGAGGAAAAUGAUCAACAUAAGUGCAUCCAAAUAUCUCAAUAGAUUGUGUUUACUACUUUUAAAGAUUUUUCUAUAAAAAAAGAAAAGAAAGUAAAACAUCAAUCUAGCUAAAUCCUUUUGAAUACUUCGACAUCUAUUUAUCUCUUUACUCUAUUAGUGUUUUCUUUUUCUUUUUAAAAAACUAGUCUUAAUAUUAUUUAAUGUUACUGUAUAUAUCAUAUAUCGCAUUUUAUAUAAAAUUGAAUGGUAUAUUUAAUUUUUAAAUUAAAAAAUUCAAUAUUGUACGAUCAUGUAUUCAAUACAUGAUUACAAUACCUUUGUUUUCAAAGCACCUUGGUUCUUGAAAAAUCAGAACUCUAUGAUUCUUCUUAACCAAAUCGGUUAUGGUGAUUGCCCUAAUUUUGCAUUCUAAGGGCUCAUUUUGGGAAGCUUGUCUAAAAGUUACAAUAGCAUAUUCAGAGCGUCGUAUCACACUUUAAUUCUCUGUAGGACAUGUGUUUCGAUGAAACUCUAAAAAAAGGUUUAAACAAAAAUAAAGUGUUUUAUUGAAAAAUACAUUUUUUUUAAAAAAAAUUCAAUCUAACUAACCCUUAAAUUUUAUUUAAAUUUCUAAACUUUUGUCUCGCUAUUUUGGAAAUUUUAUGAAGUUUACGUUUGGAUAACCUUUAGAAGUAAGACUUUAUUUUAGUGUGCAAUUGUUUUAAACUGAGUUUAAAAUUUGAUUAUUAAGGAUGUGUUCUCGACGAAGAAUUUUGGAAUAUAUGGGCAUAUGGAUGGAAGAAAACUAAAGCCCCUUGGAUGACGAUAAACGUAGGAGGAAUAUAAAUUUACAACCCAUCAUACUUUUUUUUUCCUAUGAUGAACCAUAGUCAAUCCACCUUUUACAAUUAUAUUUUUAAAGGCUCAUCUUGGUCACCAUCUUACUUUUAUUGGUUUGUUCUCAAAUUAUAUUAGUUUUUACAGUAACAUUUUAUUAAAUCACUUAUGUAUCUUUUUCAAAAAAAAAAAUAAAAAAAAAUCACUGAUUAAUUAAUAAAAAACUUAGGCUAAAUGUUGAUAGAACGUAUAUUUUUAGUACUUUAUGUUAGUUCAGGUACUUAGUAGUUCAAAGUUGUUUAUUUAUACAUUUUUUUUAAGAAAGCAAUUGUUUCUUAAAUACGAUAAGAACAUAUGAAAACACAAUGCCUAUCAGAAAUUAUUAAGUAAAAAAUUAAGAUUUUUAAUUAACCAACGUAGGUUUUUUCUAGGUCUACAAACAUGACAGCUUAAAGAAGAUGGACAGCAACUUAAAAUUAAAAUUAAAAUAAUAAUAAAAGAAAUUCCUCAACUUUGUCCUUUAUUUUAAAAAUAUUUUUAUUCUUUCGAAAGGUAGAAUAUUAUCUUUGACUUUGAACAUUACAAAACUGUUCUUUAGAAAUAUAUGUGUUAAAAUAUCUUAUUGAAGUUAGAACCUGAAAUAGUAUAUGUUGAUGACUGAGAAUGAUGCGGCAGUAUUAUCUUUGAGGAUGGCCUAAUUAAACAUUGUUUUUAUCACUUUUUGCAUUAUGCUCAACAUUUUACUAACAUUUCUUAUCUCUGAAGUAUAUAUUUUUUUACAGAAAAAAAAAUAAUGUUACGUAUGUACAUGUUAAUCUUUCUUCGUUUUCUUUAUAAGAAACCAGAAGGCACAAAACACACAAAACACAAUUACAAAAACUUUCUAUAGCUGAAAGAUGAAAUGGGAAUAUGAUUCCAGUGAAGAAAUUUAGAGAUAAUACGACUUUUGAUAAUGCAUUAUAAAUACCAUUCGCUUUCACUACUUGAUGAUACAUAUCAAACAAAAUCUUAAAGCCACGUCUAACUAAAACCCUAAAGCCAACCACAAGAAUGGAAGAAAAAAGUCUUUUUGUUGCACUCCAAAAGCCUCUGUCAGAGAAGGAAGCAAACCUUCUGCUCGAGAUGCGCGAUGCCAACGGCGAUGGAGUUCUCGAUAAGCAGGAACUGAUGGCUGACUUGACACACACUAACAAAAAACCCUCCACAAGCUUACAAGACAUGAAACUCACAAGGGAAGAGAUCAAAGAAAUUUUUGUAGGUUUCGACAUCGAUGGCGAUGGUUUUCUAAGUAAGAAUGAGGUAAUACAGGCCUUCGGUAUGAUGGGUUCAUGCUCCCCGAUUAUGAAAGCUCACUACGCCAUGGCUUGUGCUGAUGAAGAUGGCGACGGUCGCAUUAGCGAGCCUGAACUUAAUAAACUCAUUGAUUAUGUUCAGAGAACCAUUAACAGGAGGAGGUUAAAUUAAUUAGCUAUGAGACAUAUUCAUAUGUAUGUAUGUACUGCUACAUAAUAAAUUUAAAGUUUCAAAAUAACUUUUGAAUUUAAUGUGGGUGGAGGAUUGAACUCAAAUUAAAACUAUUAGAUUAUUGGCAGGUUAAAAAUAGCUUCUAGAUCCUAAACCUUUCUAAAAGAAAUAAUUGAGUUAUAUAAAUGAAAAUAUAGUUUGAGACAAUUUAUUAGUUUGGUGUACUUUUGAAUUUGAAGCAAUUUGGUUCCCUAUACUUAUAUUUGUAAUAAUUUAUGAAAGAAGAGUUGUUGAUAUCCACUUUCCCUUCCUUUCAGCUCCCUCUCUUUUUCCCUUUUGGCACCAUCACCACAGUUCACAUUAGAGCAUUCACCAAUCGUUCACCCGUUGGAAGCGAUCAUGCGCCAUUCGUCCUCAUUUAUCAGCCGUUUUUCAUCACCGUCAACUUUCGUAGGCCACUUAUUGUUGGAUAGAAAAUUAUUGCGAAUAUCACGUGACUAUAAGAAUAUAUUGAUUAUAGUAGUUUAUCGCUAAUAAAUUUCGUUAUAUUUAUCAAAUUUUUGUAGAAUAUUGUCGUACACUUAAAGUCCCAAAGUUGCUGGGCUGCUGCUUUGUUAUGGCCCAAGUGGGAAUAAGGGUUUGAUCCGAUCUGAAUUUUGGUGGCAGGUAUAAAGGAGGGAGAAGAAUAGGAAACAUGGAGGAAUUGCACAUGGGUGAUGUAAAUUCAAUAAUCCUAAUUUCAAUUGUAUAUCCUUUGAUUUUUUGAAAUCAGAAUUGAAAAUCUCUCUCUAAACUCUGCUCUUUCCAUUAUGAUUUUUGGAAUAAAAUUACGAACAACUCAAACAUGGAAAUAGAGGAAAGGCCAUGAUGUACGUGGUUGGGUUAAAUGAACCCUAACCAUAAGUGGAAGAUUUAUUCUUUUGAAGGCUACAAGAAGAUAUAUGGUUUAUUUAUUUCAUUUUUUUUUUUUUAAUUUUACAGCAAUGAUCUAUUUGUGUAUGGGUAUUAUCUGUUGCAAUGAAACUCUUAGGAAAAAUAAAGCCGUUGGAAUCAAAUUAAAUAUUCUUCACCAUGUAUACAAAGUGAAGACAUUUUACCACGGGUGACACAUACAAUAUUGCAGAAAACCAAAGUACAACAACAAACAACAUACAUGGCUCCAUUGUAGAGCAUAAACCAUAUUGACCCAAAACCAUACGAGCAAACACAUAGACAUAAAUAAUACAAAAUAGAUUACUUGGUCGACCGACUUGAUUUAUCAUCCUGCCGUUGCUUUGCAUUAUUAAACCUCAUGACAUGGUCGACGAGUUUCUCCAACUCGUUUUCAUCACAGAAACCAUCACCAUCUUUGUCAGCAAAAGCCAUCCCAUAGAAAGCUUUCUGGAAUGAAUUGAUCAUAAACCCCGUAGAGCUUAGGGCUUGCAUCACCUCUUGAUAUUUUUCUUCUAGUAGUUCAACAAAUCUUGCCUCAUCUUACUCCUUAACUAAAUCAUCUCUCUAACCUUUUCCUAUUUUGGUUUUGAUUUUUGAUUUUACCUUUUUCAACUUGUUAUUUGAAAAUAAGCUAUUAGCUACUCUCAAGCAUUCUCAUUCUCAUUCUCAGUUGAAAAUACAAUGGCUAAAAACUUAACAAAUUUAGGACUACAAGAAGCAAGAUGAUAUUUUAACUUUUUUAAAAAAGAAACAUUUAUUUUUCCAAUUACUAUAUGUCGAAUCCCACUAAAAAUAAUCCAAAGUGAAAGAGAUGAGAUAUAUCUAAUUUCCCCCUCGCAUUAUUAUUCAAGAGUCUCUAUCAAUGCAUGGGAUUAUUCUAGUUGGGUGGAAUUGAAUGUGGCCUUCUACUUCUAGAAUCUAACCUAAUAAUCUUGACUUACUUCCAUUUGGUCCUUACGAAUUCGAUUCCACAUAAUCAGAAGGUGACGACAUCAUAUCCAUAUCUAUCAUCCUUGUUGAUUCUUUUAACAUUAAAUAAAGAAAAUUUGUAAAAAUAGCAAAAUAUAUAUAUAUAUAUGAUAAUAGAGUCCAUGUCAUUUUACAUUUUUAAAAUUACAAAAACAACAAAUUUAAAAAUAGUGAUUACUGUCAUAUUUGCAAAUUUUGCAAUAUGCAAAAAAGAGGUGUUAAUUAGCUGUUUUUUCCUAUUUUUUUAAUCAUUUAAUGCAAUUUUUCUUAAAUAAAUUAAAAUUUUGUUUAUUUGUCACAUAGUUGGUAGUUUGUUGGUUCAGUUUUACUCUUUGAUUUAAACUAAAAGUGAUUAGACUUUAAAUGGAUAUUUGUUUUAGGAUAAUAAUUGAGUGCAUGUCCAGUAGCACCUAUCUCUAUGGAUACUAUCUUUAUUAUUCACAAAAAAAAAAGAAAUAAAUUAUUGUAAAAAACGCAAACAAAUUGUUAUAUGUCAAACAAUAUGGUUGAACUAUUUGGUGAAAUAUAUACAUGUAAGUAUUAAUUUUGUUAUUUUGAAUUUAUUCAGUAUAGUAUAAUAAAAAGUGUAGAAAAUUCAAAUAGGUAUUUGAUAAUAUACAUACAUAUAUACAUAUAUAUUGUAGAUACCCUAUUUUGUCAUAUAUUUAUUUAUUAUAAAAGAAAAAGGAAAAGAAAAAGAAAUUAAAUUUGAAUUUGAAUUUGAAUUUAUAUUUUAAAAACAAUAAUAAUAAUAAAAUAAAUACAUUUAAAAAUAAAUAAUAAAAAUAAAAAUAAAAGGUUUGUUUCCUUCCUAUUUUUUCUCAAAUAUCCAUUUUUCUUCGUCAUCACUCUCCCACUUUCUCCCACUCUAUCACUUUCUCCCACUCUUCCACUUUCUUCCUAUUUUUCUGUAGUCUGCACUCCAUCUCGUGAUCUAAAAAAACAAUGGACCUUGCCCUAUAAAAAGGAAAGAGAAAAAAAGAAAAGGGAGAAUUUUUUUUUAUUAUUAUUGGAGGAAAAAAGAAAGAAGAUCAAGAGGAGUAACCUUUGGCAUUUAAGGGCAGAAGUUUUUUUUUUUUUCCUAUUUUUAUUCUUGUUUGAUGAUACUGCUUUUAAUUAUGAACUAUCGUGUUCAUCAUUGUUCAUCAUUUUACCGUCAUUUGACAUGUUAAUUUAAUUAUUUGUAUUUUUUUUAAUACUAAGCAUUCUAUCUUCCGUUCUAUAUUAAUUUUUUUUAUUUUUUUAAAUAUUGAGCUGUUCUGUGUUAUUUUUUUUUUUGUUGGGUAUCCAUUGUGUUAAUUUCCUUUUAUUAUUGGGCAUCCACUCUAUGUUAAUUUACUUUUAUUAUUGGGCAUCCACUCUGUGUUAAUUUUCUUUUAUUUAUUGGGCAUCCAUUCUGUGGUGAUUUCCUUUUAUUAUUGGGCAUCCAUUCUGUGUUAAUUAAUUAGCAUCAUGUAUUUGUAUUUGGAUACUCAUUUUUCAUUGGCACCCAUUUUACAGUUAAUUACUUAUAUCCAUAUGACAACAUGCCUUAAUAAUUAUGCAUAAUUAAUCAAUUAACAUCAUGUAUUUGGUAAUACUCAUUCUUCAUUGGCAUCCAUUUUACAGUCUUUGUUAAUUACUUUAUCCAUAUAUCCAUAUGGCAGUACUGCGUUAAUAAUUACUGCUAUCCAUAUAUUAUCAAUGUUAAUAAUUAUCCAUGAUAUAAUUAAUAUUUGGCAACACCCAUUUUUCAUUUGGCCUAUUAAUUAAUUAGCAACUUGUAUGUGACAUUUUCACCCACUCAUUCUAAUUAUUUGCAUGAUGUAUUAAUUAAUCAGUAUGCAUCUGGCUAUAAUUAUUUGAUAUUCAUUUUGGUGUGAUUAUUUAUUUGCAAUAUUAUUUAUUUGCAUAUCGGGUCAAACCUACUUUGGCAUUCAACUGUUAAUUAUUAUUUGAUAUCCAUUUGGCCCUCGUUUAAUUAUGCAUUAAUCAAUUAUUUUGUAUCAUGAAUUAAUCAAUUAUUUUUUGCAUCUUGCAUGUGUUGUAUUAAUUAAUUAUCUUUGCAUGUGUUGUAUUAAUUAAUUAUCUUGCAUCCUACAUUAAUAUCUUUUACAUUUUGCAUAUAUUAUCAAUGUAUUUAUUUUAUCUCAGCAUAUUACACUUAAGUAUUUUUCAAAUUUCAUAAUGUUUUGUCAUUGUUAUUAUUCAUUUUUUUUAUUUAAAUAUAAUAAUGUAAAUUGGAGAAAAAGUAUUGUUUUCUUAUGGAUUUUAUAAUUUAAAAACCAUGAAUACAUGAAAUUUUUCCGUUUGAAAUUUAAUUAAUAGAUUGUUUUUAAAUUAACACAUUUCAUAUUUUAAAUGAGACUGAGUAGUAUUUUCUAUGAAUUUAUUAAUUCUAGAUAUAUGAAUUUUUUCAUUAAACACCUAUGAUAGAGAUUAAAAUAUCAAGUUUUUGGUAUCUUAAUAUUCUUAAGGUGAAUAAAAAUAUUUUAAAACAAAAAUAAACUUAAUUUUUCUAAUGGCUCCUAUGCCACCCAUAAUUAUCAAUUCAUGCUUAGGUUUUACUUUCUUCGAUAUGAAUUGAUAAACAUGAGACAUUUAAACAAAACCUAAAUAAAAACUUUGUUAUGUGAACCCUUAUAUUUAAUUUAAAAGAUAAAAUUGGGUAACCAUUUUGUGGGUGUUGUAGGGUGCUAACACCUUCCCUACACACAACUGACUCCCGAACUUAAAUCUCUGAAUUUACGUAGACCAUUCUUUUUUUUUUUUUUUUGGUGACCAAUCACACCUUAAUAUGAUUGGUGGCGACUCCAAAAUUAUUUAUUAAAAUAAAAUAAACGGGGAGGUCGGCCGCUCCGCGUAGCGAUCACGUCGCGACAUAUAUAUAUAUAUAUAUAUCAAACAGGGCUCAUUUCCUUUCAAAAAGAGUUAUGUAAUGACAUGAAACAUCACAAAUAAAAGUUGGAAAAAGAGGAAUAGAAAAAUUAGAAAAGAAAAGAGAAGGAUUAUCACCUUUUGUAAGAAUAUGGUCCCUUUUGUCCCUUUCGAAAGAAAUGUAGGAACCUAUUUUCCUCAAUUGUUAAAUUUCAAUAUAAAUAAUCAAAAUGAUUGUAAAUUAAAAUAUUUAUAAAUAUAAUAUAAUUAAAUAAUCUCAAAAUUUUCUAUAUAUAUUUUUUAUAAUUAUUUUAGUUUAUUUUAUUAUAUUUGGAAUGUUAUUUUUUCUUCCAUUAUUAAUUUUUUAGGUAAUUAAAGUGAAAGAUUUGAUUCAAGUACUAGUAAUUGCAAGGUUUUUAUUAGCACCCAUCGCUGGAAUUGUUUAAAUAUAAAAUUUAUAUGUGAAAGGAUUAAUUAAAGAAUAAACUAGUUUAGGGUAAUUGACUCACGGAGUGAUCUUCAUCCUACGUAUAAUAGUGGUGUUUGAGCAACAAUGUUGCUAGCUAGCUAGCUUGUGAUCUCUAUCUAUGUCUUCAUAUAACAUUAAUACUUCUAUUGAUCUCAAUUUUCCUCUAUGCUUCUAUCCGUUUAAUUAAACCAAUCUUCGUGUUAGUUUAGAAUAAUCAUAAGUUUUGAAUUAAUUAAUUUUUAGUGAUGACUUUGUUUCUCCACCCCUCACAAAGUUGAACUAAAAAAAUUGAUUAAUAACCGGGGUUAUCAGUCCUUUAUUUUCUUCAAAAUAAUAUUUACUUAUAUUACCCUAAUGUUUAAAAUUAUAUCCUGAAAACCAUGUGAAUAACACUUAAAAGAACAAAAAGGCAUUGUUUGAAAAAAAUUAUUUAAAAUAUAGAAUCUUUUGAUUUUCAAAAGCAAAGAUUCAGUAAAGAACAACUUUGGAGAUCACUAUCUUUUAGAUGUGAUGUGUGGAAUAAUCGUCCCUGAAGUGGGAGUGAUACAGAUGAUAUACAAAAGAAAAUAUCAGAAAGCACUAACAAUUAAUGAUGUCUUUAAUACUCUUCUAGUGAAUCUAAUUUAUUUCCAAGGACUCUACCAUAUGUGAGGAAUAUUUGACUGCAUCCAUUUUUACGAAGUCUACUUAAUUGUAACUUGUCCUAUGAUAAAUAUUAGUAUUACACAAUCCACAAUCAAUUAGGCCUAGUACUUGGGAAGUUCUCCAAAGAGCAUAUACAGUAGCAAAGUAUUUGAUGGAUGAUAAAUAGAAAUAGGUUAGAUUUUUUUUCUAGGGUUUGCAAUUGAAGAGUUAAUUUCUUUGAGGAACAAUAUUCACAAAGCAAGAGGGAUCAAGAGAUACAUUAAGACAUCUAAACUAAAUUGACACAUCUCUAACACUUUCAACAAAUUCUAUAACUGAAAGAUGUAUUAAUUACAAUGAGAGAGAACAUAAUGAAAGCCAGAAGGAAGCUUGGGACAGUACAUAGAGUUAGAGCUAUACAAGACGAAGGCUUCCAAUUUAGGAAAAUUUUGACAAGGAUAACAGUAUAUCUAAUUUUUAAUAGGAAUGUAAAUUUGAAAACUUGCAUACCCCUAAUAAUCUGUAGAUACAAAUUUAAGUACUUUUAAAAUUUAAUUUUAUGAAUCAAUUAUACAUUAAACUGCAGAGAGCCAUACUAAACACUUUUCAAAACCGUUACCCAGUGAAAUAAUUAAUUCCAAGAACCAUAAUAAUUAAAUAUGGAGUAAUUUUGUAUAAUAAUCAAGUUGAUGAUUGAUUUGUUGUGAAAUAUUUAUGCUCUUGUCUUGUCAUUUCAAAGUACUGUAGCUUUAAGUGGAUGGUUCUUUUUCCCUCCGAUGCAAAUUCCAAAUUCCAAAUCAACUCCAAAUAUCAUAAAUUUAUUCUUCGACAAAUAAAGAAAGAGUACUAUAUAUGAUCAUAAAAUUAUUUGAAUUGGAAUCAUUCAAAUUGUUUGUACUAUAUAUGAUCAUAACACAGUUUUUUUGCAUAGGCUACACUCAUCUCUACCUUAUUAUUAGAAGGUAACCUGGUUAUCAUUGAGCAUGUGAAAGGUAAAUAAUGUAUUUAAUAUAAAAAUCAAGAUCUCUCUAAUUUUUCUUCGACGUGAUAUUCUUUAACCCUAGUUAGUGGGGUACGCUAAGAAAAUGUAGUAUAAAUACACAAAACCACGACCACCAAAGCUCACAAAACAAAACCCCCAUUCCUCCUGAACCUCCUUCUCCAAAGAAAAAAGAAUGGCGUUCCGUUCAGUGAACAAUCUUCAAUUCUGGAAGGAUGACAUGAGGAGAGCUUACAGAGAGAAAGUUGGGAGUUCAAGAAGAAGGCGUAUCAAAAUCCGCGACAUCAUCGACGUCUUAGAAAUCGUCGGACCCAUCAUCCCUCAUUUCUUCGGUAGUAACUCUCUCAGUGCCGGUCCCGACAACUACAGUAAUUAUGGUAAUAACCACAUGAAUGGUAGUUAUGGUCGUCGUGACGAUGACAUGCAUUCUUUCCACUGUGGCGGCGGCGGUGGUGGCCGGUUCGGUCUUGACAUGGGUUCUGGUGAUUAUGGGAAUGAAAGCAGGCACUACGGUGGACGUGGAAAUGGUAACAGUCAGUACGGGAUGAGGAUGGCUCUUGCUGAAGACUAUUAUGAUCGUGAAAUCACCGAGGAAGAGUUUGAGAGGCUUCUUGACUUUGCUGAGCAGAGUCAUAACAAUAAUUCCAGAAUGUACUGAUCAAAAUAUAAUAUAAAAAUUAUAUGUGUGGGACAAAAUAUAAUAAUAUCAACCCCUUCCUUCUUGUAAUCUACACCACUUCUACUCUAUUAUCCUUCUAAUAAAAUUUAAAAAAGUAAUAAUGGACUGCCUUGCUACUCCUUUUUCUUUCUUUUUCAUAAUAAAAAAAAAGUUACUUGAGGUUUUUCUUUCGAUAAAAAUGUUAGAAAUUAAAAAUUUGCAAGUGUUAAGUAAUAUAGGAUUUAUAAUGGCAGUGAAUAUUAUUAGAUAAUAUGAUUAUAUGAAAUUGGUUUUAAGUUUAUCUUAAAUUUAAUUUAGCAUUGUAUUAACUUCAACUAAUUUAGAUUUAUUGAACUUAAUUAAAUUUGAAAGACUAAUUUAAAUUUAAAAACCGUUAGCAAAUAUAAUAAUUAAAUUUAAAGCAAUAGAAUUUAUCACACUUGCCUAUAUUUACAAUUUACCAUUAUUUACCAUUUCUUUUUAAUUAUUAUUUCUAAAAUAUUUUUAUAAUAGUUAUCCUAAAAUUUAUAUAAUAGAUGUCAUUGAAAAUUCAUCUAAAAAAAUUUAUACACCCAGAAGAGUUCGGCCCAUUGAUUGAAGCAGCCUUCUUCCGAUCAUGUUUAAUUUUAUCACUCUUUUCGCCUAAUUAUAUAAGCAUUUCGUAUGAGGAUGAGGGAAAGACAUUAUUCAUUAAAAGCACCUGCAUCAUAUUAGGGAGAGAGUAAAGUUAUUUUUCGUUUUUAAAGAAAUAAAAGUCUUUUUUUUUUCUGUUGAGGUGUCAAUUAGAGAUUUCAUAUCACUUGUAGAAUACGAUGAGGAUGCUAAAAAUGUAUUAAUGUAGUUGAGAGAUGAUUUGGAUGCUUCUGGUGAUUCUAUCAUUUAGUGUCUUUGUUGAAAAAUAUAUGAGGAUUUUAACUUCUUAACGUUAAACUAGAAAAAUAUCCUUAAAUACUAUGGACUAAGAGAGAGGGUCAAUGGGCUUUUACAUGCCAAAUAUACAAACAUGAGAGAACUAAAUAACAUAAAAAGAAAAAGGAAACCGAGGAUAUAUAUAUAUAUAUAUAUAUACGUGAGGACUAUGAACACCGAUGAACAACCUUUGAUUUUCCAGCCACGGUGUAUACUGUAUAACUUGUUUUGUUGUUAUGUAUUAGACUUAUUUAUUUUUCAAAAUAUUUAUGUAUAAUUGCUUUUAAGAGAAAUGUAGUUGAGAAAUGUAUAAUUAUUUUUGAAAAUAUAUAUAUUCAAACAAGUGAUUUGAUAUAUAUAACAGACGAUGCUUUUAGGAAACUUUAGCAAAGUUUAUUGCAUAAAAGAAAAUAGAGUAUUUUUAUAGCAUCUCUAUCACUUCAGAAUAAAAUAUGACAGCAUGAUCUUCCGCGUGGUUUAAUUUACAAUUUGGAUCAACAUUGAAACUUCAAGUUUCGUAAGAUUGUAGGCAAGGGGUUACGACUUGAUCAUAUUUUAAUUUAACAGUAUUGGUGGAUCUCAUGAAGUUUUGAAAAUGUCAACACACGCUGUAUUAUUUCCUUAAUUAAAUGCAUUUAAUUAACACAUUUCAUUAAGUUUUGAAAAUGUCAAACAAUAUUCUUUCAAUUCAUAUUAGCUCAAAAACUUCACAAUCACACUUAGUGAGUUUUCUAAAAUAGCUUGAAUUCGUUAAUUAAAUAAAGGGAAAUUAUCAAACCAGAUUAAACUUUUUUAUGUCAACAGAGUGAUUUAAGAUAGAGCAUGUAGUUUAGGGCUGUUUAAAAAUAUAUAUUUAUUAACUUCUUUGGUACUUAAAAUUUAAAAACAAUUAUUUAACUCAAACGGGUUGUUUUAUUUAAUGUUUUAUUAUACUUCACAUUUUUUUUUUUUAUUUGCCAAUUCAGUUGAUUUUUUUUAUUCUAAUUAAGUGGCAGGGCCUCUUUAUAAACCUUAUUAAAAGGACUGAUACUAGAAUUUACUUUUUGAAAAAAAUACGUUGGAUCAGUAGGUGCACUCGGACAUUUCUAUAGAUAGACACCCGCUUAGCAUCCAGACACUCCACUAUGUGCAUCUAGACAAAAUACUAAGACCAAAAUUAGACAUAUAUCAAAGUGGAAUCAAGAAAUAAACCAUUAUAUUCUUGGAUUAUUAUAGUUUGAUUAAAAUAAUUUAUUUUUGUGGUGUAGAUUAUUUUAGUUUGAGAUAUAAUAGUAUGUGUUCAAUAUAGACUAUUUUAGUUUGAUAAGAAGUAAAUAGUAAACAGUAAAAAAAAAUGAUAAAUAGUAAAAUAGUAAAAAAUGUAGUAAUUAAACAAAAAAAUAUUUUAACAAAUUGAAAAUUUGAAAUAACGUUUACCAUAACUAAUUGAAAACUCUUAAAUACUAUUUAGUGGAAGAAAAAAGGUAGCAUGUUUGGUGCAUUCAAACAAACUCAAACCAAAUAUCUCUCCAAUCAAUUUUCGUACAAUUCUCUCUCCUUUUCUCUUACUCUUCUCUACCUCGUAGAAUCAAGAGAAAUUGUAUUAGAUGACAAGAAUAUUUAAAAAAAGACAAUAACUGACACUUUUUUUCUUUUGUAUAUUAUGAAUAUGACAAAUAUGAUUGGUAAUUAGUGAUACUAGAUAAUUAUCAAUUUUCAAAAUUUAUUAUUCUAAUUUAGAAAAUAUAGUGAAACGAAUUCUAUAAUUAUAAUUAUAUAUAUAUAUAUAUAUAUUUUGUUAUUUUUUUUGGAAGGAUUCCUAAAAUUAAAUAUAAUAUUCUCUCUCCAAUAUUCUCUCCCUUUAUUAAAUACUAACAUGUGUCCUGCAUGUUAAUUUUUUUAAUUACAAUUAUUUCCCAUCUAAGUAAACAUAUAUUAUUUAUAUUUUAUUGGCUUUUUUAAAAAAAAUUAAUUAUUCUUAAAAUAUAAAUAAAAAGGAGACAUCACCAACACUUAUUUUUACAUUGACAUAAAAUAAAUAAUUUUUAAUUAAACAUAAUAAAAAUAAAAUGUAAAAUUACACCUAUUUAAAAAAACAUUUUACUUUAUCCAUCAUUUCUCCGAUAUUUAAAGUCACGAUGUCAUAAAACAUAUUAUAUCAAACUAUUUCUAUCAAUUAGACAUAUCAAAGUUUAAGGAAAAUUCUCCUAAAAAUUGGCAAAGUAUUACAAUUUCUCCUAUCCGUGGUAGGAUAUCCUUUGAUAAAAUAUUGCUUUUUUUUAAAAAAAAAAGAUUAUUUUCAAAUCUAUUUAGAGAGUUUCACAUGGUAAAGAUAACAUUUUGUCUCUAAUAGAAAUUCUAGCCAUUGAAGUUGGUGAGUAAGGAGACUUUGGAGGUUUUACUUAGCUACUACAAGAAAUUAAGUUUUCACUCACGUAGAAAAAACGUUAUUAAAAUAUAAAAGAACAUUGUUAAAAAUAUUAAGAACAUCAUACCAUUCGUUGCUAAGAUUGUUGUAAUAUUCUGUAGCUAAAAAUUUCAGCUACACAACAAAUGCACACGCCGCAAAAUGUCUGCUUUUAGUGAUAUUUGUGCAUUACUAAAUACUUUUAGUAACAUAUAUGUUUUGAUACUAUUUAUCUUUUAUAGUGACCUAAAUUAAGUUAAUUUUUUAAGAAAAUUUAAUUUUCAAUCUUUCUUUACAUAGUUUUUACCUCUCUUAAAUAUAAUCUUAGAAGGUAUUUGGAAUGCAAAAAGUGAGUUAUAUAUUAUAUAAUUUUAGGUUAUUAUAAUUUGCUUAGAAUAGUUUAUUUUUUAGACGUAAAUUAUUUUAAAUUGAGUUAUAAUAUUAUGUGUUGAUGUGUAUGCUAUUUUAGUUUUAUAAAAAUGUAGCAAACAAUAAAAAGAUGAACGAAUGUAAAAUAGUAAAAAAUGUAACAAGUAAUUGUUACAUUAACGAAUUGAGAAUUUUCAAAUAAUAUUUAUCAUUCAAUUUUCAAUAGUAUUGUGUGGAGCAAUAAAUAGUUAUUAUAAAGUUUGAUAAUGUUUGCCCCAUAACCACAUUUUUAUGUAUUAAAAAAAACUGAAAUCAAAUAUCUCUCACCUCUUAUCUUCCGAUCUGUUCCAUAAAAUCAAAUAUAAUAUUUUCUCAUUCCUCACUUUCUUUCUCUCUGCAUUCUCUUUUCGUUUAUUAAAUAUUAACAUGUGUCGGGCAUGUUUAAUUUUUUAUUUUUAUUUUUAAUACACCAUAUGAUAGAUAUCGGUUUUUUAAUACACUAUAAAAUAAACUAAUAAACUUGUGGAAUUUUUUACUAAUUAAUUAAUUAUGACUAUUAAUUUUAAUUAACUAUUGAACAUUAUUAAGGGUACAAAGAAAUUAUUAUCAUCAAUUACCAACUCUAUAUAAAGACUCCUUCCACAAAGAAAAACUCAGGCACAAAUAAAUUGUUAUCAUAGAUAUCAGAGGUUGGCCAUUUGGCAAAGUACGCCCGCUCUCGAAUAUAUCAUUGAAAUGGCAACGUCGAGGUCUCAAUUGAAGUUGACUAGGGACGAGGUUAGGGAGAUCUUAGAAGAACAUGAUGUGGACGGUGAUGGUCGCCUGACUAAGCAAGAGGUGAUGCAAGCCCUGAACUCCAUGGGUGUUAUGAUGUCGUUUCAGAAAGCUCACUAUGGUGUUGCUUUUGCUGACAAAGAUGGAGAUGGUGCAGUCGAUCUAGAAGGUGGUGAGAUUGAUUCGCUUGUUGACUAUGUCAUGAGGUUUCAGGCCUCAAAGGACGUCCCUAAAGAUGCCAGCCCAGAAGCCUUGCCAUGAUGGUGAAUCGAAUUGUGUAAUAAUCUUAGCUUAUUUCUAUUUUUUAUGUGUUCAUCUUCGUCGUCGUACCUGUUUUUCAGCCCAUAUUGUUUAUGUUACAAAUUGAGCUAUGGUUAUGCUCAAAUUGACAAUUAUCCACGCAUGUUUGUUGUCUACAAUAUUAUUGUGUCAUCGGUGAUAAAAAUGUCUUUCUUCUUGAAUCUACGGAUUAUUAUAUAAUAAACAUCCCUAAACUAAUAUUAAAAUUGUCAAAUUUUUCUGUUUCAUUAUUUCAUUUCAUGCAAACGUGUGAAUUAUUGUUUUAACUUUACACCGUAUAAAUAUAACUAUUAAUUAAAUAAAAUCUAACAUAAAGUUUACAAACAUUUACAAUCAGAUAAAGUUUAGUACAUAGAAGAAUAUUUUGAAUAUGUUAUUUAGUAUUCCGAACACCCAAAACUUAAGUGGUAUUCGAAUACUUAUUUUAUUUAUGAUUUUAACCAUAAAAUUAAGAGAAUUGUAAUAUAUAAACUCAUAAUUCUAAAGAGUGCUUCUUAAUUUAUAGUUUGAUAAUUUUUCUUUUUUAAAAAAACUUGCUAUCUCCCUGAAUUCAUGGAUCCGUGUACAACUAACACAUCAUUAAUCAACUAUAUAAUUGUAUCAAUUAUCUAUUGUUUACUUUUUUUUUUUUUUUGUUAAUUUUUUGUUGCCCAUUUCUUAACAUUGCAGGUAUAAAAUUGUAUUUGAUAACUGGCAAAAUUACAUGUUCAAAAUAUAAUAGAAAUGUUCUAAAUAAAUUAACGCCAUAAUGAACCAAUUAAAACAAGAAGUAACCAAAUAAAUGUGUUAAGACUUAAGAGUAUACAAACGGUAAAACACACCAUAUUAACAUUCUCAUGUAAGAAUACAAAUGUGUAUACAAAUCAAGGUCUUCACUGUUUGCAUAGCAUAAGCAACACCUCUUUGGAUUCAGACACAUGGUCUUACACUUUUUUUGCAUGACUUCUAUUGUAUUUAUUUUCCUAUGAAAAACUGUUCAGAGAAAGAUUUUUCAUUUCUUUGGAAUUGCUGAAGUCCAAAUUAUUUCGAAGAUUUUUUGGUGCUCGUUCCUUAGAUGAUGUCGUUGGGGGUCUUGUAAUGCCUUUUCUGCCGAGUCUGUGGAGAAAUCUCUGUUUCCAUUUUUUAUUAGAUUGGUGAGUUGGUGCCUUGCAGUGAGUUGUGUAUUGGAAGAAAGGAUUUUACAUUAUCCCAUAAAAUGAUCUCUCUAUCGUUUAAAAGCCUUCUAGGCUUUAUGUUCCAAUCAUUUGAGUUAGGAAGCCAGACUUCAUUUACUGCUUCAGUUUUUGAAUUGUGCAAAGCAUAAAGCCUUGGGUAGGAAAUGGCUAGGGGACUUUUAUCAUUCCAUCUACCAUACCAAAAGGAUAUGUUUUCUCCAUUGUUAAUUUCCCAUUUGAGGUUGCUUUCAAACCAUAAUUUGUUUUUGAUUAUGGACAUCCAAGGGGCCCUUGCACUACAAAACUUUCCAUGUGGUGGUAGAUCUCCAAUGUAGUUAGUCGAGUACUUAGCGCUGACGAUCUUCCUCCAUAAGGCAUUUGGUUAUGAUAAAUAGCGCCAUAGCCAUUUACAUAGGAGAGCAUUAUUUGUGUGAUUCAGCUUGGUGAUCCCCCAGACCUCCGUUUUCUUUUGGACUGGUGACAAUAUCUCAGUUGAUAAGAUGAGAUUGUGAGGACUUAGAGUUGUCAGAAUUUGAACCCCAAAGGAAGUUUCUCCAGAUUUUUCAAUCUUUUUUUAGACCAUUGAAGGAGCUUUGAAGACUGAAAGUUGAUAGGUUGGGAGGCUACAGAGGCUGGCUUGAAGAAGAGUGUACCUUCCACCUUUAGAGAGUUGAAAAUAUUUCCAACCGUUGAGCUUUUUUUGGAUUUUUAAGAUUAUAUUGUCCCAGAAACUCAACGAGUUUGGUUUACCACCUAAAGGGAUGCCGAGAUACAUUAUAGGGAGAUUUUCAGAAUUUAUUUUAUGCUCGUUUUUCACCACAAUGCAACGAGAAAUUGAGACAUUGAUCGGACUUAUUGUUGAUUUAUUUUUAUUGAUGGAUAGACGGGAAGCCUUUUCAAAGAGAUUUAGAGCACACCUUAAAUUUGUAAUGGCCUUAUCAUUGUCUUCAACAAAGAUCAGAAUAUCGUCUACAUGAAGAAUAUGGUUUAGGUUGCUGUCAUUUUUGAAAACCACACCUUGAAUGGCUUUGGAGGAAUUUAAAUGAUUCAAAAUUGCACUGAGGUAAUCUAGAGCCUAAGACAAACAUGAAAGGAGAAAGAGGGUCUCCUUGUCUUAGACCUCUUCUAGGCAGAAUUUUGCCUUUUUGUUGGCCAUUCAAUAUGAUUGAGUAAUGAGCUCUUGUGAUUCACGCUUUAAUCCAAUUUCUCCAAUGAAGCCGAAAGUUUUUCUUGAUUAGCAUGAAAUCGAUAGAUUUCCAGUUAAUUGUAUCAAAAGCUUUUUUCAGAUCAAUAUUGAUCACAAAACCUGUUUUUUUGUGCUAGUUUUCCAGUAGUCUAACCACUUCAUUGGCCAAAAGAAUAGCAUCUGUGAUUUGUUUGUGGUUCACGAAAGCAAAUUGAUUUUCCGCAAUUAUGCUUGAAAGCGUCUUUUUUAGCCUCUUAGCUAACACUUUAGCAACAAUAGCUAAGUAGUAAGAUUUAUGGGCCUAAAGUCAGCAUGAGAGGUGUAGGCCUUUCUUUAGCAAUAAGGGAAAUAAAUGUGUUGUUGAUGUUUUUGUUUAUUACUCCUUUUGUAUGGAAAUCAUUGAAAAACUCCAUGAUAUCAUUCUUUAGUAAGUACCCGAACUUUUAAAGAAUUUCAUUGAAAACCGUCUAGUUUGGUCUCGAUGAUUGUUGUUCAUAAAAUCUUACAUUAUCAAUUUAAUCCAAAAACUUAAAUAAUAGAUAAAAGUAAAUAUAAUAUAUAUAGAAAUAGUUAUAAAAUAUACAAUUAAAGUUAAAAUAAUUAAAUAUACCACCAAAUUUUUUUAAAAUUAUAAAUAUAUAUAGAUGUUGCCGAUCUAUAAUUAUAAAGUAAUUAAAUGGAUAGAAACAAUUAGACAACACUACGUACAACGUAUUUUUCAAUUGCAUUUAUUUUCCAGCCUUCACCCAAUAGUCUUACAUUAACUAUAAAAUAAUUUUCUAACUAAAUUUUAUAUUUGUUUUGUUCAACCAUCUUAAUUAUUAUUUAUUAUUUUUUUUAUCAAGAAAACAGUCUAAAUUUAUUAUUCCUUCUAGAGACGAAGGUGUUAAAGAUAUAUAACUUCUACGUGUGAUAUACCAAUAUUCCUUGAUCUCCUAGACUCAUCAUAAAGUUUGAAAAAAUUAUUUCUUAAAUUUAAAUUAAUAUAAUCUCUUUAUAUUUACCAAUUCAACUAGUUACGACUUAGACUUUUUGACUAAUAAAUGGAAGGUUGAAAAAUUUUAACUUUAAAAAAAUUUGAAAUUGAGAAAACCCAAGAAUAAUUAACAGAAGAAAAAACCAUAGACCAAAAAUAAAUUUAAUUAGUAUUUAAGCUUAUGUUAUUAAUUGUAAUUAAUUUUUUUUAAAGGAACCCUAACCAUGUUUCUCAAUCUUUCUCUUCAUAGUCUUUGUCUCUUUCAAACGUUAGAAGGUGUUUAGGGACAAAAAUUGAUUUAUUAUAGGUUAAGGGUGUGUUUGGUUUAGAUUAUAAAGUGUUUAAUUUUGUCAAAAAAGAACUAUUAUGAAAAAAAUGGUAGUGUUUGGAAAAUUAAAAUAAAUGCAUUUUAUAAAAAUUCAUUUAUAAAAUAAUCUAUUUUGGAGAAGUCUUUAAAAACCAAAUUCACACGCAGAAAAGUCUAUAAUCAAACAUCAAGUGUUUAAAUUUUAAACUCAUUUUAAAAAAGUGUUUAAAAAAAAUGUAUCAUUGAAAAAUAUUUUUUUUAAUUCAAUCCAAAUAAAUACUAAAAUUAUUAUAGUUUGUGUGUGAGGCGUACAUUAUUUUAGCUUUAAUUAUAAGCUAGGCAAUUGAAGAGCAAUAAAUAACUCAUGUUUGCCCCCAAAACCUAUCACAUGUUAUUAUCAAGAUAACAUUAAAACCAAUAAGAUAAGACAGGUUUUCUAAUACCCUAUAAAAUAAACUAAUAAACUUGUGGGAUUUUUUACUAAUUAGUAAAUAAGUAUUAAUUAAUCAUGACUAUUAAUUUUAAUUAACUAUUGAACAUAAAUAUAUUAUUCAAACGUACAAAGAUCAAUUAUUAUCAACUCUCUAUAUAAAGACUUUCUGCAAAGAAAAACUAUCAUCAAUUACCAACUCUAUAUAGACUCUUUACGCAAAGAAAAACUCUAAGAAGACAAAGAAAUUAUUAUCAUCAAUUACCAACUCUAUAUAAAGACUUCUUCCACAAAGCAAAACUCUAAAGGCACAAAGAAAUUAUUAUCACAGACAUCAGAGGUUGGCUUUUUGACAAAGUACCCCGCUCUCGAUCGUAUCAUUCAAUGUCGGUGUCUAGAUCUCAAUUGAAUUUGUCGAGGGAUGAGAUGAUUAAGAAGAUUUUCGAAGAGUAUGACGUGGACGGAGAUGGAACCCUCACCAAGCAAGAAGUGAUGCAAGCCAUGGACGCCAUGGGUUUUAAGAUACUGUUCCAGAUGACUCAAUUUGGUAUUUCUUUUGCUGACAGAGAUGAUGAUGGUAAGGUUGAUCAAGAUGAGUUGGAGAAACUGAUCGACUGUGUCAUCAGGUUUCAAACCCGCAAGAGAGUCUGCAGGCGGCCGGUUAAUUCGACAGAAAAAACAAGAUGAUGAAUCGAGACCAUGUAAAUCUAUUUUCAAUUUAGGUGUUUGUUUGUUUUCAGUCAAUAAAUGGUUUAUGCUACCAUAAUUGAGCGCGUUAUGCUCAAAUUUAUGUGUUUGUUUGUUUGUUUUGUUAUACUUUUGUUGUCUGUAUGCAGAAUAUUGAUGUCUCUCCCUCUCUAAUUUAUGAAUAUAUAUGUUUCAACUUUACAUUAUCUAUAGAUACACACACUUCCGUAAUUUUGUUAAAUAAAUAGUUCAAAUUUGUAAACAAUGAAACAAUCGUGGCCAAAAUCACAGCAUCAAUCGCACAACCAGUCGUGUCAAAUUGUAGCUAUUAAUGUAAAUUCUGUAAAUUAGGCUAAUUACAUUACAUUAGGCUAAUUAUAUUACAUUCCUUAUUUAAUUUGGGUAAUUUAGCUAUUUAUGUAACAUUUGAUACUCUUGUAAAAUACAGAAAAUUCAUCAAUAAAAUACAAAAAGAAUAUUCCUUUCACAUGGUAUCAGAGCCAAAAACCCUAGAUCUACUUUAAUCGUCGUCGUCGCCGCCGACCGCCCGUGAACCGCCGCGUCUUCGUUAACUCCAAGAAGCGCUGCGCGCCAAAAAGUAGAUCUCUGUCCCGUGUGUUCAUCGCUCAGCACGUCGUUCCGUCACAGCCUCGGUGUCGCGCCAUUCCGUCAAGUCGUAGCCUUGGCGUCACGGCGUUCAAAUCAUCGCGUCGUCCUGUCCGUUCUGAAGCGCCAGUCGUCACCGCUGAGUUACAACCCCCUCUGCCGUUCCAAGCCGCACGCGACUCCUCUGUCUUCCCAAGCCGCACGCGACUCCUCUUCCAGUCGUGAGUGCAAGACGACGCCAUCCACCAGAUCUGACGAAUCUUCCAGGUGACUGUCUUCAUUCGUUUGUCUCUGCUCACAGCCGUGAACCUCUGUCCGUAAGCCGUGACCCUCUGUCCGUAUCCUGUCCAUUGUUGCAACCCAGCCGUGAAGACAAAUCCUGACCGCGAAUCCAGUCGUGUCCUUGCCGUCGCAACUCAGCCGCGACCCAGACAAGAAGACGCUCACCUGUCACGAAUCCCAGCCUUGCGAAUCCCAAUCGCAAAAUCCAGAAUCUGACGAAUCCAGUCACGAAUUAAUCGAAACUCAGCCGGAAAUUCUCAUUGUUAACCUCAACUGCGAAUCCAAAUGGAGAGAGACCAUGUCUUGAGACCCAUUGGUACAAUUCUUGAUGGUACAAAUUAUAUCACAUGCAUGGGCAAAUCAAAUGAAAAGUUUUCUUAUUGGAAGAAAACUAUGACGCAUUGUAACUGGUGACAUAACCAAACCAAUUGCACAAAACAAGGACAAGGAAGGAGAUAACAAAUUCAUUGAACACCUCGAAGAUUGGGACAGUAAUUAAAAAUCAUCAAAUUAUCACCUGGCUUGGUAACACCUCUAUUCCCGCUAUACAUGCACAGUUUGAUGCCUUUGAUGAUGCUAAAAAAUUAUGGGAUUUUUUGUCUACACGCUUCAAGUCUAUUGGUUUAGCCCAUUAUUAUCAACUGCACAAUACACUUGUAAAUCUAAAUUAGGAUAUUGGUCAGUCUGUCAAUGAAUAUUUGGCAGUUCUUCAACCCAUUUAGACUCAGCUUGACCAAGCAAGCAUCAGCAAAGAUCGUCUUCGCCUUAUUAAAGUCCUUAUGGGAAUACGCCCAGAAUAUGAAUCUGUUAGAGCUGCUUUACUACAUCGGAAUCCCUUACCCUCAUUAGAUGCAGCUAUUCAAGAAAUUAUGUUUGAAGAAAAGCGCCUUGGCAUCAAUUCUACUAAACAAUCUAAUGUUGUCCUUGCCAGCACAUACACUCCCAACAGAGCCUCAAAUAUGUUUUGGAAGAAUUGUAAGCUCUCUCGUCACAAAUUUAUUAACUGUCCUAAAAUAGAGUGCAGGUACUGCCAUAAACAUGGUCACAUUCUGGAUAACUGCCCUACCAGACCACCCCGACCUCCUGUCACUUCCACAAAAGAGAAAAAUUUUACUAAACCUGGUUCCUCAUCUGUUGUUGCUGCAACCUCGGAUGAUUCAUCCCUCAUUCAGAUAAGUGAUCUUCAGAGCUUAUUGAAUCAACUAAUUUCAUCAUCCUCUGCUCUUGCUGUCUCAUCAGGUAAUCGAUGGCUUCUUGAUUCUGCCUGUUGUAAUCAUAUGACCUCUGACUUUUCUCUUAUGUCUACUUCUAGCCCUACAAAAUCUUUACCUCCUAUUUAUGCUGCUGAUGGUAAUUGUAUGAACAUCUCUCAUACUGAUACCAUUGAUACUCCCAGUUUACAUCUUCCCCAUACUUACUGUGUUCCUAACCUGACCUUUAAUCUAGUGUCUGUUGGUCAAUUAUGUGAUCUUGGCUUAAAUGUUUCAUUUUCUCCCAAUGGUUGUCAGGUUCAGGAUCCGCAGACGGGACGGACGAUUGGAACGGGUCGCAAAGUGGGAAGAUUGUUUGAGCUCACAUCACUUCAGGUUUCAUCUCCUUCUUCCAUCUCUUCUUCAGUCACUUAUUCUGACACAUAUCAGUGGCAUCUUCGUCUUGGUCAUGCUUCUUCUGAAAAACUUCGUCAUUUAAUUUCUGUUAACAAUUUGAAUAAUCUUACUAAGUUUGUUCCUUUUAAUUGUUUGAAUUGCAAACUUGCUAAACAACCUGCCUUAUCUUUUUCUCAAUCCAUCUCUAAUUGUGAUAAACCUUUUGAUUUAGUGCAUUCUGAUAUUUGGGGUCCUGCCCCAAUUACUACUGUUCAUGGUUAUCGCUAUUAUGUUUUAUUCAUUGAUGACUACUCUCGAUUUACAUGGAUUUACUUUCUAAAACAUCGUUCUGAAUUAUCUCGCACAUAUAUUGAGUUUGCUAACAUGAUUCGCACUCAAUUUUCCUCUCCCAUCAAAAUUCUUCGCACUGAUAAUGCUUUGGAAUAUAAAGAUUCCAUCCUUCUUUCUUUUCUUUCCCAACAGGGCACUAUUGUUCAGCGCUCUUGCCCUCAUACCUCUCAACAAAAUGGACGUGCUGAGCGCAAACAUCGUCACAUUCUUGACUCAGUACGUGCCCUCCUUCUUUCUGCCUCUUGUCCAGAAAAAUUCUGGGGUGAAGCUGCCCUUACAUCAGUAUAUACAAUCAAUCGUCUUCCCUUCUCUGUUCUUCAAAACACCUCUCCGUUCGAAAGACUAAAUGGUAUUUCUCCCGACUAUUGUAAACUCAAAGUUUUUGGUAGUGCCUGCUUCGUUCUUUUACAUCCUCAUGAACACAAUAAGCUUGAACCACGUGCCCGUCUCUGUUGUUUCCUUGGCUAUGGCACCGAACACAAAGGAUUUCGUUGUUGGGACCCUCUUUCCAACCGACUCCGGAUAUCUCGGCAUGUUACCUUCUGGGAACACACUAUGUUCUCUCGUUUGUCCUCCUUCCACACCUCUUUCUCUAGUCCUCAAUCUUUCUUUACAAAUACAUCUGUCGACAUUUUUCCUCUCUCUGAACCCACCUUGGAUACUGAGCUUACACAAUCGCCACCUGCUACUCCUCUUCGUCGCUCUACCCGGGUAAGAGAACCUCCCACUCAUCUCAUUGAUUACCAUUGUUUUUCCACCAUUGUUUCCCUUGUUGAACCCACCUCUUAUCAAGAGGUCAGUACUAACCCAGUAUGGCAGAAAGCAAUGGAUGAAGAAUUACAGGCUCUUGAAAAGACGCACACUUGGGACUAUGUUGACUUACCUCCCGGUAAAAGACCCAUUGGUUGCAAAUGGAUUUACAAAAUCAAAACUCACUCUAAUGGAACUAUUGAACGUUAUAAAGCUCGGCUUGUUGCAAAAGGAUACUCACAAGAAUAUGGGAUUGACUAUGAAGAAACAUUUGCCCUUGUUGCCCGGAUGACAUCUGUUCGCAGCUUGUUAGUUGUUGCUGCUGCCAAACAGUGGCCUCUUCUUCAGAUGGAUGUCAAAAAUGCCUUUCUUAACAGAAACCUCUAUGAAGAAGUGUAUAUGAAGCCACCUCAGGGCACUUCUCCUCCUCCCAACAAGGUGUGUCUCAUUUGUCGCGCUCUAUACGAUCUAAAACAGGCUCCACGAGCUUGGUUUGCCACGUUUAGCUCCACCAUUACUCAACUUGGAUUUACCUCCAGCUCUCACGACAAUGCCCUUUUUACACGACAGACAACUCAUGGUAUUGUUCUUCUCCUUCUUUAUGUUGAUGAUAUGAUUAUUACUGGUAAUGAUCCACAGGCCAUAUUCGACCUACAACAAUAUCUUGGUCAACAUUUUGAGAUGAAAGACCUUGGACCUCUCAAUUACUUUCUUGGUCUUGAAGUCUCUCACCGUUCAGAUGGUUAUCUGUUAUCUCAAGCGAAAUAUGCAUUUGAUCUGAUAGCACGCUCAGGAAUUACAGACUCCACCACAUCUUCAACAUCGUUAGAUCCUCAUGUCCAUCUAACUCCGUUUGAUGGCGUUUCUCUUGACGAUGCAAGCUUGUAUCGGCAACUUGUUGGCAAUCUUAUAUACCUAACAGUGACUCGCCCAGAUAUUGCAUAUGCUGUUCAUAUUGUCAGUCAAUUUAUGGCUGCUCCUCGAACAAUUCAUUUCAUUGUUGUUCUACGCAUACUUCGCUAUGUCAAAGGCACCUUGGGACAUGGUCUCCAGUUCUCCUCUCAGUCUUCCCUUGUGUUGUCGGGAUAUUCUGAGGCUGAUUGGGCGGGGGAUCCUACUGAUCGACGAUCCACCACAGGAUACUGUUUUUACUUAGGUGAUUCUCUCAUCUCAUGGCGUAGUAAGAAACAAAGUGUUAUAUCUCGUUCAAGUACGGAAUCUGAAUAUCGUGCUCUGGCUGAUGCUACAGCUGAACUUAUAUGGCUUCGGUGGCUCCUUGCUGAUAUGUGUGUCCCUCAACAGGGUCCUACCCUCCUCCAUUGUGACAAUCGUAGUGCCAUUUAGAUUGCUCACAAUGAUUUGUUUCAUGAACGUACAAAACACAUUGAAAAUGACUGUCACUUUGUUCGUCACCACCUCUUAAGCAACACCCUCCUCUUACGUUCUGUUUCUACUCUUGAACAACCUGCGGAUAUCUUCACCAAAGCCUUGCCAUCUAAUCGAUUCUGUCAAUUACUUACCAAACUCAAGUUGAUCGCCACUCUACCACCUUGAGUUUGAGGGAGGGUAUUAAUGUAAAUUCUGUAAAUUAGGCUAAUUACAUUCCAUUAAGCUAAUUAUAUUACAUUCCUUAUUUAAUUUGGGUAAUUUAGCUAUUUAUGUAACAUUUGAUACUCUUGUAAAAUACAGAAAAUUCAUCAAUAAAAUACAGAAAGAUUAUUCCUUUCACAGUAGCAAAUCAACGUACCAUUUGACAGCAAAAAUCAAGCCUCAACAUCAUCAAUAUCAGCUAGCCCGAUACAUAAUUUGCUAUUACACCCAAUUCUCACAGCCCAUAUUCUGUCUAUAUAAUUAUUUCUCACAUAUUGAUUCUAAAAAGCAGUUGGAUUAUCAUACCUUUUGUAGCACACCUUUAUGGUCACGUUAUUCUUGGAAGUAUUUAACUUCAAGAAUAAUAGGAUCACUUUUUUCCUAAAAAAAAUACAUUUCAAGUUCAUUGUUGAUUGGUAUAAGAUUUAGAUCUCUUGUACUUUGUAGUCAUUUCUCUCUCUGAAAACAAAUGGUUUAUUAAGGUUCUUCAUUUCAAUCUUUUGUUUUUGUUUUUUAACUUCUCUUUUUAAAAUUUUAAUUUAUGUUUGACAACUGGUUUUAGUUUAUUCAUGUUUCUUGUAUUUACCUCCGUUAAUUUUGAAGCAGGAUUGAAGUGGUUGCUUUGGAUCGUCUUCCUAGUGAAAAUUUUCUCUUGCAUCUACUCUCCUAACGUAUCUUAUAGUUGCAAUUAAAUUUUAAAAAAUGUAUAGCAACAUUUAUAAAAAAAAUAUAAAAUUACAAAUAUAUAUAAAGUAAUUAAAUCCAUAUAAACAAUUGGAGAGCAGGAGAGGAUAACUUAUUUUUCAAUUGCAUUUCUUUUUUGGCGAUUCAAACUCUCUAUGAGACUCUUUCUUCCCAUGAACUUUCCUUUUCCAGCCUUCACCAAAUAAUCCUACAUUAAUUAUAAAAAUAUUUUUCUACCUAAAUUUUAUAUAUAUUUUGUUGAACAGUCCUAAUUACUAUUUUUUGGGAUGAAGAAAACAGUCUAAAUUUAUUAUUCCUUCUAGAGACAAGGGUGUUAAAGGACAUAUCAACUUAUUUGAGAGAUAAUAAUACACUCCCUCUAAUCUCCUAGAGACUCGGUAUAAAGUUUUAAAAAAAUAUUUCUUGAAUUUAAAUUAAUAUAAUCUCAAUAUAUAUACCAAUUCAACUGGUUAAGCUCACUUAUACUAAGACUAAUAAAUUGGAAGUUGAAAACCUUUAACUUUAAAAAGUUUGAAAUUGAGAACACCCAAUAAUUAAAAGAAGAAAACUUCGAAUAGACCAAAAAUAAAUUUUGUUAGGUAAAAUAUUAUUACAAUCACAAAUAAAAAAUUUCUGGUAGACCUCAAUCACCAAGAUAAAACACUCUCGAAACAUUAUAUUAAUUGCAGAAACUAAGUAUACCAGACCUCAAUCACAAAAGACAAACUUAUUUUAAUAUUUUGUACUCAAACUUUAGUUUACAUGUUCAAAGUUGUUUUGAAAAUUAUUCAGCUGAUAUAUAUUGUGAACUUUAAAUUGGAUUAUUGUUUCUUUUCUGCAGGUAUGUUCCUCACUUGCGCAACAAAAAAGAAAAAAGAAAUCAAACCAUUUUCCAUAAAAAAAAGAGAACAUAUUGUAUAAAAAUUAAGUUUUGGAUUUUUAAAUGUUAAAUGUUUAAUUGAACAUCUUUACCUCUAUCAUACUCAGAGAAAGAGGAAGAAAAAAGAAAGACCUUGAGUAGAAUAUGGGGUUCCAUAAUUUAGUUGUACACAAUUUCCUACAUAAUUUAAUCCCAGUUGUUUUGACUUUGAUAUUAUAUUAUACUACUGCUAAAAUAACAUUUUAUAUAUCAAAGUGAUGUUCUUCCACUCUUCUUCCCUCUCCUCCCCCAAAGUCAAAACGAGUUCAUAACUUUGAGCAAUUCAGCCUAAAGCUUAUUAUUAUAACAAUAAAAGAGAAUAUCUUAAUAAGUAAACCUAUUAAUUACUACUAAAAUGUGAUUCAUGGGAUUUUGAAUGAGAGCUAUAUAUAACUAUAUAUGAUGGUGAUUAUAUUAGAGCCUUAAUUAUACAUAUAUGUUAAGGAAAAUGAAGAUAUAAUUAGUAAGGGGAUAUGGGUGGAAGAAAGCAUUGGGUUUCCAGUUUUGUGGGGUUUGUAUUUCUGUUGGUUUUACUGAAUCAGCUGGUAGAAGCCAGUGCAAUAAGUUCAUCAUGUAGGCAUAUUGCUAUUGGCGUUGUUACUGAUCAAAGUUCAAGGAUGGGAAGGCAACAGAAGAUUGCCAUUGAAAUGGCUUUUCAAACCUUCCAUUUCUCAACUUCCUUUCCAAAAUUGGAGCUAUUCAAUAAUGAUUCAAAUGGCAACUCGGCUCGAGCGAUAACUUCUGGUAAUUCAAACUUUUUUUUUAGAAUGAUAUGAACAAGUAUAUUAGAUCAACAGGCCGUGUAUCGAAAAAUCUCAAUAAAAUUGACAAAUUCACCACUUUUAUCCUAUUCCAACACUGAUUCCAUUAAUGCUUGUGUUUUUAACCUAAUCAUCCAUUUCACUCAUGUAAUUUAUUUUUGAAGGUUUAUGUUAUAUAUUUUUAGACACUGGAUUUUGCUAGAUUACCAUAUUAUUAUUUUCAUUUAGCUUUUUUCUUCUUCUUCUUCUUCUUUUUUUUGUUGGUUUGUGGAUAUAUGUAAUUUGUCUUUUAGUGUAUUUUUACAAGGGUGUUGACUCGAACCAAUUUGAAACAAAAAAAAAUGUUUUCUAAACUAUAUAUUUUUUAUUUUUAAAAUUUAAUUGUAAAUUAAAUAUUUGAUAAUCGUUUUCGUUUCUCAAUUUUAAAUUUGAAGAAACAUUCCUAAAGAAAAGAAAAUAUCUCUUAUCCAUUUAUGACUCCCUAAACAUAACUGAUUGUGUUAAGUCGUUUUGAUGGUUGAGAGACCCGUCCAAUUCAAUUACGUAUCACCCAACCUCAUUUUUAUGUAUUGUUUUUCUUUUUCAAAAUUAAUUCUUCUUUUUAUAUUUUAUAUAUUAUUUAAGUUUUGAAUUUUAGAUUUUUCAAUAGAUUGAUUUAUAUAUUAUUUAAUUUAAAAUUUUAAAAUUUUCAUAUAAAUAUGUAUAUAUUAUUGUCCUUGUGAAUUUUAAAAUUAUAUAUAUAUAUUCUUUCCAUAUAUAUUUUCUGUUUUGAAUUUUAGAUUUCACAAUUAUUUUCUGCUUAGAACAUUUUAGAUGUUUGCAAUGUAUAAAUGAUAUUUUGUUCAUUUAGCUUUAUUUAUAUAUAUAUAUAACCUUAUAUCUAUUAGUAAGAUGAUAGUAGCCUGACAAUUUAUUAGACACUAACACUUCUUUUUUAUAUAUGUAUUCGAAUAUUUAUUUGAAAGAUUUUUGGAAGUGGAGUAUGAUGAAAGUGUUAAUUAAAGAAUAUGCGAGCACUAGUUGUGAUAUUUUUUAAUCCACUCUCUAUCAUAUCUUUCUCUUAAAAAUAUCACUUCUUUUUUUAUGGAUAUAGGAAUUUUAAAUUCUCUAUCGCCAUGUAACAUUUUGAAAUUAGACUUUUCAUUUAACCCAUAAUGUUAUUUGAAUAUUUAUAUUUUCCAUUACAGCUUUGGAUCUGAUUGGCAACAAAGAAGUGAGCACAAUUCUUGGGGCAUUUACUUUGCAAGAAAUGCAAUUAAUGUCCGAAAUUAACAAAAACUUCAUUGAUAUUUCCAUAAUAUCCCUACCAAUUGCUGCUUCUCUUCCUCCUCAUAAUAAUAAUAAUCCACUCCCACUUCCUUCCUUUAUUCGAAUGGCUCACAACAUCACAUUUCACAUCCAAUGCACAGCCGCCAUUGUCGCCCAUUUCCAAUGGCAUAAAGUUACUCUCAUCUAUGACAAUACAGACGACAUGUCCUUCAACAUGGAAGCUUUGACUCUCCUCUCCAACCAACUUGGAGAUUUCAAUAUAGAGAUUGACCAAAUCUCAUCCUUCUCUUCUUCAUAUUCAGAAUCUAUGAUUGAGGAAAAGCUCAAAAGCCUUGUGGGCCGUGAGAGGAACCAGGUUUUCAUUUUGGUGCAAUUUUCUAUCGAAUUGGCCAAACUCCUUUUUCACAAAGCAAAUAAAAUGAAUAUGAUGGAAAAUGGAUUUGUUUGGAUCGUUGGAGAUGAGAUAUCAAGUCAUCUUGAUUCUUUGGAUUCAUCAACUUUUAAUGACAUGCAAGGUGUCAUUGGUUUUAGAACUUAUUUUGAUCAUAACAAAAAUUCUUUCAAGAAAUUUAGAAGCAAAUUCCAUAGAAAGUAUGUUUUGGAAUAUCAUGAAAAUGAAGAGGAGGAGAUGAAAAAUACGGAGCCCACCAUCUUUGCUCUUAGAGCUUACGAUGCAGGAUGGGCUGUGGCACUUGCGAUGCAUAAAUUGCAAGCAAAUUUUAGCAACAAACAAUUGUUGAAGGAAAUUUUAAGGAGUAAAUUUGAAGGGCUUAGUGGGAAAAUAGGAUUCAAGAAUGGUGUCUUAAUGGAACCACCCACUUUUGAAAUUAUUUAUGUGGUGGGUAAGAGUUACAAAGAGAUAGGAUUUUGGAGAGAAAAGGUUGGAUUUUUCAUCAAUUUGAAUGAAAAUAAUGAUCAAGAAAUCAGUAGUAGCAUUAUUAUUGAUGAAGGAAGAAGUAGAAGUGAUAAUAAUAAUAAUAAUAAUAAUAAUAAUAAUAAUAAUAAUGUUGUUUUGAAAUUACCAAGAUUUGUUUUGUGGGAAGUAAAUUAUGCAGAAACAGGAGUAGUGAAAGGAAGGACGAUUAAUAUUGAUAAUUCAAAUUCCGGAGGAAUGGGAAGGACAUUAAGAAUUGGUAUUCCGGCCAACAAUACAUUCCGAGAAUUUGUUAAAGUUUCUUACGACCACAUAAAUGCAAUAUACAUUUCUGGAUUUUCCAUUAGUGUAUUUGAAGCUGUCGUAAAGAAUCUGCCUUAUUCAUUGCCGUAUCAGUUGAUCCCAAUCAAUGGUUCUUAUGAUGGAUUGGUAAAGCAAGUCUACACAAGGGUAAGUACGAUAUAGAUAAUAUAUAUAUAUAUAUAUUGGAUUAUUGCAUGUGAUUCUUGCAUCUAUUCAUUGUAUCCUUCUUUGUAUAUAUAACAAAAAAGGUGAUGUAUUUAUAUGAACAAAUUAUAUAUAUGGUGGUUUUUAUUAGGGUCUGGAUGCCGCGGUGGGAGAUAUCGGAAUAUUUGCGGACCGAUUUAAAUAUGUUGAUUUCACAGAGCCAUAUAUGAUGGGUGGGCUUGUGAUGAUAGUGAAAGAGAAGACAAGAAAUUGGAAAGAAAUAUGGAUAUUCAUGAAAACAUUUACAACACUAAUGUGGAUCAUUUUGCCAAUCUUCCAUCUUGUUAUAAUGUCUGUUGUUUGGAUUGUUAAGGAUCCAAAGGAUGGAGAAUUAUCAGGAGUUUCAGAAAUGAUAUGGUUUGCCGUAACUGUCAUCUUUUUUGCUCACAGUAAGAAUUUUAAAGUCAUGUUUGAUAAUCAUUUUAGUGUCUUUUCACUUCUCAUUUUAGAAAACAAAUUUUUAUGAGUGGAUGCAGGAAAAGAAGUGAAAGGUAAUUUAGCAAGGUUGGUGUUGGGGACAUGGUUGUUUGUAAUUCUUGUGGUAACUUCAAGUUUUACUGCAAGUCUUACAUCUAUGAUGACGGUUUCAAGAUUUGCACCAUCCGUUGUUGAUGUUGAAACAUUAAGGCAAAUGAAUGCAACAGUGGGGUGCAACUAUCAUUCUUUCAUUCCGAGAUAUUUGAAUGAUACAUUGAAAAUUCCACGUAUAAAUAUUAAGAACUUUGUUGGGAUUGACGAUUAUCCAAAGGCAUUUGACAAUGGAGAAAUUGAAGCAGCUUUCUUCAUCACUCCACAUGCUAAGGUCUUUCUUGCUAGGUACUGCAAAGGCUACAUCACUGCAGCUACUUUCAAUCUCGGUGGCAUUGGUUUUGUAAGUUCUCAACUAAUAAUCUACUUCCAGAUGUUUUGCAGUUUUUAGAUUUAAGUUUUGUUUCGAUUUGUUUUACAAGAUUUCAAGAUUUAUACUUUUAAUAAGUUUGAUUUUCUCACUGAAAUACUCCUGGUAUGAAUUAAACCCAAAACUUUAAAAAUCAGAAGGAUUUAAAAAAAAAUAGUUAAAGGUGCUAUCUGAGCUGCAUAUAUUUUUUGUGCGAGCAGCUUAACCAGUUAUAAUAUGUCAUGUAGCCAAAAAAAUCUUUUAAAAAAAUUUAAUUGACUUUUUUUUUCGUUUGUUGGGAUAAAAUAUGAGCUACAAGCUGCACUUAACCAUUGUUUUCUUUUCUUUUAUGAUGUGGAUAGAAAGACACGGUAGUCUAGCACUACACUUGGUAUUUGGUAAUAAUAGGAAAUUUUGUUAUAUGUUGCAGGCUUUUCGGAAAGGGUCAAGUCUAGCAGUGGAUGUAUCGACAUCCAUCGUGGAACUUAUAGAGAGAAGAGAGAUGCCACAGUUAGAAACAAUGUUGUUGUCAACCUUCAAUUGUUCUUCAGGGAGCCAAGUUGAUGGGUCUACAAGUUUGGGGCCUUGGCCUUUCGCAGGUUUAUUCAUCAUUUCAGCAAGUGUUGCUGCUGGAUCACUUCUAUAUUUUUGUAUAUGCGGACCAAAUCACGAUAACAAAGACAAUAAUGCAGCAGCUGGAGAAGUCCACAAUGGCAAUAACAAUGCAGCUGGACAGGAACCCAUGGCCAAUGGCAAUAACAAUGCAGCUGGACAAUUCCAACCCAGGGCCAAUCGCAAUGAUUAAGAAUUAUCAUUUUUGUAUUUUAUUUUGUUUUGAAUAAUUCUUUUUCUCUUAUUUCGUAUCGGUAUAUCGUUGUAAUUUUUAAACUUCAAUCAUAUAAGUUUAUAUACUAUGUAGUCUCUAACUUUGGAUAUAAAACCUCUAUACUCUGCCAUCUCGAAAUCUUCAUUGAUUUACUAAACAAACAUCGAUCUCUCCACAAUGAGAAUACAUUUUUUUGUUUUACUUGACCAACAUAUAUUUACAUGCAGGAUAGAAUAUUGGUAUAAAACUAGUUCAUAAAUCUUUUCCAGAUUUGACAUUCUUUCGAGAUUGUUAUUUAAUAUUUGGAAAGACGACUUUUCAUGUAACAUCCUUUUUACUUAUUUUUCAUGGUAGGUGUACAACAAAAACCUUAAAAAUUGAAAAGCUAAACACACCAAACCAAAUAGAUUUAUUGGAAAAACAAUUAAGAUAUAUUAGUGCACCUCCUGAUCUUGUUCUCCUGCUUGUUACUUAACCUAUCAGUGCACCAAGACUAAUCUCUCAUAUAUUCAAAAAAAAAAAAAAAAGAACAGAACAAUGAGGUUGGGAAAAAGGCUCAAAAUCAAGAACCAAACCAACAAUAAACCCAACUUAAUAACAAUUUGAUCCAUUUUUUUCACUUGCUGGACAUCGGUUUUGGUUCCUUUUCUACAUAAAACCAAUUUGUUUUGUUUUGUUUUUUGGUUGGACUCAAAAUCCAGAAAAUCGAACCUACCUGAUAUUGCUUACUGAGUAUAGUUAGUUGUAGACUCAUUUAAUACUCCAAAGAUUUUGGGUUCUCCCAACUAUCUUUCUAAUAUAAUGUAUAUAUAUCCAUCAAGAUGGAAGUGUGUCUCUUUCAAUUCAUCUCAUUCUUGAAUUAGAGUUUUUUAUUGAACAAGUGAAUAUUAUGUUUAGAUUUCUUAAACUUUGAUAUCAAAUUUAUCUAAGUACGAAUUAGUUCGAUCAAAGACAAACAUCUUUAUUAAUUCGUCAUGUAAAUAUUUAUGAAUAUGGAAAGAUUUAUAUUAGAAGACGAUAACAUGACAAAUACACACAACAAUAAACCAAAGAGAGGAGCAAUAUAUAUAUAUAUAUAGUAAGAGUUGAUCAUGCGUCCUCCAAGAACAAACUCUUUAUUCUAGUUUUUCUUAAUGAGUACGUACUAGAUAUAUAAUAUGAUGAUAACAUAGAAAAGUACAUAAAUUUUACAACUUCUUCAUUUCUUGGUCUUGUUGAUUACUCUGUCAGCAUACUCAAGAACUUUAUCAAGUUCAUCCAAACAAAUAAAGCCAUCUCCAUUAGCAUCAGCCAAAUUCAAAGCAUAGUUAGCUUUGCUAAAUGAAUUGAAGGAACCACACAUGUUAAAAGCUUUUACUAGCUCACUUCUAGUGAGAUAACCAUCACCAUCAAUAUCAUGCUCUAAGAAAAUCUCCCUCAUUUCAUCUUUACUAAGCCUCAUCUUGUACGGCCCACAGGACGCCUUCUCAUCAGGAAUAUUAACCUUAGGUUCAACUUUUUGAGGCUUAAUUUGUUGGUGAUGGUGAGAAGCAGCUUGCUCAAUGAUCAAAGCAGUUAGCUCAUCUUUGGUCAGGAUUGAAUCACCAUUCUUGUCAUACUUUUUUAUCAAAUUACUUGCUUCUUGUUCACUCAUGUAAUUACCUUGGGCUGGGACAGGCUGAUCCUUAAGAGGAUUUGUAGACAUUGUUGAAAACUAUGUGGGUUGUGUUUUGGGAUUUGAUGUGGAGUUUGGAGGUGAUAGAAUUAAAUUAAUGUCUUGAAAGGAUUAACACACUUUAUAUAUACUAACUUUAGAAGCAUAAGUAUUUUUUUUUUCAUGUACAAAUUGGAAUCUUAUUCCUAAUUUCCUCUACUCCAAAAACAAAAGAUUAAAAAAAAAAGAACUUAUUCCUUACCUAAUAAAUCUCUUUAUUCAUUAAGAUAUAUAUAAAGUUCCUUUUUUUAAAAAAAAAAUUAUGGUUAGCAAAGGAAAAUUAUGGUUUAUAUAUAUAUUUUGCAUGUGGAAUGAAAUAAGAUUCUAAAAAGGAAGAUAUUCACAGCUAAUUAGCAAAAUAAACAAAAUAAGAAUAAAAUAUAGAAUCUCUUUGUCACGGUCAAAUAAGAUUUUUUUAGUACAACAGUAGUUAUUAAAUGGUAAUUAAACCUUCAAUAUCUUUGACUUUAACAAAGAUACUACAACAAGUUUUUAGGGCAAUUUUUAGAAAAAGAUACGUUGGAUUAGUAGUGCACCUGGAACAUCUACACUAGGUGGAUACCCCUUAGCACCCUCAUCAUUCCCGCUUCAUUAAAUAAUCGUCAGAUCAGAACAAGAGGCAGAAAAGUAACAAGGGCUAGAGAAAAACCCAGUAGUUAUUAUACAAAAGCAUUCAAGUUUAAAGCAAUAGUGCUAGUGCUAUAAUUUUUAUAGAAAUAAGAUCUACUAGUCUAUAAAUGUGUGAGAUCUUUGACAUUUUUCCAAAUCUCCCGAGUAGUUCUAUCUUUGUUCUGGAAGAUCCUGUUGUUUCUCUCUCCAACUAGAUGAUACAUAACGCAGCAGCAAUCAAAUUGAAAAUGAUGAUGCCUUUUUUGCUUUUUUUCAUUUGUGUUGCAUAUGUUUUGAAAGCAAUAGUCCCGAGUAGUUUCGAUGGCAAUUUAGAACUGCUAUCAAAGUUCGUUUUGUCAUCUUACUCUAUAUUGACAUGCAAUUUCAAUUUACAGUACGUGUCAUCACAAAUAUAUGAUGUUAGUACAAAACUGAUAUAUAAAUCUAAAAUUGUUGUACUAAGACAAUGCCAUUUUUUUCAAUACCAUAAUUAUGGAAACAUGAAUCGAACCUUCCGUCUCUAAAAUAGAAAGUAGUUUUGAUUACCAUUGAAUUAAUUAAGUUCAUGUUGACUCAUGUUAAUUACUCUUAAAACAAAUUUUAAAAAUAAUUGAAAGAAGGUUAAGGAAAUAGGAAAUAAAAAACGCCAACCUUAUUUUGGUUUCUUGUUUCUCAUAACUUCUGUUUCUAUUUUUGUUUCUAUUGUUACCAUUUUGCAUUUGGCAAUUUUAUUUUCAUGUUUUUUUCUUUUUCAUAAAAAAAAAAAUUAAUGAAACAAUUGUUUUAUAUCAAAUUUGUUUCUUAGUUCUCUAAAAAAUUUGUUUAGAAAAAGUAAGAGUUAACUUUUAAAAUUAAAUAACUUUAUUAUUGUUAUAUUUGUUUAUUUGUAAUACUUGUAUUUAUUUCAUAAAAGAGCAUCCUAUUUCCUGAAGAGAGUUAACUUUACUACCAACCUAACUUUUGAUAUUUCAGAAUUUCUCCAAUUUAUUAAUCAUCAUUAUCUUUUGAGUGAAAUGAUAUGAUGUACCUCUUGGAAGAUCAAGAUGGAGAGUAAAAUUAUAAGACUAAAAAAUAUUAUUUUCUAAAAACAAUAAAUUACCAUAUGGUGAUUAGUUUUAAUUGAUACGUAUAGUAGAUGGAUAAAGCGUUGCACAUAAAUGUUUUCAAAUUAUAAUAUUACAUACUUAGGGUAAUAAAUCUCAAAACAACCAUAUAUUUAAUUUAAUUUUUCUUUUCAUUUUUGACAAUUUCCUAUUUAUUUUAAAAUAACAAAAAAUAAUAUUCGUAAAACAAAGGCUGCACUUGUACUUGGCUGAUGUAGAAUAAUUGUCUUCUAAAUCUGAAAGCAAUGAUGAAAGCAAAUAAUUCUCUCUAAAGAUUCUUGAGUUCGUUUUAAAAAUUAAAUGUAUCUAGAAAUUCCAACUUUAACUAAUAAUCCUACUCUUUAUUACUAUUAUUAUUUACAACUUUAAGGCUAAUGUUAAGGACAGAUCUUUUAACCCCCCUGAUGCCAAGCUAAUUUUUAGAAACUAAUAGGAGAAAAAAAAAAUGAUAUGCAAACAUUGGAACAUGCAGGACAUGAACUUUUACUUGAUAUAUCUGUUAAAUAAUUAAAGAAUCAACCCAAAUGUUUAAGUUAAUGAACUAUGGUACAUUUUAAUUAUCUCAUUUAUAACAAAAAAAAAAUUACUUGUAUAUGUGUCUAUAUCACUAGACUAAUAGAUGAUAUAAAGUGGGGAAAUUAUGUAAAAAUAUUUGAAUAAGAAAUAUUUCUAUAUUUCCAAAUGCAUAACGUUAUUUCCCUCUAUUUUAGCAAUUAAUUGGAGUUGUUUUGUAAUAAAUACAAGCUAUGUAAUAUGAAGGUAAGAUCUUGCUAACUAUCGAGUUUGGAAGAUUAAUUUUAGUGUAACAUGACAACAAAGAUCAAAAAGGUAAUUCAAAUAAAAAGAUAAAGAGGAAUAUAUAAAAUAUGAUAUAGACUUGGUUAGAAUAAGAUUCUCUCUGUCUUACUCAUUUUAGUAAAAUGGAUGUAGAAUACGGUUCUUUUAUUAUAUUGUUAUUAUAUUGUUGAAAAUUAGAAUUAGAUUCUUUUUAUCUUAUAAUAAUAAUAAUGAAAUAUUACAAACUUUGUUAUUUUUAACUCCGAAGCAACUUUUCUUUUUACCUCACAAAAUAAUACCCAUAUCUUUUAGGUUCCAUACAAAUAUUAUCUACACAAUACAUCAUCUGAAUUUAUUUAUUUAUGAUGUAAUGUAUGUGCGUUACUUUUUGGUCUAGAAAAAUGAUGAAGAUGUUAAAGUUACAUAAAUAGCAAAUUAAAAUGUUGAAAUUAUAUUUAGCAAAAUUCAUCUAACUUUCUCUAAUUCAUUUAAAAUUUUUGUUAUGAUUUAUAAAUAGUUUCAUUUCUUGAUGCUAUUCCUAACAAUUUUUCCUUUAUAUAAUAUAUAAAAUUAUGCAUUAUAUUGUAAUUUUGGGGUAAGGUAUUUUGUUUAUUUUAACAAAAACAUUGCUGUUGCAGGGGUCGUACUUGGGCAAGGGUUUUGAAAACGAUGAUAGGUUGAAUUUUGAGAUUUAUGCCUAAUUUUUAUAAUUUUCUGUAAAAAGCAAUGUUAAAUAUAUAUAUAUAUAUAUAUAUUAUCAUAACUCUCCCAUAAAAUAUUUAGCUUAAAAUUUAUUUAGAGGACAUACAAUUAAAAUAAUUUUAUAGGUUAAUUACUCAUUUAAAACCAUAAAUUAAAUAAACCAUCCAUGGGCGGAUAUAUGUGUACAAUAACUUUCAAAUACAAGAUUAAUUGUUUUGAUCAUGUUCAUUGAUUGGAUUUCUAUUUUGUGUGAUUUGUGAAUUUAUGCUAUUGUCAAUUCAAAGUAUUUGUAGUGUGUGAGUGGAUAGCUUUUAUCCACAUUACACAGAUUCUAGAUUUUUCGACUGAAUUUAUGCUACUCUAUAUAUAUAUAGUCACAAAAACAGAAAGAAGAAAGAAACGUCACUUUUUUAAAAAAAGAGAUUUGUCACGUACGUGACUGUUGGACACUUGGGUAAUUGCAUAAACAUAUCUCUACAAAGCUAAUAUUGCAACGCAGAGCAAUCAACAUCCUCUUUUGAAAGCUUUCUCAAAAUAAAAGAGUUUUAGAAUUACAUAAAUUAUUAUAUUGAAGACGUGAUUCGUUACCUAAUUUAAAAGACAAGUACUGAUCUACAUUUCAUGCUUUAUAUGUAAUCUGAGAAUGUUGAUAUUUUAGAAAUUUUUUGUUAAUUUUUAGAACAGACUCUCUUGUCAGUAUGAUCUAUUUUUUUAUAAAUUUAACAAGGAAUUAAGAAACCCUCUUUGAUUAACAAAACCACAACACUAAAGGAGAAGAAAUUAGAAAGAUCUUACAAUAAGUGGCAAACAAAAUCUUAUUGUAGAUAGCUCUUUCCAUCAUCUUGUUGAUUGAAGACCCUUGGUGUCAAGAAUAAAAAAUUUCAGCUCUAACAAACCAGAAUGGAUGCUCAAACGGCAUCGCUAGACAGAAGUGGGUUUUCUUUCCAAUUUCUCACUUUGGUGACGUUUGAAUUCUCUUGAUCCGCUGCUGCUGCUGCUGCAAGAUUAUUUACAAAAAUAACCUAAUUGAAACUAUCCAUACAAAACUAAUUGAAACUAAGCCAAUAUAUAUAUCUCGUGAACGAAAUUAAAACUCGAAAUAAAAAGAGAAAAGAAGAGAGAAAUGUACAAAGUUUAAUUGAUUGGAUUUUGGAUACCUUACCCAACACAGAAUAGUGCUUAAACAAAAGGGAAAGAGAGAAGUAAUGAUCAUGUGGAAAAGUUUUUCUUUUUCUUUUUUUGGAGUACUACUCAUUUUAAUAUAUAUGUAAAUUAAAGAGAACAAAAUGACGAGAUUUUCUUUACUUCUAAUAGAAAAAAUAUUGUAUAUUGUGUAGCCUUUGCUGCAUCGGAUUAAAAACUAUCACGUAGCACUUUAUAUUAUUUUUAAAAAAUUAUUAAAAUACUGAUUUUUUUUCUAUGUAGAAAAAAUAUUGAUGGAUAGACUUAAAGUUCAAUCCCUAUAUAAAAUGAUGUUUUAGUGGCGAUAUAUGCUUAAGUAUUGAAAUAUCAUCAUUAUCAAUACAUCUAAACUAAGUACUUUGAAAAAAUCCAUUAUCAUUAAAAUGAUAAAUAAUGAAAAUUGGUAACAACUUAUGCAGAUAAAAAUUGACACAAUACAUGCAUAACAUAUAAUUUACCAAGUAUUCAUGCAUACAAUUAAUGAAAGGAGAAUAUAUAUAUAUAUAUAUAUAUAUAUUAUGUUAACGAUGUUUUUUUAACAAAAUACUGGAGGAAGAAGGAUUUGUGGGUGCACUGUAUCUCUAAUUUGAGUGCUUAUAGAAAAAGUGAUUUGAGUUGAAAACUCUUUUUCCCUUACAAAGAAAUCAACAAUAUAAUAUCAUGUUAAAAGUUUCUACUAGUGUUCUAAUCAACAUGAAACAUAUUAAUUAGUUUAUACCAAUAGUUCAAACUGACCCAUAAUAUGUGCUAACAAUCAAGAAGACUAUAAUUUGAUUCUCCUACCUCUGUUUUACUAAGAAGAAAGUUAAAAGUUUAAUUCAAAAAAUAAAGGAAUGGCAAUAUCUUGGCUUAACUUUUUUUUUUUUUUUUUUUUGAGAAAGAUACUUUGGGAUACCAGUAGAACAUCUCUACUAGGUGGACAUUCCUAAACACUCACGUCAAACUCGCUUCAUUAAAAAUAAAGAGAUGAAUACAAGAAGCAGGAGAUACAAAAAGGGCUAGACGGAAGCCCUAUGAACCCAAACAACUAAAAAACGUUUAAGUUUAAAGCAAUAGAACUGGUCGAGUAAUUUUUGAAAAGAGGAGAACGACUUGUCUAGAGACCAGUUGUAGCUCGAAUGUCCUUCCACACAGAGCCAACUAGUUUUUCUUCCCCCUUGAAAAUCUUUUUGUUUCUUUCAUUCCAUAUAUUUUAAAGGGUGGCAGCCACUAAGUGCAGUUUGAUAGUUUGUUUUUUUUUGUUUUACCCUUUGUUUUGUAGAUUUCUUUGCACAGAUAAGUGGAAUUUGAUGGAGAUAGGAGUCGCCCAAGAUAACUUCAACUUUUUUCCAGAGCUUUGAAGAGAAGGGACAAAGGGAGAACAAAUGGUUUCUGUCUUCCUCGGCAGCUUUGCCAAGAAUUCACCAAGAGGGUUUUAUAUUUCAAGUUGGAGUCUUCUUUUAAGCAUACCCAUGAUAUUAAUACACUCAUAAAGGAGAGUCCAUAAACAAGAAUUUACACCUUUUGGGAUGGAUGAUUUUCAUACAAUUGCUAUAAAUUACCCAAUCAUUAUAGUUAACUUCUGCUUGGUUGUUGAGAGGUCUCUCAAGAUGGCCUAUCUCACUGUAUGAAAAGUUUUGCCCAAAUUGUAAUUUAGCUCGAUUUGAUCAAUAUCUAAUUGUUAAUGUUUAUUAGUAAUUAAUUAAGUAAUAACUUUUAGCUUGCUUUUAAUGUAACGAUUGUUUAAAUAAGAUUAGCCUAAAACCCACAUAUUAACUAAUAAUAGAUAUUAGAAGCCUUUUCCAUUUCGCAACAAGAUUACAUAAACACAAGAAGGACCAACUUGCUCAAGCCCAGCCCUUCCUUCCUUUAUUAGUGAAAGUCAAAAGCUUAGGAAACAAAAACAUAAAAUCAUAGGGUGUUGCCAAUUUUAAUUUCUAUCAACGCCUUCUUUUCUGAAACCUUUCGGCAUAAUCGAUGAGUUUGUCAAGCUCGUCUUCUGAGAUGAGGCCGUCACCAUUCUCAUCACAAUAAGCCAUGCCGUAGUGAGCUUUGUAGAAUGGUAUAGAGUGACCCAAGAACCCCAUGGCUUUGAUGAGCUCACUGAUGCUGAGGUAACCGUCUCCGUCGAUGUCGUGCUCACGGAAGAUUUCCUUCAUCUCUUCCCUUGAGAAAUUGAACUUGCUUACACCAGGAAGAGCCAUUUCUUUUGUGGGAAAAAGGAUAUAGCUUCGUGUUUGUUUAUUGCGUUUGGGGUUGUGAGUUUUGAGUGUGUGUGUUUUGGGGUAUUUAUGGAUGUACAAACAAAGGCUUUAUUCUUAUUAUAUCUUAUGAUAUGAUGGUCCCAUUAUAUUCUUACCUUAUGACAACAGUCACAUAUUCCACCUCAAAAACUUGCAUCUGGUCACCUUUCACUCAUUAUUUAAUUUUAUGGUUAACUAAUAAUCUUUUAUCUAGAUAUUAACAAGAGGGGAAUCAAGAAAUGCAUCCAAACAUCUCUAUUGGGUUAAUCAAGAAAUGCGUCUAAACAUCUCUAUUCGGUUAAUGUACCUAUUUUAGUUUUCAGGCUUAAAAUAACUUGUUACCUAAAAUGUCAAUAAAUGUACAAAAUAAUUUGUAUUUGUAUUGUUAGUAUUACUUGAUUGUAACACUUAACUUAUUGUUAUUUUUCUGAAAAACAAAAGUAGGUCAAAAUUUUGUUGACACGUUGAAUUCUGUGUAUGCUUUUUCAUGAAAACUCUAUUGAAAGCUUCUUUUUAAAAAAGAAAAAAGAAAAUCUAAGAUUUAUCCAUUUAGACAUUUAAAAGUAUAUAAUCUUAUAAUAAAUUAAAAGAAAAACUAAAAUAAUAUUUUAACAAAAUUUAUAUAUUUUUAAAAAAAACACGUACAAGUGAUACAUCGUCCAAAUAUCUUCACUAAGUAGACAUCUUCUUAGCAUCUUCAUUUGAUAUGUAUAAAAAAAAGUAAAACGACGACAAAAUAUGAGUUAGAGAUAAGUGCAUUAAAUAAAGAAAAUCAAUAACUAGUGAUGUUAAAAUUAAGUUUAUUUAGUUAAAAUAAUGUAACAUUUUUAUUUAUAGGCAUUUGAAGAACUUUCCUAUAUUUCUUUUACUCCCUGCUCUUGAAAAGAAAGAAUUCAAACUUUAAAUAAAAACCAUAUCAUUUUCCAUCAUUAACUUCCUAUUUUUUAAUUAUUAUUUUUAAAUAGAGCAAAAUAAAAAUUAUAAUAAAAUGUAUCUAUACGUGUCCUUAUCACCAACAAAUGGUAAAAUUUUAUUGUAUUUGUAAUUAUUUUCAACAAUUAUAUUAUUUAAAAUCAUUAUUCUUUUUGAAUUGAAAACUAAAGUAUUGAUUAAAUUUAUUGUAAUAUAUCAGCAACUUUUGAGGUCAUUGUUUCAUCUUUGAUCUCUCUCUAUGGAAGACCUAAAUUUGGUUCAAUUCAAAAUGAUUCUAUCAUUGAUCAUCUGUUCUUCUUUUUCUUCUAAAAAAGGCAUACAACAGUGUGUGAUGACGAAGGACCAAAAUUUAUGCAUACAAUACAGUGUAUAUAUACAUAUAUAGUAUGGGGUUAUUCUAGAAGAAAAAGAGAAUAUAAGUCUUUUUGUUGUGGCAGAAAUUUGGAAUCUGCAUGGGAUGAAAAAGGGCAUCUGCUUCUAUUUAUAUUAUAUAAUAUUCUUUGAAAUGACAAUAAUGGAGGGAAGCAUAAAUUUACAAUACCUCUCAUAAACAUCAAAUAAUUUAUAAUGGGACUCCCAUCUAAUACUUAGGGAAAGGGAAAAUAUUUCUUUACAAAUUAAAAAGCAUUCAUGCAGUUUUGAAAAAUGCAGAUCAAACGGAGGAAGUGCACUUUCUCAAUCUUUCUCUAUUUGCUAUAUUUGAAAAUAUGUUUUUAAAAAAAUUCAUUUAAAACAAUUACUCUAGAAAAAGGUUAUUGUUAGACUGAUGCUUUUGUAUCGAUAGAUUAUCUGUUAGAGUAUUUAAUAAAUAAUAUUGAUAUAAUUACAUUUUGGUAUUAGGUUAAUUAGUGUUAGUUUAAUUUAGGUAAUAUAGCCUAUCCGAGAUCUUAGUUUAUCUAAGCUUAUAUCAUUGUUGUAAUUGUUAUUUUAGAAACCCUAAUGAAGUUUUUCUAUCUCUCGCUCACUAUACUGUCUUUGUCCCUCUAAAAUUCUAGAGUUUUCAUGGCAUCAGAGUCCAAAAUUUUCUAAAACUCAAAACUCUCCCUUUUUUUCUUUGAAGUCGUCAUAGGCUGCAUGUAACAAGAAACUUAAAACUUAAAACCCUCCCUCUACCCAAACUCUCAAAUCACAUCACAGUAGUCUAUCUUCGGAUCUUUCUUCCACCCUUUUUGAAGAAUUGUUAUUUUUAACCUAACAAAGCUUUUACCUUAUCAGGCUAACUUCAUUUUUUAAAACUAAUUUUUUUCAGAAAAAGGAGUUUUUUCAAAAAUAGAAAAAUUUGUAUAUACACUCUAUAAAACAAAACUGCUAAAAGACACACACAAAAAAAAAAAAAUGUAUACUCAAAGUUCUAUAUUUUAUAAUUUCACUUUGAAAAUAUCAAUUUGUCCCUGUUAUAUUGUAAGUAAUUUCUAUUUCACAUUUUUCUAUUACCACUUUCCAAACCCAAUUUCAAAUUUGAAACUUACUAAUUUUUCUUUUGUUGGGCUUUCUUGUAAGGAUAGAAAAAUUAAUGGUAAAAAAAAGUUCUUACGUGGAAUUUCCCUUAAGAUUUGAAAAUUUUGGGAAAAUUUCAUAAAUUCCAACGCUAAACUAUGAACAGUAAAUUUAAAAAAUUGAAAACUUAAAAGAAAACUAUCCUCUUUAAAAAUAAAAAAUAAAAGCCUUAAAUUUAAGUUUAAAACAAUCACUAACUUAAUCUUACUGAGAAAAAUUGAAAUAAAAUUAAAAUAAAGCUUAUGAAAUUGGAAAUUGUUAUUUUAAAAAAAAUGGUAGAAUUAUUAUUUUUUAAGAAAACAUAAAUUUGCAAAUCAAGUGGACAGAUUUGGAAAAGAUACACUGUAGAAUCUACAGCUCGCUAUGUAACGUUAUUGUUCUUGAUCAUAAACAACACAACAAUUCUCGAUCGUCUUCGCUCAAGUUUUGCUUAUAAUAAAAUUAGUCAACCACGCUGUAGUAGCAAAUUUGUUGAUAUCAUAUAUCACUUUACAGUUGAUUUUGUUGUGAUUGGAUAAAAUUUCAUUGCAAGUACAUGUAAAAAUGGCGUAGCAGCAUAGGUUCAGUAAUACUACUCCUUUUUUAUUAUAUAUAAAAUUGAAUGACCCCAUUUUAUAUCUACGUUUGCAUAUUCUUACAUAAGAUCGAAUCCCUAAUGAUCUUCAAAUUUCAAUCCAGAAACCAUCCUUUGUAUUAUGUGAUAAUCAAGAAGCAGCUGUUCAUAUAGCCUCCAACUCAAUCUUCCAUCAAAACUUUGUAAAUUUUAAUAUAUGGGAGAUUAUUUAUAGAUUUCAGGAAAUAUGUAUAAUAUAAAUAAGUUUACGAGUGGAAUUUGUUAACAGAAAAGGGAAAAACAGUAUUGAGGAAAUUUUAAAAACAUUUUUUUCAUUUUUCUUGCAAAGUUUGAGGAGAAACUUCUAUACAUUGUUUCUUUUGUAUUAUUGAUGUUUGGUGCAUGUGAAACAUAUUUUUACCAAUAUAAAGUAUGUGAGGUUCUAAUUUUGUAAAUAUAUACUAAGAAUGUUAACAAUUUUACAAUAAGAGAGUUAUGUUCCAUUAACAUGUGAAAAAGAAAUGAGGUUAAAAAGUCAAACCAAAGUUCCUUUUUGAGCUACUAUAAAAUACUUGAACCAUGUUACGUUUUGUUUCAUCUUCAAACAAUCCAAUCAAACAAACAUAUAUAUAAUUUUAGUUUAAGAAUGUCUGUCUCUCAUCUUCAAGCUUGGGCUAAGAAUGAAGCAAAUGAGUUGAUAAAGAAGUAUGAUAGAAAUGGUGAUGGUGUUCUCACUAAAGAAGAGCUACAAUCUUUCCUUCGUGAUGCUCGUGGUUCAACUCAACUCAAUAAUAUAAGGAAUGUAUCGUCUAGCACAGUCCCAAAAACUAACGAAAAUCUUGCACAGAAGGUUAGCUCAAAUACUUGCAUAACACCAAAAAAGCAGUUGUUGGAUAAAGCUCAAGGUUCGUCGAAACAAUCUAAUGUACCUUUGAGUCGAGAGCAGAUAAAAGAGAUUUUUAAAUAUCAUGACAGCAACAAAGAUGGUUUUCUCAGCAUACGGGAGUUAACAAAAGCUUUCAGCUCUAUGGGAUCAAUUGUCCCAUUUUGCAAAGCUCGAUAUGCUAUGGCUUAUGCUGAUGUCGAUGAAGACGGUCUUGUCAGUGAGGCCGAGCUUGACAAACUCAUUGAUUAUGCCCAUAAAAUCAUCAAGAAGAAAUGAGCUUUCAAGGAUAAUUCUGUGUGUUCUACAUAGAGAAUUAUGUAACUAGAAGUAAAAUAUUAAAAAUAUUAAAAAUAAUUAAAAUAAUUAUUUAAAAUUAAAAUAUCAUAUGUUGGAAUUUUAUUUUUGUUGCAAAAAGCAUUGUAAUUAAAGCUUCUCAUUAUUAAUAAAAUAAAAGAGAUGUAUGUUGGAAUUAAAAAUCUUAAUCUGUUAUCGUUAAGUGUUAAUAUUAAUCUCUCUCUCUUUGUUAAUGAUUAACAAACACAUUAUGAUAAAUAUGGCCUUAAUCUAUGAACAUAAGCUCAAAAUAUUGAACCAAAAUUUAAAAUUUGAUAACUCUUCCCAAUUGAAUUCAUAGUUUAUUUUUUAUUAUAUGUAGAAUGCACUCACAAUAUGAUAUAUUACAUAUUUUUGGAUUUAGGCUGCCCUGUUUUUAAGUUUUAAUUUUUUAGAGUUAGAGGCUGGUUGAGUGGAUGUAAUUUACCUUGUUGUAAUUACUUCUUUUUUUUUCAAUGAAGAUUUGAUUCUCUUUCAACUUGUCUACAACACUAAAUAGGAAAUAGGAUAUAGAAAGGAUUUCAAACUUAUACAUGCAUGAAGCAGAACCUUUUAACAUUUAAAACAUGAUACUUUCCAAAUACUACGUGUAUAUUUCAUAUAAAAUCAUAACUACGUAUAACCAUUAUUCCAAUAUAAAACUGUAAAAAAUUGACCCUUUAAUCUCAAGAAAAGAAAUAGUCAAUUAAUGUUAAAUAGUAUUUAUUUUGACACAAUAUCUCUUUUCUACUUUAAUUGAAAUGACAAAUAUAUUCUAACAAACGUAAAUAAUGACUUCUAAUUUGUUCAAGUAUAUACAGACGUGUGUAUACAUGUGUAAAUAUGUGUGGGUGGGUGUAUAGAAAGAAAGAAGAAAAUCUCCAUCAAAUGUAUACAUUUAAAUAAUAAUAAUAAAAGAAAUAAACUUAAUUAUUGAGGAAUUCAGCCAUGUUCGUGGUGUAAGGAAAUUCCUUCAGAAAGGUAUUAAGGCAAAUGUACCAGCAUUUAAUUUGUACAUAACAAGGGAACAGAAGAUGGGAAUUUAUUCACAUUUCAAGGAAUUUUCCUCACUUUCUUCCUCAAGGGAAAUAAAUACAUAUCUUAUAGAACUUAGUUAUUGACCUAUGAAUUUAAACUACAUAUAUACUUACAGAACCUAAACUCUUGGUGGAUGAAAACACCAGACUGUACAAUAAUAUACUAUGUCCAGUAUGUAACAAAAAUUUCAACUUAGCAGAUAGCAGCAUGAAAUAUGAACUGAUUCUGCCGAUGAAUUUUGAUGGGAAUUAAUGUGGGCAAUCAGCAAUUGAUCCAGGAGUUUAAUAAUCUCUAUCAAUGAAUUUAGCAAGAAAAUCCACCUGGAUCGGAGCAAGUUACACCAACAAGAUUGUUGGAGAAUAUCAGAGAAAUGCUAAAAUUUCAGCAGAUGACAUAACAUAGGAAUUUGUAAAUCAGAAUCUACUAACCGAGCACAUUUAAUCCCCAGAUUCAAGGAUCACCAAUAAUGUAACGAGAAUCUUUUAGGCAGACAACUUUAAAAAUCUACCAAGGGAGGUGGCAGUUUCCAGUAAUUCCAUGAAUUGAAAUCCUCCUGUGAAAACAACCGAAGAAUUGGUUCAAUAAAAGUAAUUCAAGAAUUAGUCCAAGUUCAGUUUGGAGAUUAAGAACCUGCUCGGAUGAGGUCAUGGGAGGAAACAUCCCAUUGACAAGAGUGUGAAGAGAAGUAUAAGAUUUCGUGUCGACACGGCGGUUUACAACAACCUCCCCCUACAAGCAUGAAUUUUUUUAUGAAUUCUGAUGCUACCAAGUAAUAUAAGAUUAUUCUGUUUUUCAACUCAUAUUCAUGAAUCCCCCCCCCUAAAUACCUUGGGAUUAAUAAUGAAAAUUUUUCCUUUUGGAAUUCCAACUUUAAGGUAGCUAAAUUCAUCCGUGUCCCUGUUUCCAAACCCAGCAUAAAAUGGAUUGCAAUCUGGAGGAAAUAGUUCUCGAAUUCUCUAAAAGUUACAAAAAGCAGACUAUGAGCCAUCUUAUUCAGAAGUCAGAUCACAUGUAAACAUAUGAUAUUCAAAAUUUCUAAUUUGAGGGAUUGUAUCCAGAAAAUUGCUUAAUUCCAAGUAAAAAUACAUUUUUAACAGUCAUGCAUCGAAACUGCAGCUCAUCAAAGUAUACUUAUGAAAAUGAAGAAUGUAAAAUUUGUAUAAGUUUCAAUAUCAAAGAAAAAUAUCAACAAAGAUAGAAGAAACUAACCUCCAAGCAAGCAAUCUUGAACUCAUGAGGAGCCCGCCUAAUAACUGUGAAGGAGGAAAUGAGCUCAAAGGUAUUUAUUCACAAAUCCAAGCAUGCCUAGCCUAUUUAUAUGUUUUUCAAUUAUUGCAUUGUUAAGAACUUUUCUCUUCAAAUUAUGCUUACAACCCAUUCUCCACAAUUAGCCAGGAAAACUUCACGCACCCCAAAGCUAGAAUUAGGAGAUAGGUUUUUUUACCAGAAAGCUUAAUUUUAAGUUUUUUUCCAAGGAAAGCAUCCCCUGCUCUAUACCCUCCCUCUACCCCGGGCAUAUGCUUUCAAUAAACCAGGCAUUUAGAAUCACAAGAUGGAUGCAAAUGCCGGAGACUCUUAAAAGGCCAAAGGAUUUGAAGGACUCUGCUAAAGUAUGUGUAUUUCAAGGGAAAAACAUACUGCAUCAAACUACUAAAUAGUUGCAAUUUCCUAGUUUAAAUAUAAACAAUAAAUCUAAGAAUACAUUCAAUAACCAAAACUUUCUCCAGAACAUCUAGCAAUUUACUAAAAUCUAGACUUAGAAGAGAGAAGUGUUGAAUAGUAAUUCUCAAAAGCAUAAAUAGGAGGGAAAAGCUAUAAUAUGUUUCACGUAAUUUCUAACUAAGAGAAGGGAUAAAAGGCAGUAACCUUCACGAUAUAGUGAAGGGAAAAGCCCAUCAGGGGAGAUAACAACAGGCCCCUCUGGUAAAGCCUUCCCAUCCUGCAUUGAUACAAACCAGGUAAAGAUCAAUCGUGGAGUAGUCAAGAAUUUAAGCUCUAAAUAGUGAAUACAUUACUUGUUUAAGGUUGAAAAGAAAUUGACGGGUGUGAUACGCCUGAGAAAUUGAUCGUGCACUGAGAAAAAGCAAUUGGUACCCAUUUUCCUGAAAAGAUAUAAAAAUAAAUUAAAUUGGGAGAGUUCAUUGCAUCAUAAUUCAUCACAUACGAUCGUCCAACUAAUGAGGAUGGGAUAAAAGCUUACCUUAAUAGCAGAAAAUAAAUUUGUGACACCUGUUUGUGACCAAUCCAUUCCAACAAAGGGCAUGAAUUGACCCAGAACAUCCGACCUAAGAAAGUGACAGAAGAGGAAAAAGUAAAGAGAGUGAGCACAAGAGAGGAAAAAAAAGAAGAAAAAAGGGUAAAUAUUUGUUUAAGUCCCGUUUGAUAACUUCUUUUUUAGAAAUUGACUAAGAAUUCAAGUGUUUCUGUAAGGAAGUUGAAAGUCGUAGCUUGGAACUUGAGAGGAAACAAGCAUGAAUUUCAAAUUCAGAAAACUAAAAAUUAAAUCAUCGUCAAAUGAGGUUUGAGCUGUUUAUUGUGCAAGAACAUUUGGCAAAACAAGAAAGAACUCCAUUGACUGAAAAGCUAACGGUACAAAUAAGCCAGACUUGAACAAAUGAUAGAAAAGCAAGGAAAAUUUACUGUGGAAAAUUUCUGUUUUCAUUUUCUUUCUUUAAUGGCAAAAAAAAACAGUGAUUAAUUAAUAAUAGAAUGGAAAGUGAAACAAAUCACCAAUGUAAUAACAAAUAUGGGAAUCCUCCUACACUGCGUACAAACAAAAGAAAUACUAAAAUCAAAAGAUUUGACUUUCUUCAGCUAUAACCAAAAAUGGACUCUAGUUCAAUAGGUUCGACAUCUUCCUAAAAGUCUUCCUUUUCUUUACCACCGGAUGAUCAAAUAACAUGAACAAACUGCUGAACCGUACAUUUCUGAAGAGUACCACUCUUCUUUGACGUCAUUCCACCAAAAAUAAAGUUCAACAGCCACCAAACCAGCCAAGUAGUAAUUCAGGCUUCUCAUCUCUCAGUUACAUACUAUUUUGCAGCCCUAUUUAUACAAUGAACAGAAAGUUCAUCAUCAAAACUCUAUUCUGAAAAGUUUACCCAACCACCAUUGUAUUCUCUGAACAGCCAACAGGCGAAAAGCAUUUAUCUGAUUUCUUAUGAUCUGAAUUUCAAGGAGUCAGUGAUGGUUAAAUUCCUGCAUUGGCAAUACAGUUGGCUUGUGUUUCCCAAGCUUGCAUGAAAACUUCCUACUAACAUAGAAAUUAGGAAGUGUUCAAGAACUACCUAUUCAUGUUUAGUUCACAAAGGUUUCGUUUCUGCAGCUGGAGAAUUUAACCCUAAUAUAAUUUUCCCACAACUGAAUCGCUAAGUGAAUAAUGAAGAAAACUCGUGUACAAGAAACUUGAUUCCAGGGCUUUUUUUCUUCCGAUAAGAAACAAACGUCCAAUAUCAAAGAGAAUGUUAAUUUGAUGGCAGAAGAUUCUAAUGACUCAACCAAGUGCCCUGUUUUCAUUCUGGAAAGGUAUAUAAAGGAGCCAACAACUGGAGCAAAUAAUACCAAACAAGAGUUACUCUGCAUAAAUAAAACUAUGCUCAAAAUCAGUAUAUCACAUCCAAAAUCAUCAGGAUAAAAGAACAUACUUUGUUAUUGUCCCAUCCACAUCUGAUAUCACUACACGAGUAUUCCAUUUCCAUAAAUAAAUCCGGGCAUCAACCUAUUCAGAAACAUAAUCAUAAACAAAUGCAAAUAUGAAGGGAAAUAAAUAAAGAAAUAGGACAGGGGUGGCUGAAUUCUUCUUAUUAUUAUUAUUUAAAAAAAAAAAAACCUUGACCUGCUGCUUUCCAAGCACUGCAGUGUAAAAUGUGAAAGUUAUCGUGUUCCCCCCUUCCUUGAGAUUUAAGGAUGCCAGCUGCUCUGAUGUCGGUGAGAGGGAUUUAACCAUCUGUUUCUCUACCUUGUGCUUAACAAUGCUUGCUUCUCCAUCCAGUCCAUUAUUUCUAUCUGAAUCCUUCUUAAUAUCAAAAUCUAUGCAUCCAUCAACAGCUGAUUGAGUUCCUUUACUAGAAUUAGAUCUUUUAAAAGAGAAAGGCCAAAGUUUCCAAUUUCCAACUGGGUCAACAGUUGCUUCUGCUGGACUACCUGCACAAGUUUUCUCAAUGGGAUCAAGAGCUAUAAUGCGUUUCAUUACGAACAUACAUUCAUGUUUUCACUAAUAAUGAUCCUCAACUAAAUAGAGCACCUCACUCCAUAAAGAAUAACUGCCAAAUUUUAAUCAUAAAGAAAGGAAGCAAUAUAAUUCUUAAAAAACACAAAGGAUCAUUUACAUAAUCUAGAGCCUAAACAGUUACAAAAUUGAUGAAACAGUAAAGGUACUCAAAGAUAAAUUUUUACAAUAAGAUAUCUAAAUUAUCUUACCUGCUCCAGAGUUACGAAUAAUAUUUUUUCGUUCUUCUGAAACCCAUGGUUCUUCAGAUUUUGACCGAUCCUCUGCCACUUUCUCUUCUCCAUCACCACCAGUCUUGGAGCUUGCAUUAUCCUUACAAAAUUCCAUCCAGUUCAAUGGUUUUGAAUUUGAGUCCACAGAAUGGCUUAGAGGAUGAUUGAGCUUACAGACAAUUGAAUUAUCAAUCCUAGCCUGCAUAUUGGGUAGUGAAGCUGCCAGACGCUCAACUUCUUUACUAGAAAUUGGAUGACUUGGAGGAAUUGUGAUGGGACUUGUAAUCCUCUGAUUGAAGAUCUCUUGACUGUCUACAGAACUGCUUGUCACAUAACUUCUAUUUGCAAACCUAUCCUCUUCAUCAAUGCUACUUGGAUAUACUAAUGGAUAAUCUUCUUUAUCAUCGAAAUGUUGACUUUCUGACUCUAUACUCCCAUUAACCUCAGUUUUUGGAACAUCAAUAUCACUGAAAAGGAAUUGUUCAUCAUCUGAAUUUGUUGCCGGCAGUAUAUGACUUUCUUUUGUUGCAACUCUGUUAUCAAUAGAACUCAAAGAAUUUUGGAACUUGCUGGUCACACUUCCAUCUACACUUUUGUCAUCUUGAAAAUCUGAGCAGAAACUUGAACCUGUGCUAUCAAACUUCAAUUCUUUAACGGAACCAGGCAUUUCUUCUGUGGACACAAUUUGAGAAUAGGAAGCUUCAAGUGUUGGUGUUUUUUCUUGAUCCAUUGUGUUGCCUUCAUGAACAGAACUAAUACAAUGAUCCACUUGUUGAGAAGAGUUCACAAGGACUUCAACUUUUUCAGUCUCUAUUUCAAAAUCUCCUGCUACCACACUAGAUUCUGUAUCCUGAUCAAAAAAUUUGGAUAUAUCAGUGCUAAUAAAAAAGAGUCGCAUUAAUGGGAAAAAAAAUUCAGUAGACCUUCUAACCUUAAAGGUCAUAGCAACUUCUUUUUAUCAACUCUUUAUAUCGGUAAGAAUGCUAGAACUAGACUUUGAAUUUAACAAUCCUAUGAGUGUGUGACUGUUUUGUUCACGUCAGAAUAAAGCUUACCUCAAGAUGAACUUUAGUUGUCAAGUGCAAUCCCUCAGUUUGAAUAUCAAUGAUCCCAGAUCCUCCAUUGGUCAGAUGGGAGACUUCAUGAGUCAGUACCCUUGAAUCAUCCAUUGUCAACAUUGAUUGCUUGGAAGUUUCAUAGAACAUUAAAGAUUGCACUGCAUCGGAUUCACUCUUGUCUUCAGACAUGUUGAAUACAUGAGAAGCAAUAUUUGUUUCAUCAGAUAAGUGCUCCAUUAGCAACGAAAUUUGGGACUUGGAAUCUACAUUUUCAGCGAAGGUUCCCAUCGCCUGCACAGUCUCUUUUUCACUCUGUUGGAUAUCUAUUGGUGCAUAUUUCACUUCAUAUGUCCUGUCAAAAACCUUUUCCCCUAUAAUAGAAGUUUCAACCAUUUGAUCCUUGAUGUUUAAACUUGACAUUUCUCUAGUCACCUCAAUAGAAAGCUCUAGCUUUUCUGAUUCUAAUUGAGAGCCAUUUGUCACGGGCUUGUUGCAGGUGUUGUUAUCGAAGAUUUUAUCAAUACUAUUUCCCAUGUUAGCUUUUACAGUUGAUGUCACGUGGCUUUUCUCAUCAUCUCUCCUCAAAUUUUCCUCAUCCUUGCCAUCUGAAGUGUCAAUGGAAGAAAACUUAGAAGAAUCCGUUUUCUCAAGCUUUUGGGCGCGAAGAUUGGUAGACCACCUAACCUCUAAAAGAUCAGCUGCAAUUUCAGCACGCUCCAGAGAAUCUACCCUUGCAACAGAUGUACCCGCAUGAAGAUCUUCUUUCAUUGAUUUACGACCCCAUACAAAUCCAAGUAUCUGUCGCCGGGAGGUAGUUUUUGUCACUAUCUUCCCAUUAUUAUUACUCUGCUCGAUCCCAUCUAUUGAACUCUUAGUGUUAUAGUAGCAACUUUGUGAACUAAGGAUCCUCCUACCAUCCAGUUCCUGCAGUAUCUCAUCACCUGAAGAAGAAGGAUAUAAUCCAGGUUCUCCUUCAACAUCAACUUCCCUCAAAAAAUAAGCUUCUCCUUUAUGAUCUAAAUACAUCUGAAAAUUAGCUUCAACCCCAUUUACAACUAUGCUGACCACCUUCUCCUUCGUCUUCAAAACACCUUGAAAUUUUCCAAACUUUACAUACCAAGGUGAUGAUUUAAAACUACCAUCCUGCUGUUGGACUACAACAAUAUCCACAGCUCCACCAAACGGAUGAAAUGGCCCAGAAACGGUAUAAACACCCUUUGAAAUGUAGCUCCCUAGUAACCCCACAGCGUUCAUUGUCCAAAGUUGUGAUUUCUCAAAUCACCCGAUUUACAAAUCUCAAAUUCUGGCCAUCAUAUAAUAACCUGUACAAGUUCCCCAAUAAAACCGUGCGCCCAAUGUUUCAGCUCAAUAUCCCCAAUCAUAUACCUCCAAAACUCUUAAAACUAAAAGAGAAAACUAAACUACAAGUACAACUAGCCCAGAUCACAAAUUUCCAAUACAACGAUCUCAAUAACAAGCAGAAUCAAUCAAUUUAACCAAUCAAUCAAUUUUAUCUCCAGUUCCCCACUUACAACAAUUAUUAGAAGGAACCCAGAUGAUAAAACCACGGAGUUAACCAAUUUUGAAACAGUCAAACAAUUCAAAUCAAAGAAAGAACCGAACGACAGUAUUGAUGGGGCAAUAACCAAUAACCUGAAGACGCCAUUAAUCAGAGAGAGAGGGAGUCACCAUAAUUGUAAGGCUGAUUGAUAGGCAACUGCAACAGGUAUAAGAAAGAACCGCGAAGAAAAUACGCCGUUGGUAUGAUCAGAGCAUAUUCGCUUUUAAUUAUUCGAAUGUUCCUCCGCCAUUAUCCAAUUUUGCAGAACAAGAACAGCACGUGAUGUGCGAAACGUCGAAACCUUUGCACAAUUAAGGAUCCAAAUUUGGUGAAAUUAAAAAUAUAUAUAUAAAAUGAUAAAUACUGUCUUUUUGCUUUUAUUUUUUUUAGAACAAUAACGUCUUUUGGUUCAUCUUUACUUUUAUUAUUUAUUUUUUUACGAUCAAAAAUUACAAAACGGAAAAACUACCUAAAUUAUUGAUUUGUAUUCUUUUAUUAUUCCGGAAGAAACCAUUUUUUAAGUUAUGGUUAUAUGAAAUGUAAUAAAAUAUGUUUAACAUAUUUACAAUUAUAACAAAAUCUACUUUCUAUAGCGACAUGGUGAUAAAGUCAAAUAAAUAUCUAUUAUAAGAUGAUAUAUUGAUACAUUUUUAUUUGAAUUAAUAUUUCUAUCAUCCAUAGAAAGAGUUUAUGGAUGAAUCAAUAUCUUGUCCCAUUAAGAAGAUUCUAAGAAGUAAUAGGAAGGUUAAAAGGAACUAAAACCUACUACUUGUAUUAACAAGGUGUAUCUUUUUUCGAUGUCUCAUCAUAAGACUUUCAAAGUUAAAGCGUGUUUCGGGUAGAGAAUUUUCGAAUCUAUGUUAGUUUGUGGGGACAAGCAUUCGAAAACUUGUAAUGUCUGUCAUUUAAAUAAAUUUUCUAUUUUGGACAUAAGGGAGUUAAAUUAUUUUUAAAAAAAACGUCAAUAGAAAUGUAGCUAGAUAAAGAACUCCAUUUGGAUUGAGUUAUUAUGAUCCAAAUUGUAAUAUGGUUUGGUUGAAUUUUCAAACAUGAUUGAAUGAAUAUUAAACAUUUUUUUUUGUGAGACAAGCUUACGUUUGUAGCUGGAUCAGCUGAUGUAUCGAUCUGUUCAGUAUCAAUCAUCUCAAGAUAUUGGGCUAACAGAAAGUAGGAUUUGGAAAUUCUACAAUAGGCCAGUUAUAAGGUGUACGGCCCCAAAUUGACUCUUUGUACUAGGAAUUCGUUGGGGGCAGACCAGCGAAGGGUCAUGGCUUCGUGUUGCUUAUCUGGGCGACAAAUGACAAAAAGUCAUGAUCCCAUAAAGAAAUUUGAAAAAUAAAAAGAUAUGGGUAGAGUGAAUCUGAAGUCAAAUACCAUAAUUUUAGUGGCCAGUUUGCUCUCGUAGUCAGUGGAUCAAGAAACUAAUGUUAUACAUUCAUCAACUCAUCCUUGUUUUGGUCUAAUUAUGAUUGUUUCUGGUAUUGUUCAGAAUUUGGUAUCUGUUUUAAUCUCUUCUUUAAAUUUUUCAUGUUGUCUUUUGCCCAUUGGGGUUCGGUUAAACCAUUUUAGAUCAUUGAGUCUUCUUACGUGUUUAGGAAAACAGUUAGACGGAAACAAAAUAAGGGUGAGUAAAUUGAGCUUCGAUUCAUGUGGAAGAAGUUUAUUGAAAGCAAGUUUAAGAAUCUGUGCGCUGUUUUUGAUGGGUUAUGCAUGUUAAGUGUUUGAUUAAAGUUCUCUUAUAGAGCCUUGUGUUAUUUUUGCUUUAUAUCAAUUGAUUAACCAUUUGAUAAGCUAAAUGUGGUCGCCAGAAGCUCAAAUUCUGAGAAUAUAUAAUAUUAUCUCUUUUUGAGCCCCAACAGCCAUCACCUUUUUCUGUGGGGGCUUCCUUGAUGGAUGGCAGAGCAAGGAUCAGCCAGUUGUCUCUUUCAUUGAUCCUAGAAAAAUGGCAUUUCAUUCAUCUUUUAGCUAUGAAAUUCAAUGACCAUAUUGGAUUUUCUUAUUAAGAUGUGCACAGGCACCUUAUUCACACAGCACAUAUUCACACGACUGACUAAUAAAAGCAUUGCGGUUGUUCACUUGUUCACUGCUUUCUUUGUUUGUAGGCUUAGGGUGAUUUUGAAAAGACUGAAAGCACUUCUUUUAGAGCGAGGGGGAUUCAUCAGGUGGGUUUGAUAUAUGACAAUGCAAUAAUAAUCAUUAUCAUAAAAAAGGAUGGUCCUCCUCCUACUCACAUGAAAAAGGUAGCUUUUCUGUCAGUUGCCCACAUCUUUACAUUUUAUAUCAUUCGUUCUUAUAUUUUUUUAAUUUUAAGGAGGAAUAUUUUUUAAAUAGUAAAAUAUUAAAACUAUUUACAAAUAAAAUCUAACCAAUUUUCUUUAGUUUAUUUAAUCUUUUUAAUAUAGUUUUUUUUUUCUAUCCGUGACCAUUCCUCUUUUAAAAAAUCAUUUCAACUGCUGUGGAAGGCAUUGAUACUUUUUUUAAAUAUAUAUUUUAAAAUUUAUUAAGUGUUGGGUAAUUGGGUUAGGAUUAUCAAUAUUUAUACGAAGUCUUAGGUAUUAUUUCACUUGACCCCACACCCUUUUGAGCCCCAUAAUCUCUCUUUUCAGAGCUUUCACUUGUUUCGAUAUAUUUAGAAAUGGUUCAUCACUUUUCAACUUGUCUAUUUAUUUUAGGGACUUUGCCCCCUGAUAUCUUAAGCAAUGUUCUUGGGCAAUUACUCCCACACCUUUAUACUUUCUCAAUAUCAUUUUGAUCCUUUUAGGAAGUUUUAUAUAUAAUGAGGUAAUGUCGAUUGGAAAAUUAUUUACUGUCUCAUAACCAUAAGGGAGAUAUAAAAAACUUCAAAACAAUAAAUGGGCGUGGUAGAGAAAAAAAAAAUCUUCAGUAGAUUAAGACAAUUAUUGAAUUUGCUCACUUUUUCAAACUUACGUGAGAGCUAUGGUCCCAACGUUUUAUGUGGUUUUUGUCUGGCUUAUAAAUGAUUCAAAAAGACGAAAAAGAGAGUAGAGCUGGCAGAAGAGGAGUAUUUGUCUAUCCAAUCUUGGAUGGUUGUUUGAUUUAACCUAUGCUCAUGACCACUCGAUUCGUAAAGAGAUCACCAGGUCGAUGAUAGAUUCGUCACAUUUUCCUUUCUUUUGAAGGUUAGUAGAUCAAUCAACUUUUCUUGUGUCAUUUUCUAUAUUCUUAUCUGCUGAAUUCCUUGCCCCAGUUGUAAAAUCCAAAAUGUUAAUAAACUCUCUUCAAAUCAGAGCUUGUUUUUCCACAUUAUUAGCUUUUGUUCAAGGGUAAAUGAGAUUCAAUAACCAUUGUUUUGUACAAACGUACAUCUAAAUCUAAUAUUGCACAGUUGUGACUAUCCACCUGUUCAAAUGAAAUAAAUCUAAGUCAUCCGAAAAAUUGAAGAACCUGUCAAUUAAAACAUCUAAAAAUACUAAAGUGCAUUUUAAGCUACAAUCAUCUUUAUAUGUCAUGUAUUAAACUCUUCUUCCUUUUCCCUUUUCGGAUAAGAGUGAAAUGCACAAAAGCGGUGCAUCUAAGUAUUAUUCUUAAAACAACUCUUUUAAGUUACAUGAUCAAAAAAUCAUUGAAAGGGCCGGUGCACACUCAUUAUAUAUAUCAAACCGGACCUUCUGGACUGAUUUGCUAUCUCUUUUUGUCUAUAUACACGUACAUACCACGCACAUAAAUGCAGAAAAAGCAAAGAGGCUGAAUAAUUUUCAAUAAAGAAAUAGAAUAUGAUUUAUGAACAAAAUGUAUCCGCUGUAUAUGCUCUUUAACACUUGAGCCUUUCCUCUUUCAAUAUUGAAUUCUUGCAAUGAGCGAUUGCUGCUUGAAUUGCUGCCUGCAGCUCCUCCAUUGUGCUAUCACUAUUAGUGGAAGGAGGAAGCGUUGUAGUUGUAAGGAGAACACCACUAUUGGUUGGAGAUGUUCUCAUGGAAACUGGCGCUGAGAAGAACUCGCCUCUUCUUCCUCUCGAUUCUCGCUUCUUUCUCAACCUUAAAUUACCUGAAAAUGAAUAAGACUGUCUGUGUAGUUGCAUAUCAUCUCUUCUCCCUCUCAGGGGUAGAAAUGGCCUCACCAUUCUUGCAUAUCUCUUCAGUACAUUGCUCAAAUUGAAUCCCAACUUCCUUUUCUCCUGUUCCACUUUAUUUUCUUGCUCUUCAACGUCAGACCUCUUUCUCCACCUUAAACCGAGCAAGGAGAAAGAUUUGGACUUAGGUUUUUCUCUUGUAUCAUUUGUGUUGUUUUGGCAGUGUUCAUUGCUCUUGCAAUUGAUGAAGCUGCUACUUUCUUUCUUGGGCUCCUUUUCACUUAUUAGGUCUCUAAUGGGAAGGGUAUAGCUUUCCAUGGAGUUGGUUGAGCAGCGAGGAGGAACUGGAAGAUGAGAGAGGAGGUGAAGAGGAAGCAAAUGGCCAUGGAAGAAGAUGUCAUCUGCUGGUGAUAAAUCAAUAGUGAAGGAAGGUGAGGUUUUGGCUUUGUCUGUGGAGGAAGUUUGAAGAGAAACUGAGAAGGAAAAUUCAUGAGAAGGAGAUGAAGAUGCUGAAUGAGGAGAAGAGGAAUUAGCGGGCAAUUGUUGCUUCUCCAAUUGCCUUUCUUUGUCUUCUAGAUGCUGAUGAAUGUCCAUAACCCAAACCAGAAAGGUUUUGCUGACAGACAAUUGAUUCUGAAUCUCAAAAUGCCACUUCAAGACUUCAGUUUUAAGGACAUUACCAUAGCUUUAUGAAGGGAUAAGAAGAUUAGAGGGUAGAAAAGGAGAUGAUGGGGGGGGUCUGGCCUUUUUGCCUCUCAGCACUUGCUUAAAUUAAAUUCUUAUUCUUCUUUUUUUUCCUUUUCUUUUUUGGGAGCAGCACGUGUCAAGGAUUGGUGGGUCCUUGUCAAAUCUUACAGCUAUUGAGAGUACAGAUUUGGGAAAGAAAAAUCCAACAAACACCCAAGAAAAUUUCCCACAAAAGCCCAAUAACCUUUACAAGGGGGUACUGUUUUUUGGUAUUUGUUGCAUCAUGGAUCUUACCUAGGAAAGUAUAUGACAUUAGUCAUUAAUUAAACCCCCUUUCUCAAGAGGAAACUUCGAAGAACUCAUCAUAUUCCAUUGCUUCUCUGUAGAUCCUUUUUCUUUUGUAUUCUAUAAGAUGCAUUGAAUGAGACUACCCAUAUAUCUAUAAUUGAUCAGUAUUUUGAAGCAAUUAGGGUCCCAACUUUGCAUGGAAACAAAAUACUUACAAUCUCUUAUCGAAUCAUGAUGACUGUAUGAUUUACAAAAAUUAGGUAAGGUUUUGACUUUUUAUUAACGCAAGUUAUUAAAUAAUUGAUUUGUGUGUUGAUGAUAUUAUGAUGUACUAAUUUAUAAUAUGUCUUUUUAAAUAGGAGAAAUUCAUAUGCCUUUGAUAAGUACCUCACUGAAAUCUCAAAAUGGUGUACUGUCAGACGCCAGUGACUUAAAAUUUAAAAAUAAUUGGACCGAAAGACUUAUUACACUUGUUUCACGCCUCACUUUUCAUCCAAAGUUUUAACGUAUUCUAUUUUAAUAGUAGUUCUGUUGCUUGGUAGGAGAAGAUUGGCAUGGAGGAAUGAGCUGGCUGGUUAGAGAUUUCAGAGGUAGUACAUUGCGAGAGGUUGCAGUUUUAUUUACUACAGAUACCCAGUAAAAGUACCGCUUGAAGCCAAAGUCGUCCUGGAAGGUUCAAGAGAGUUGGAGGCUCUUUUGGAAGGGUAGAAAUCUCCGAUCCUGGUGAUUUUGGUUGGAAUCAUUUACUCUUGAAGUUAAUCUUUUCAACAGUUUAGAUUCGGAACUUUCAAUAGUCUCUUUUUUCGUUGAAGAGUCACACACUCUCUUGCUUACUUGUGAAUUAUAUUAUUAUGGCUUUUGUCAAAAUUUCAAGAGAGGGAAACAAAGGUGUUAAUGAUCACAGCUUUGACUUUUUUUUCUUCAAUUGUUUCUUUGGUGUGGCUUCACUCUUGACUCUCGUUCAAUGAAAGGUCCUUUUAGCUGUCAUAGUUAAUGAGAAAUAAAAUCACUUUAGGUGUCAUCUAUACCCCAAACGAAAAAACAAGUUUGAUAUUUUUUAAAAAAAGAAAUUGAUCAUAUCCUUUUAUUUAUAGUUUAAAAGAACAGAAUGUAUAAUUAAUCUAAAAGUAUUUAGCAAAAUUAUUUUAACUUAAUUACUCAUUUAAGAACAGAACUGCGGGUGCUUCUAUAAUUACUUCAGCAAAGCAAUACCAGUGAAGAAGUUUUAUUAAAUAAAGCACUCCAGUCUUAUUUUCUUAAUGAAAAUAUUAGUUUAAAGAUAGGUUUUUUUUAAAAAAAAUUAACCAUCAUCUUUUAAAGACAUUUCAUAAAUGUUUCAUGAGAGACUAACUAGCAUAAUUUGACAGUAACUUGGAAUAUGAAUUAAGAUCAUCACAUCGUUGUAUUACAAGUUUUGAAAGAAUAAUGAUACUCUUAAACAAGCGAUGAAGAUGUUAUUUAAGUUACCUUUACAAAGAUAGAUUUCAUACAAAGUAGUUUGGGUUCCUUUUUCAAAUUCGUGUUAAAAAAAAUGGAGAGAUCGUAUUGAUAGAGGAAUUUAAUUAGAUGGUAGACCCAAACACACGUGUAGACCAUGAAUGUAUAGCAUGGAAUAGAGAGGAAGAAUUGUCUAUAUCUCAAUCAUAGAGGCAUUAUUUUUGGGUGGACUCACUUAUCCCAUCUUUCAAACACCAUAUUCUUUAUUUUCAAUGAGAGAUAGAUAAAGAAAGAUGCAACAAAUUUGGCAAAAAAAACAAAGAUUUCGUACUCAAAAACCCACAGUGAGAGUGAUGGGUCAUGUGGAGAAACCUUUUCCCCUUUUUCUGCUUUUCGCAUUAACCCCUCACCUCAAUUUCUAACCUUUUUCUUUUAAUCUAUUUCUUCAAUCGUAAGCCAAUUCCAUUCUCCAUGGCUAUACAAUAGCCAAUUCCAUUCUCCAUGGCUAUAAAAACAACAAAUUUUAAAAGUUUUUUUUUUUUUUAAUUAAAGGCAAUGAUAUAUAAAUGAUCCAGAAAGUUUGAUACAUGUAAUCACAACUUUUUCAGCAUACUCAUAUCUCCAAUCACAACUUUUAUUAAGAAAAUAGUAAUUAAAAAAGCGAUUUACAUCUAAGUAUUUUCAUUCGUUUUUCUUAGUUGUUUAUUCUUGUAAAUUUUUAUAUGUUUUGGGUUUUUCUUAUAUUUUCAUAAAAUUCAAUUGGGAAUAAAUGUGGGAGCCUAAUUGAAUAGUAGUAUUACAUCUUAAAACCUUUCUUUCAAGAUUAUUGUGCUGGAGCCUAAUUCAAUCGUAUUUGACAUAUAUUUAUAAUUUUUUUUUCAAAGAAAGAGGCUGUUUGUGAGAUAAUUAUGCUAAUAAGCAAUUAAAAUCCAUCACAUAAGAGGGAAAGUGGUGACUCUGAUUGAUAAUUUUAGUUCAUAAGCUUACCUCAUUCACUACAACAGACAAUCACUAUUACAAUGUGCUUUCAUUUUCUUCUUAGACACAGAUUGUACAAGACAGAGAUUGCAUUUUACUCAAAAACCAAGAUGAUAAAAGUAGUUGCAUUAUGUGCACUUCCCAUCAGGCUACCUCUUACCUGAAAUGAAUGACAGCAUUUGAUCAUUUUAGAGUGGCAGGAGAACAUGGUGUUAAACGUGUAUUAAAAGAACAGGAGGACCCCAGCCAAUAAGAGGGAGGCUGGGUCUUAAUAUUAUGUUUAAAAGUUCAUUAAAAUUGAAGCAAUUACAGAGGGGCAUUCAUCAAAAUAGAAGGAAGUGAUUUUGCUUUAACAUUACCUGAGUUGGGGAACAGAAAUGUCAAUCAUUUAGCUACUGUUAGAAUCGCUAUCUUCUCUGGAACUGUUGGUCCUGAGAAUGUGUACCUGAAAAGAAAGAAUGGGAAAAAUAUAUUAUAUCUGUGAAUUAGUCGACCCACGCGCUAAAUAUAUACAGAUCAAACUCGUGAUUAUAAUUUUUUGAAAAAAGACUGAUUUAGCCCAAUGAACAUUUUGAAAAUAUAGACUCAACAUUAACUAAAGUUAAUGAUAUAGGGACUAAAAGGAACCUAUUGAAAAUAUAGGAAUCAAAACGAAUCAAAGCAAAAAGCAAAAUAAACCUUUGAAAAAAAAUGGAAUAAUCAAAGAAACGACUUUUAAAACCAAAACGUGCAUGGAUUUGAUGAGCUUUCUUUGGGACUUAGUAACCAAUCUCCUUUUGUGAUGUAAUCUACCAAAAAAGCUUUUCAAAAUCAAAAAUUUUAAUUUAGGUAAAACAGGAAAAUGAGCUUUAGAAAAUGAGAUAGAUGAAUGGAGAACAACCACAACCUAAUUUUUAAAGAAGUGACAGUGAACAAAAGAACGUGCGUUUAUGCAUAGAAGGUAUGCACAGAUACGGCAGACGAUGAUUCAAAGGAUCAUGAAACCUACCUUGCAUGUUGUAGGUUUAAUGAAUUGAAAAAUUACAGCAUCCCCAUCUGCCAACUUAUGAGCGACUGCAAAACCCUUCCAUCCGCCACUAAGUCCUGUUUUUCGUGCUAAAUAUAUUGUCGGAUACUCAUCACCAUCUUCAUCUAUUAAAGUCAUUACUCCAUCACGAUUUGGAAGGCGAUUCUUGCAGAAAUGAGAAGGAAGACCCUGUGUUUACAAGUAUUUUUUUUUAUUAGAUGUUAUCUAACAGAAGAAGAAUCUUUACAGCCUUUUCAUAUUCAAAUACUCAAGCAAAACUUUAGAAAAUCUACCUUCUUCAUUGAUUUCAUAUCUUAGUAUCACACACUCAGUUCAACAAGAUUAACAGAGAGAGGGAGAGGGAGAAGAAGGUCAUACGCUUAACAAAUAGUCCUCACUAGCUUACCAGCCAGAAUCCACCACUAACAUGAGACUGAAGCAUUGACUUUAUAAAACUGGGAUAAUUCGGCUCCAACCCAGAUUGCAAUUGUUCAGCUCUUUCAAAAGCUUCUUUUCUUGCUUCGUCCGAAGCAUAAACUCGAUUUGAUAAAUCUCUAGCUUUAGAGAUCCUACAAUCCCCAAAAAAUGCACAUCAGUAACAACAAUACUAUUCAUUCAACGAUAUGAAAGUCAUUGAUUUUCAUUUAAAAUUCUUUAGAUACCUUCUAGGAAUCACCACGCGAUUAAUAAUAACCUGCCAGAUUAAUUAAACAGAAAUGAAAACCGAACUAAUGAAAAAUGGAUUUUGAGAACAUAAAUCUCUCUCCAGAGAAAGCAGCAGUAAACUGUAAUCCAUUAUCCAAGUGCGCAAUAUGAGACAAGAAUGACUCACUUCGGCGUAAACAGGAGCUGUCUGUUUAGCUACUCGACUGGAUCUCCUCACCACCACGAGUUCUUUCUGAGUCACGCGAGGCUUGGUGAGCUUACUCUGCGGAUUGGUCAAGUAGCAAAAUAAGCACAAUACAAGAAUCCAUUGAGAAUAAGAUCGUAAUAGGAGACAACGAAACAGAAAAAAACCAAAAAAACAAAGAAACAAUGAAUUACAGGUGAGGACUUGGAAGGGGAAGAAUCGAUGAGAGCUUGAGAAAGCAUGGGUAAAUUUAGGGCUUCCAUUCGCUUCUUGUUUUCUUCGAGUCUCUUGCGACGACAUUCCUCAUACGAGAGGUUUGCGAUCCCCAUAGUCUCUUCUUCCUCCUCCUCGGUUCGUAGGGUUUGGACUAUAUGCGAAAUGGAAACAGUGAGAUGAUGAAUAACAGAAACGACUGAAUUUUGUAUAUUUGGCGAAAUUUAUAUAAAUUAGUUUGAAGGAGUCGACCGUUAACUUCCCACUUUUUUGAAAAAAAAAACGAGCACUGAUUUUAAUUUAGGUUAAAAUUGGGGUCUCUUCGUAAAUAAUAAAAACAUCAGAAGCAUUUACAAAACAUAACGAAAAAACAAAAAAUUUCCCUUAAAAUUGUUAAAUUUUGAAUUUUUUUUUCCAUAUUUUAAGUUAAAGGAUUGCUUUGGUUCAAAUAAUUAAUUUUAGUGUAUGUAACUUUAAUUAUCUAAUUUUAAUUUACUUUUUUUUACUUGUAUCGAAACCGGUUAAAUAAUAAUAAUCAUAAUAAUAUUCAUGAAAUAAAAUAAUAUGUGGUUUUCAAACUUUAUAAUAAAGAUGUUCAUUGAUAAAAAAAUAUAUAUAAAAAACUAAUAAUCAAGUAGGAUGAAGACCUAAAUUUGAGCUUUAUCGAGAAUAUAUAAGGAACUUUUGCAAGAAUAAAAAAGAAAAAUUAUGAUAAUCUAUUUUCUAAAUUUGUAAAAAUAGUAAAUUUGAAAGUGAUCACGGUAUGAUUACCAUAUUAUAGUUUUUCGAUAGUCUUAUGAUUACUAUAUGAUAUAACUAAUUUUAUCAUUUUCGUAAUAUAAAAAAAAUGUUAUCAUGAGCUGCUUUUCUAUAAAUAUUUUUGUCAUUUUAUGCAAUUUCUCACUCUAUAAACUAAACUAAAGAAUUGAACCAACUUAAAAAAUGCCCAUGCAGACAUAAAUAGUAUGGUAGAAAAUCUUUAGAAUUUAGUUUGUUGUUUGUUAAUAUUAUUCCAAAUAAAUGUAGUUUUUAUUAGCAUUUCCUUUAUAAAAUGUGUAUGAAAAUAUACACCUAGUACUUCUUUUCCACUACGAAAAAUGUUAUUAAUAACCUAUUUUAACAAAUAACAACUUAAAAAACCUAAUUUAAGAUUUAUGGAGAGUAUACUAAGUAAAAUUGCUUGAAAGUACGAGUUAAAAUUAGAAUAGAAAUUGAAGUAAUCAAUGCUAUUUUAACCUUUAUUUAUUCAUCUAUUUUAUUGGUGUGUAUAAAAAAAAUAGCUCAAUUUUUUUGGGGCUAAAUUAUACAAAAUAACGAAGUACUGUUCAGAUUCAAAAUAAUAGAGCUAGCAUACUUUUAAAUUGCAAGGUAAAUACAUAGUAUAUAUGAAAUCUGUAAGACACUUUUCUAAAUACCCAAUGUGAAAGUCACAAUUGUAUGGAAUAAAUAAUAUAUGUGCUAAUUUGAUCGUUACAUAUCAAAUUAAAGCAUCAACAAUUACACAUACACACUACCCCAUAUGUCACCCUAAACAUAAUCAGUUCUAGUAAUUUGAAAUUACAAGAUAAUUAACACUCCAUAAAUUUAUGCUAAUUAGAACUAUUGGGACUCACCUAUCCACCGUUCACGUGUUUCAAAUAAAAUUACUUUUAGAAAUCUAUCCAAAUGUGCCCUUCGUUUUGGACUUUCUGGAGAGGAAUACAAAAUAUUACUCAAGAAACCAGUUUAAGAGCUAUUGUAACAAUGGCUUACACGGGGGCCAUCCCACUAGAAACCUUCAAGGCUUUUUCCCAAUGAAAAUCAGCAAAAUCUAUCAGAUAGCAAGUAGUCUACUAAGCUAAAACAAAAAAAAGGGUUUAACAAAAAAGAGAGAAGAAAAAUGUUAGGAACAAGGGAGACUUGAAUGCACACACCGCCCCCAAAUAUAAUUCAGCUGAUACAAGAUUGUACAAGACACAGAUUGCCUUUUACUCAAAAGAAAUUUGCAAAAAAGUAGUUGCAUUAUGUGCACAUCUUCCCCAAGCCUCUUCAAAUUAUCACCUGAAAUGAACUGGAGCAUUUUCAGAAUAACUUUAGAGUAGGAGAUCAUGAUCGUACACUAAGCACAAUCAUGCACCUGGAUAAAAACUGGAAGGUCAAAAGAGCUUCUUAACCAAUUAGAAUUUAAGAGUAUGCCAUAUGAUAUUUAACUAAGUUGUUUUGAAAAUUUAAAAAUAUUCAAAACAUUUUAUAAUGGUAUUCUUCAAGAAAAUUGCUUCACUUAAUUAGAAGCACCAACCCUGAAAUUCCAAACUUGUUUUGUGCAAUUUCAUGCGGGCUGAACGUAUACUGUAAAGAUAGAACUAAUAAUCUCAGAGCAUUUAGAGAAUUUAGAAUUAGUAAAAUUUUAUUUUAAGAUUACCUGACUUGGGAUAAGAAAGUAAAUCAUUUAGCUAUUGUUAGAAUCACUCUCUUCUUUGGAACCAUUCGCUCUAAAGAUGUACACCUGAAAGAAAUAAUAAGGGAAUUAAUAUUAUGUGAGUGAAUUCAUGCGAAAAAACAAAAACAAAACAAUUCCUAAAUAUCUGAAAGAGUAAGGGACCUUUUAUUAGUCUGUUUUCAAUCUUUAAACAUCUUUUUCUACAUGGUUGAUGGUAACACUCUCCUCUCUGUGUUGUAAGCCACAGCCAAAAUUAUCUUUAAAUCUUAAUCUUAGACAAAAUUCCAAAACUAAAAAUAGAUAAUGUUAUAUCUAGUAGCUAUAAGGGAGCAUGCAGAUUCUGCAAUCCAUGUUCAACUUGUUAUUAUGAUGUAGUCACAUUAUAAUAACUUGUCCAUACAUGAACACCAAUAUGUAGUGAUUGUUUCAGAAAACGUAUGCAGACAAGACAAAAGGUCGAAGAAUUUUGAAUCAAGUAAAGAGAUGAAGUGCAAUCACCUUGCAGGCUGUAGGUUUAAUGUGUUGAAAAACCACAGCAUCUCCAUCACUUAACUUAUGAGCAAUUGAAAAACCCUUCCAUCCACCACUAAAACCUGUUUUUCGUGCCAAAUAUAUUAUUGGAUACUCAUCACCAUCUUCAUCUAUUAAAGUCAUUACUCCAUCAUUCUUUGGAAGGUGCGUCUUGCAGAAAUGAGAAGGAAGGCCCUGUGUUCAAAAGCAUUCUUUUUCCAAUGAUUUAUGAUUUAAUGAACUAAUAUCACAUACAGUUCAACAAGUUAAUAGAUAAUCUUAAUAGAUAAUCUUUGCUAGCUUACCAGCCAGAAACAACCACUAACAUGAGACCGAACCAUCGACUUUAUACAGCUGGGAUAAUUCGGCUCCAAUCCAGAUUGUAACUCAAGAGCUCUUUCAAAGGCUUUUUUUCUUGCUUCAUCCGAAGCAUAAAACUGGGCUGAAAAAUCUCUUGCUCUGGAGAUCCUAUAAUCCCGAACAAAAGAAAGCUAGUAACAAUGCUAAACGAUCCAACUGUAUGACGAAUCUUUCAUCUUUUUUCCAAUCAGUUUUCAGUAGAAAUACCUUCUAGGAAUCGCCACACGAUCGACAAGAACCUGCCAGUUUAAUUGAAAAGAAAAGAAAGCAAAACCAAUGUAAAGGGAUUUUGUGGUCUAGAUUAUACGAUUCAAAACAAACAGCAGUAAACCCUAGUUCAUCGAUCUAAGUAGGUUUAGCAUAAUACUGAUGACUUACUUCAGCGUAAACAGGCGUUGGUUGCUUUGCUACGCGACUGGACCUCCUCACCACCACCAGUUGUUUCUGCAUCACGCGAGGCUUUGACCUGCUUACUCUACAAAUCGGUCAAAUAACGAAAUAAGCUCAAUGAUCCAUGGGAAAACAUGAAUGAGAAAAAAAGAAAAAAAGAAAAGGAAAUGGAAUUACAGGGGAGGAUUUGGAAGGGGAAGAAUCGAGGAGAGCUUGAGAAAGUAAGGGCAAAUUUAGGGCUUCCAUUCUCUUCUUGUUUUCUUCAACUCUUUUCUGACGACAUUCCUCGUAUGAGAGGUUUGAGAUUCCCAUGGUCUCUUCUUCUUCUUCUUCCUCGAUUCGUAGGUUUUGGCGAAUAGAAGAAAUGGUAAGAUUCAGUAUACUCGAGAAUUGGGGAAAUUUCAAUUUCGUACGAAAAUUGUCACAGUCGACCGUUAACUUCUCACUGUUUUGGAAAAAUAACUGGAGGGAAGUACUCAGAUUUGAACACCAUCUUUAUUUUAUUUGGUCUCUCAAAUUUCAUCAAUAACAUUUUUAAAAUUCCAUAGAGAUGUGAACCUUCAAAUGUCAUAAUAUUGUUCACUUAUCUACUUGUAGUUUUCCUCCUUUAAUAUAGUUUAAAGUUGUAGGCCUUUAUUGAGAAUGAAGAAAUCAUUCGAUCGUUCAUUGCUUAUAUACAACUUUUCUAAUCCUAUAUUUUUUCCUUGUUCAAUAUAAAAGGUUUCUCAUCCUUCAAUGUUAUUGGUCGAAAAGAAGAGAGAGAGAGUGUCGAGUCUUCUUUCUACACCAUCUAACUUAAAUUUUAUAAAUUUAAUUAUUUUUAAGUUUAUAUUCAUGUUUGAUUUUUCAAUUAAAUUUAUAUUUUAGUUCAAUCACAACAUGUGAAAUAAAUAUUCAAACUUUGAAUCUUUUGAUCAGUGACCUGGUCAUUUGAUAAUUGCUUGAAUUGGACAUGAAUGUUUUCUUAAUUGCUUGAAUUGGACAUGAAUGUUUUCUUUCUUUUAUAAUCUUUUAUAUAUUAAACUAAAUCUUCCAAUAAAUUUCAUUCCAACGAUAAUAAGUUAAUCUGAUAUGAUUUUGCAAUUCACGUGGUUAAAAUUCUUUGGUAAAACUUUUAACUCGAAUUCAAAAGUAAUAUAAGACAUAAUCGGUAAAACUUUUUAACUCAUACUUAAACUUACAACAAUAUAAAUACACAUUCAAACUUUGUUGACGAAUCAAAGAAGUGCAAAAAUUUCAACUCAACUCCGUUAAUAGUUUUUCAAGUGCUUCAGAUGGAAGCGGUAUAUACAAGCAAUCUUGACCAUCAGAAUGCCUUCUGGUCUUCACCAACUCGUGGUCUUUAAAUUCUGUCAAAUGAGAAUUCAGUGUUAUCUGGCUGCUAACUAGGAAGCGCUCCCGACAAAUUGCAUACAGCUUAUCGAUUGGCAUACCUGAAAAAGUUAAAAUGAUACCAUCAACAUUGUUCACACAAGUUACUUCGAUAUUCAAGUGUGUUAGUAACAGGUGAAUACUAUCAGAUUAACUUCAAUUCACCUUCUUCAUCAGGAUGAGAUAGCUGAUGUUCUAUAAGAACUUUGAAUACACUUUGUGCAUUGGGUGUCAAACUCUGUAAAACUAUUGUUGCAGUUUUUGCACUUUGAGCAGUACCACCAUGUGCAAGAAUCAAAGGGAAGAACAUUCCUUCAAUCUUGUAAGGGGCAAAUGUUGGAACAUGAUACCACAACCAGUUAAACUGUGUGUGAACCAUCUUCUUGUCCCACACUGGAGAAAGCAGAAUACAUGAUUCAGUGAGAUCAAAAUCAAUGAAAUAUUGCAAUUUGCUAUGCUUCGUACAACAUAUUCUUGCAGUACUAGAUGACCUCACAACAUUACAUGAAAGAGAUGAAAAUCUAAUUUCUAUAUUGAUAAUUCGCCUUUAUGUAUUUCAUUGCAUUAAACCACCAAUUCAUCCAAAAGCUUAAGCUAGUGGUUGAAGGCAAAUUUAAUUAUAUAUCACCAACACAUUGUCUAGAAGUUAUGAUUACAGUAACAACCCCUGUUUCAUUUCUUUGAAUUCCUGGUAACAUCUUGAGAAUCCAAGCAUAGUAACUUCACUUGCAAGUUGCAACAAAAUUCAAUGCCUUGCUAACUUGAACACAAUUCAACUAAUUUAGGCAUAUACUCUUAAUAUAAGAAGUCAGAGGUUUGAAUACUCCAAUCCCACUGUUGAACUCAAAAUCCAGUGUCUGUAUAUAGAAAGCAAGAUCAUGCCAUUUUCCUAUGUAACAAAAUUGCACUUACACGGAUAGCAUCACGAAAUAGAGACAUAGGUCUGAUGUUUGAAACGCAUAAUUCAUAUAGACAUUGAUAAAUGGAAAAUGCAUAUGCUUACAAAGAGGUGCAUUCACGUGGUCAACGGAGGCAAUAAUUCGAACAUGGGAACAAGCAGCAACUCGUGCAAGAUACUCUUGUGUUUCAGAAUCUCUUAACCCAGGCCCAUCAAUGUUGUGUAUCACAACACAAACAAAACAAUCCUUGUCUUCCUCAUUUGAUCCAUUCAGAAAUACAAACAGAUCAUCCAUGGAUCGCGAACUAAAUGUCUGAUGAACAUUGCUCCCUGAUGCAUUUUUGGGUCGUGAUUUCAACUGAUCCGACAACUCUUCAGCUAUGGCUAUUAUAACCUACACAAAAAAUGACAAUACUUUAGUGACACAAAAAUAAACUCAGUAUGUCUGAUUGUGGAUAGCCAUUAGCUAAACUGUACCUGUUUAAUAUUCACUGAUUGAAGAUAGCCAUUAACAACAAUUACAGAAUAAUCCAUCAAUGCCGUCGAAGCAAAAUCUUCAAUCAAAGACUUCUUAGACCCAAAUCCAUACAUUAGAAGGCCAAAACCACAUCUGAACCACAGGAAAGAGAAACCUUAAGCGAAUUUACAAAAGAAACGGAACAAGUGACCGUAAAAGAAAUUAAAUGAACUUAGAUAGCAAUUUAAAUAAUUUCAAAUCCGGAAGUAAUUUGUAAAAGUUCCAACCAGAUAGCUUCAAUCCAACAACACUACAGUUCAACUAUCAUGGCACACCUGAGCUCAAAUACCCAUUUCGCGUACGAACUCUUGUAGCUGGAUAUCAGGGCCGCAAUUUCUCUCUCGUGCUUUGGUUCAGUAUUCGCUGCCGCCGCCCUCAAUUCCUGAUCAUUAAUUUAUUCUAAAUCAUUUUCAUUAAACUAAAAAAAAAUCAAAGUAUUUUAACUUGGUUACGCACCUGUUCGUCGACAACGUCGAUGUCGGCAAGUUUCCCAGAAGAUUUCUUUUUGGAGCCGCCCAAUUCCUUAGCCAAAAAAUAGUUCCUUGAAAAUGCAAACUCCUCGUCGUCCAGAUCAUCCACCUCCAUGAUAACGAUAAACAGUAACGAAGAAUUGAGACCCAAUCGAUUAUAGUUACUUCAAGAAGCGGAUAAAUGGCUGUAAUGGAGCGAACCCUAGAGAAAGCACUCUUUCUUUUUCCCGCCAUUUUUAGACUUGAACCAACGUGCAUCGAUCGGGCUCAAAGUCCGCCCAAUUGAGCUAUACCCGUUUACCCGAUGGCUCAGUUGACUUAAUGAGCCCAACUACAACCGUAAAGCCCACACAAGUCAUGAGAUUCUUAGGUAAGGUUAAUUAUAAUUGUUAUAAAUUUUUUAAAUAAUAACGGAGUAUAUAUCCAUAUUUUUAAAAAUUACAGAUAUAGUAGAAUUUAUUGAUUAUAUACUUUUAUCUAAUAGAUAUAUUUGCAACACUUAUAAAUUUUUAUGAUUGAUAAAUUUUGACCAAUUUUGUUAUAUUUGUAUAUUGUUUUAAAUAUUGUUAUAUACUUAAUUAUUUUAAGUAUAAUUGUUAUAUUUAAAACUAUCUCAAUUUUAAAUUAAAAAGAAAAAGGAAAAGAGAAAUAAAGAUAAAAUUCUAAUCUACUUUAUUACCUAAGUAGUGGAAAAACAAAAGGUUUGUUUUGUUUGUGAGAGAAUUUGAAAACAAGAAUUGAAAAUAAGGAACUAAAUCAAAAUUAUAUCUCAUGUUAUGAGAGACGUGUUUGGUAGUAGAAUACAAAACUAGCUCAAUUUUAUUAAAACGGUUGUAAAUUAGUUGUAGUUUCUAUUGAAUAUUAAUUGAUGAUAAAUUAAUCUAUUAUUUUAAUUUUAAUUCAUUGGAUGGAAAUAAUAUUAUGCUAAAUUGUUGAAAACAAACUAAAAACAUACAAAUCAUUAUCAAACCAGAUGUGCAUUCUCAAAUUAUAUAUCAAAUAAUGGAGCUUUAAAUGAUUUAUUCGGGACAAUAUUUCGUAAUAUUCAUAACAAACUCGUUAAUUUAGAAGGAAACGGUAUAAAGUAUGUCAAACAAAACAAAAUACAAAAGUUAGAUCUCAUUGAAUGCGUUUUUAUUUUAUUAUUAGUUUCAUUUUUUAUUUUUCAAUUAAUAGAGUAACUCUUGAUACAACGUUUGAACUUUUUUUUUUUUGUUGCUUAAUUUGGUUUUUAUAACACUUUGGAUAAUAAAACAAAUAAUUUCAAGUUAGAAUGACGAUAGGAUAUAUACAACACUUUUAAAUUUGUAAAAAUGACAAAAUUUAAGUCGAAACUCACAUUUGAAAAAUGCAAAAUGACAAACUUACCCUGUAUGUUUUAUACCAUUGAUGUACUAUUGGUACACUUUCUAUAUCUGCUGAUACAUUUGAUUGAUUAAAUACACUUGACGUAAUCGAGGUUCUGCUAAUACACUUAAUAUACUUAAUUGGUACACUUUGAUAAAUAUUACAUGUUUGAUACACUAAGUUAUGCAAUCCAUAUACUUAAUAAUAUUACAACAAAUUGCAUAAAAUUUUUAAAAAAUGAAAAUCAUGUAACAUAUAUAUCAACCAAUUAAUACAUAUAAUAUAAGUACAUCAGAACACUGUUAUACAAAACUACAGGAUGGAAGAAGAAAUAUGAAAUGAUUAUAAAAUUAGUUAUUAAAGAGUAAUUUGGAAAUAAUAAUAAAUAAAGGUAUUUUAAAAUGUGAGUAUUUGGUGUUAUUGGAAAGCAACCAUUUGAAAGAAUUUUGAAGAAAAACUGAAAUUCAACAAGAAAAAAGAAAAGAAAACGAUGAUCGAAAAUGUGAAGAAAAAAUAAGAAGGAAAUGAAGAUGCGAAAAACGGAGAUUAAACGGUAGCGUUUUUAAUUUUCAAGAGUAACCUACAAAGACAAACCAACCGGGAAAUGAUGUUUGUGAAACAAACAUUUUUUUAAUUAUUGGAUUAAUUUUCCACGAUGGAUACAAAUAUGAUAUGGAGAUUUAUAAGAGGAAGCAUUAAAGGAAGAUGACCAAUAGAUAGAAGAGUGUGUGGGGCAGUUUGAAAAUAAAAAAGAUCUAAAACAUUAUUUUAGGGAUUGAAAAUUACCAUAUUAAUGCCAUAAUUGUUAAAGUCUAUUGCUACCAUACAAUUUCCGUAUAUAUUAAAUAAAGGUGAAGAAGAGGUCAAGUUUGGUAAUAAGUUAAAAGUGAAAAGCUGAGAGAUAUGGGGUUGGGUUCGUAAUUAAAUAACCACUAAACAAUAAUAACAAAGUGGAUAAUCAUUUUCAAUCAAGUCUUUAAGAAAACGAGAUUAUAAUUUAAUUCAUCUCUCUUUUUCCUUUUUCUUUUUCUUUUUCAUUUUUUUUGUUAAUGCCCAAAAAAGAAACAGCGCCACAGUUGGUUAACCAUUUAACCAUCGAUCGAAGAAAAGCUUUGUUGCUCCGGCGCAUUUUAACGAAUUGUCGGCGACGGACGGCUGAGUGAAAUUUCUCAGAUAACUUACAUAACCUCCGGUUCACGUUAUCUCCUCCUCCGGUGUCGCAAACGUCGUCGGGUUCUUUGUCCGAUUGCAUUGUUUUAAUCGCCAACAGGCGGCAAAGCGGCAGCAAGAAUCGGCGCGCAAUAGCGCGGAAAAUCUUGACCAAAUUCAAUAAUUAUAUUAGUUAGCUGUGUGUUAUCAGGAAAACAAAUAUAAUUUUCAGCACUAUUCCGCUUUUUCGAAAAAGUAAUUUGGGGAUUUGGUGUGAGGAUCCAUCGGAUCGAUCUGCUUCGAGGGUAAGAAAGAUUGGGGAGGAGAGGCGGUGAAAAUUUGCUUCCAUUUCGUUUUUUUUUUUUUUUUUUUUUGUGUGUGUGUUGUAUUGAUAUUCAGAGAGGAGAUAUGGUGGUGGGAUGAAGGUGAAGAAGAAGGGAUAUGGCGAGGGUAGAGUGGGGUUAUCAAGGAAGAGGUAAAUGGACGUGUUCGUACAAGAAAACCACUGUCAUCAUUUGUUCUAUCAACAUUAUCGUUGCUCUCUAUGUUUUUCGAUCUCUAUAUGCCUCCCUCUACCUCUAUUCGGAUAAUGAUUCACCAAGUGGUUAGUGCCUGAGUUAGUUGCAUUUCCUUUUUGUGUUGUUGAUUCGCGUUUGAUAUGCGAAUUAUUGAAAAAUUCUGUUUUAUAUCUUUGCGUCUUUUUUCGACAUUAUGAUUCCUUUCAUUCUUGAUUUGGUCGUAUGCAUUUAUUCUGUUUAUUUUUCUUCUUCUGAGCUAGUUGUAAAGUACACUCCGGAUCAGAUUAGGAAAAUGGAAGAGUUUGUUCGGGUUCGUAGGGCCUCUGAGCCGGUAGAACUCAUUAAAUUGGUAAGACCCAGACUUGCUUUCAGGGAUUUGUUUGUUCAAUGUGCUGUGCGACAGAUCUGUUUGAGGAGAAAGAUUUCUGGUUUAAUCACCGAUUCUAGGCAUUUCGUCUUUAAAUUUGUUUAUUGAAGAUUAUUCUUUUGGUGUAAAGGUCAAGGAGCUUAAAGAAUUCUCCCAAGAACAGACGGUUGAUGAAUUACCUCUUCCAUUGAAACAGAAGAUAACCGAGGAAAUUCUUCUGAAGUUGAGAAGCUUGAACGGUAGCUCAAAUAGUACUCAGCAGAGAGGUCAGUACAAUCUUAUGAUUUCCCUGCUUUAGUUAUCACAUUGUCAUACCUUAUUCCUCAACCAUCAUAAUUAUCGUCUAGUUAACAUCUAACCAUCCUUCUCCCCUGGUUUCUGUUUCCAAGGAUUCUCUUGAUUAGAGAGCAAAGAUAAUGGGUAGGAAUUACUCUAAGCAUCCGUAUAUGUUAAACUUUCACUUGGACUUCAAUGGAUCAUGGAUUAAGUGUUUUUCUAUUUGUCUUUUCACAAAAGGAGCUUGAUUUUGAUAUACUGAUAACCAAGUUUGCAAGUACUGUCACUUUAGGCCAUGCCUGAGGCAUUCUGUAUCAUGGUUAUCAUAUUUCAGGCAUGUGUUUGAAUCUCAUUCUCUUGUACCAGGUUUAGGGCUAGGAGAUGCAAUUUAUUUUACCAGGUGACUUGAGUGUAUGGCAGUUUGACCUUGAGUUGGAACCAAGCUGCAUCACUUCAGAGAGACAUAGAAUUCAUAGUUUAUUUUUUUUAUAACUGUGUAUUGAUAUCUAAAAUUCGUAAAACAAGUUGGCUAGUAACACAUUUGCAGUUCGCUUUGGCAUGAAGUUGCCAUUGUUCUAACACUGUUACUUGUGGAAUUAAAUAUAGAUAUACUAGAUUUAUUAUUAGUUACAAAUUGCAGCACUUCACAUACCAUGUAAAAUGCUACGUAAUAUGAUCAUUGUCUUUGAAGUUCAUAGUGCAUACAACCAACUUCAUUCAGAUCAACCUUAAGUUAUUCAUGUCACGAUUUUGCUAUUCCAUUUCACUUCUUUACUACCUCCAUGAAGGAGUCAUCUUUUCUUGACUAUAUCUUUUAACUCAAACAACACAGUUGAACACCCUGUAUUGGAAAUUCUGUCCAAUUAUGGUUGUGUUUUCUCAACUUGGCGGUUCCUUUUUAGUAAAAUAUCUCUUUAGUUUGUUGAUAACUUAAAAUCCUCUGAAAGAAGCAAAAACCUAUACUUUCAUUGGAUGAACGGAAAUACAAAAGGAGACAGAACUCCUCAAUCUAGCCAGCCUAGGAAUUACUAAAGAGCUCUCCAGUUGGCCCUCGAUCAUAGAUAUCUAAUGACUACAAAAGAACUUUUAGAAAUUCUGAAGUGAGAAAAAAGAAGCAGAGAAAUGAGGUCCCCGUUCUUCAUCAGAAGAAACCUCUUCUCCAUUUAAAGUGCUACUGUUCCUUUUCAACCAGGUUUCACUAUAUAUGGCCGUUAGGAUCAUUUAUCCAUAAAAUCAUGUUCCUCUCUCUAAGAGAGUGACACAAUAAUUGAUAAAUGAAUUCCCCUUUAAAUUUCCAACCUCUGGGAUUUUGAUGACUAAGCAGUUGAAGAAGCCUCCUAAAUAAAAUGCAAACUAAUACUCUGAAAAGAAGCUAUAAAUCUUUUAGAAAACCAGUUUUUUCCCUCUUUUUAUUCUAAUGCUAGAAGUAGUUCAUUAUUCAAAUAGGAAAACUGGAUCAUCAUUCCCUUAUGUAUUCAAUUCUUUCUUUUUUCGCUUUGGGGGGGGGGGGGGGGGGGGGGGGGGUUGGGGCGAAGAGACGGGUGGUUCUGUUAAUUAAAUUUAACUUACAGGUCAUACUGAAUGGCGCCCAUCUAGAAACAUACAAUGACAAUUCCUAUAUUAUAAGCUUAUAACAAUGACAACCAACAACAACAACAAUUCUUUACAAAAAAAAAAAAACAAUAGUAACAAUGAGACAAACAAGAGGGGGAUGGCAUGUUUUAUGCUAAUGGGGUACUGUUAGCAUCUUAUUUAUAUUAAUUACCCUGUUGGUAUCAUCAAUUUAGUCAUUACUGACCGAUAUGUCUAAGAAUGCCUCUGCUAUCUUCAUAUACAUUAAAUUAUGGCUGAAUAGUCUAUACGCUGCUCUUGCAGCAAUAUUUAAUCGUUGGCAUAUUCCUUCGUUGAAGUUUUAGGGUAGCUCAUAUGUGCAAUUUAUUGUAUUGCUUUCGUUAUAAUCUUCCUCUUCUUAUAUGAUCAGAAGCAGUAGAAAUCUGGAGAAAGGAAAAAUUGGAAGAAGCAAAUAAGUUGAUCACAGAGCAAAUGCUUGAAAAUUCAACUCUUUCUUUUGAAGAUGCUGGUAUGGAAUUUUAGAGUGUAUUUUGCUUUUGUUUUCUUGCAGUAUUGUGCUAGAAAAUCAUGCCUAUUAUGCUGUAUCUUAGUUUCCUUUUUUUUCCUCUUCUGGCAGGGACUCUAGUAAAAGCCUUGGAGGCUGAUUGGCAAGUGUUUUCUGAAGCAAUUGGUCUAUGGAUACCUACAGAGGUUGUGCACACGGAACAUGAUGAUAAGCCUGAGGGUGUAGAUGAAUUCGGUAAUUUUUUGCAACUCUUAAGAGUAACAUUCUAUGCACCCGAUGAUUUAAUUUCUUCUAGUGAAAUAUCAGUUUAUAUGACACUAAGGUUUUCGUUCCCCCUCCCUAUGUAGAUGAUGAGAUUUUACCCGGCAGACCAGUUCCUCCUGAAUGUAAUGCUGAGCUCCAUACAGAUUACGAUGGUGCCGCGGUAAGAUGGGGUCUAACUCAUCAUAAAGAAAGCGCAGCUGAUUGCUGCCAGGCUUGCUUGGAUCAUGCAAAACGUGCACAACCAGGUGACAGGAAAUGCAACAUCUGGGUUUACUGUCCAUCUGAGACUGGAUGCCACUCUCCUGAUAUUUACGAACAUAAGCAUAUGGAAUGCUGGCUGAAAUAUGUAAGAACCAAACUGAUUUCGUGGUUGUUAAUCCCUUUCGUAGGCUCACUUGAAUCUAACUUUUCUCAACUUCAAAUCCAAAUGCAGGCAGAAAAUCCCAAACUGAAUUUCAAAACCAACUAUCCACAGUCUUAUAGAAACUCACACCCGACUGCGCCAUUUGUUGUCCCUUGGGUCUCUGGUGUUGUCAGUGCGUAAAUGUACAACAAAUCAGGCAAGGAAUUUCCACUAAAAUGUUGAUUUCUGUUGUCCACAGAGUUGCAUGAAUUAAAAUUUUGAGGGUGUUAGGUGUUUAGGGGACUAGCAUUUGAUUGAAGGUCUGUUUGAAUCAUAACUGUCUUACUCUCAUGUAAGAUGUAAUACGGAUUGGCAAUCCUGGUGUCUAUGACUUCAGAUUGACAAGUCUGGCGCUGAGAUGAGAUAGAGAACUUAGAAGUAACGUGAAAAAGAAGGGCUAUUUUGUUGACUAUUAACUUUGGAAAUUUUAUUCAUUACGCUCAGGAUGUCAGUUUCUGAGCUCUGAGCUUACUCUCUCCCUCCCUCUCUCUCUCUCUUGCCUUCCUAUGAAGAACUUUUGUGAGUUUUUGGAGAUAAAUAACCAACUACUUCAAGUUUACUUUGAAUGAGUACUCCUAUGAGCACAAUACUUUUUAUUUAUUUAUUUAUGUAUUUUGAAAUAGCACAAUAGCUUGUUUAAACAUUUAAAAUGUUAUUUUUACAAUAGUAUUUUAAGGCUCUAAGUUUGUGAAUGAUCAAAGUUUAUAUGGUUGCAUGUUUAUUUGGGAGUACGUAACAUCGAACACACAAGUUAAUAAUGAAUUGUUUUUCCAGAGGGUUAAAAGACACUGAUAUUUUCUCUUCUAUCUAAUAACUUUAGAGCGCUUCAAUCCAAUGAUGAAUAUAAGUAAUUGAAAAAAAGGUAUAAUGUUGCAUACUACUUUCUUUUCUUUAAGAACAUUGCAUGCUUUAUUUAUUUAGAGAUGUUAUUACAAAUUAGAGAAAAUAUUAUAUUUGUACAAACCAAUUUUUACGACUAUAUUAUUAUUUUCAAUAUUAUACUCAUUACAAUGACUUGUUUUUAAAAGAUGCCAUUUAACUUACUAUUUUUAUUUUCAACAUUAUACUCAUUACAAUGACUUGUUUUUAAAAGUUGUCAUUUAAUUUACUAUUUUUAUUUCGUUACUUUUAAUGAUAUAAUUUAUCACUUAUAUUUUGAGAAUUAAAUCUAAAUUUUAUUAUUUCACAGAGUUUUACUAUUUUGCUAUACUUUAAAUAUAAUUGUUAUAUAAAAUUUGAGUAAAAUUUGAGUAAAAUUUGAGAAAAUGGACGAAUGACCAAUUUGAUACUAUCUAAAUUUUAAUAAUGGACACAAAUACUUGUAAUUAUGCUUUUGAAAAAGAAAACUAAUAAUCUAAAAAAAGCUCCAACAAACUUGACAAACCAAAACCUAACAUUAAUUCAAACAAACAAGACUUAUGAAGAGAUGCAAAAUCUUAAAAGAUAUAUACAUAAUUAAAAAUUAAUGUUGAAAAGUAGAAAAAUUAGACUUUAAUUGUGAUCCAAAAAAUAACAUUAAUCAUCAAAUUUAUACCCGAAAUAAGCAAAUAUCUAAUAUAUAUAUAUAUAUAUAUAUAUAUCUUAUAUUUAAAAUAGGUAUCAAAUACCUUCUUCUACCUAUCAAAGUCUAAUUUGAAUCGAAGGAGCCUAAAGUUAUUCAAUAUAACCAAACCCAUCCUUCAUCAGCCCGCCUGCCCAAUCUAACGGCCCAAACGCACUUGAUCUAAAAGAGUAAAUAAAAAGAAGAAAAAAAUAUAUAUAAUCCCCCGCCUUCUGCGUCUCCAUUUUCCGUUGCGUCCUACCAUCCCGCCGCCGCGUUCUCCACCUUGCUCAGCACCGCAAACCUUCUCUGCCGAUCUUCUUCCCUCCGUUGGUAUAAGGUAUUUUCUAUAUUACAUAUAUAUCUUUUGAGUUUCGAUACUUACAAUGGAAGAACGUCUGUAAGCUCAAACGAACGGGAAGAUCGGUUCGAUUUGAGAAUCGAUUUUUCCUAAUCAAGGAGUUCAGAUAUUCCUUUGAUUGUUCAUUCUUAAGAUCAUUAUUUUGAUUAUCAGUUUCGCCAAAAACCAUAGAACCAAGAGACUUUUUAUGUUAUGGAAGAUUUGAGUUGAACAUUAUGCUAGUUUAAAAUUGAACAACUUUGGGUCUUUAGUGUUUCGUAGAGAUUGAAAUUGCUGAUAGCCCAGUAGUCUAAGAAAAGUACGCUACCUAGGAGAACAAAUUAAAAGGUAACUUUCCCACAACACCUUAAUAUCUUAUACCUAUGGAAUUUUACUAACUAUUUCAUUUGCUCAACGAAUUUGAUAUCAUUUUUUUCAUUAAGCUCGAAAUUGGAACUUUCAACAUCUAUACUGUUUACCCCUUUUCAAUAGGCUCUUGCACUGUAAUGAGCUAAUAAUUUCCGUUGCAUAUAUCUCAAGGUUGUUGGAAAUUGAACCCAUAAUACAAUGAAUUCAAUCAGUGGCUCCAUUGGUGAAACUUACUAUGAUGUACUGUCUUUAAGAGAAGAUGCUAGCUUUGACGAAAUUCGAGCCAGCUAUCGGUCGGCUCUCCUUAAUUUCCACCCUGAUAAAUUACAAGCCAUGUGCCAUAAAUCUCAUCCAGACGACAUCAUGGGGGAAAGAUACUUCAAGGUGCAGAAGGCUUGGGAAGUUCUCGGCAGCUCGAAAUCCCGUGCAUCUUAUGACAGAGAGCUCCAAGCUGCCAAAGGGGAUGCAAUUGGUGCAGAGAGCAUAAGCUUAGAGGAUAUGGUUGUGGAAGAUAAAGGUGAAGUUGUAGAACUUCUUUAUCAGUGCCGUUGUGGGGAUUACUUCUUUAUUGAUUCCGGGGAGUUGGAUGAAAUGGGAUAUCCAUUGUUGAGGAAUGGUAGUAAGGUUUCUUUAAGGACUCUAAAUGCUUUGCCUGCUUCUGUUGUUUUACCCUGUGGUUCUUGCUCUUUGAAGGUUCGUUUGCUAAUUGAUUCGAAUUGACUGUUGAAUUUGAAUGAUCGAAAUCACAACGAUUUCUCUUAAUAUCCUUGCCACUUGUUUAAAUUGAGAGAGUUUAUGAGAAUUUUGUGCUCUUCGGUAGAGUUUACGUGGGUUUUCUUUAAUGCAACUUUGUUGAGUGAAGUUCAACAAUUUUCCUAGGCUGUUUGGUUCAACUUUGUACAUGUGGAUUGUGGGGGUUACUAAUCGGCAUCUGAAAGGCAUCAGCUUGAAGACUUCGUCGUGUACUGAAUUGUCAAAAUUUGAGAGAACAACCAGAGUGUACACCAAGAGAUGGGGGGAAAUCCAUGGUAGUUUCCUUCUCUAAAAAUGACUGCUGGGUAAGAUACAUUGUUAUUUCCUUCCUUCCCCUCGCAGGCUCUCUUGUAAAACCAAAGACGCCCGAAAACGAAGUACAACUGGAGGAGGAAUUAAUAAACAAGUCUGGCAAGGGGAAUACUGACUGAACUAUUUUAGAAUAGGUUUAGUUAAUUUUUGAGGUAGCGUAUUUGCUAAAUGAUCAAUUUGUUAAUGACGACCUUUCUAGAAAACUUGUGGCAAACUGCCUAAGAAAAUUCCCAAACUGGUGAUUUGCUCCCUUGGAUUGCUGCUUUUUUUUUUUUUCUGUAAAGGGGAUGAUUCCUUGAUAAUUUUCUACUUCACUGACCCUUUUGCCUUUGGUGGUAAUCUUUCAUGCCCCCCUAGAUGGGUUAAGAAUUGGCUAAAGGAGGCCUUAGGAGGUUGGUGUCUUGAAAGCGAGAUGAAGAUUCCCAUCGGAUGUAAGGGUAGUAAAAUGAUUAUUUUUGUUGAAGUUUGCAGGAUAACGUCUCGUGUUGGUGUUCUAGGCAUACAAAGUUCAUUAGUAAUUGUAAUAUAAUGACCAAUCUUUAAUCUUUCUUCUUAUGAUCUUUUACAAUUGAAAAAUCGUGGUUUUCUUCACUCUCAACUUCUAAGUUAUUACAAAGGGUUUUAAUUUUUUUUUUAUAUGUUGAUAUUUUCAUGUCCGAGGGUCUGAGUUUGACAUCAACACGAGUGAAAACAUUAAUAAUGUAGAUGAAAAAAUGAAAAUUAAACUACAAGCAUUUCAACUAUUCUAAAAGGUUGAAAAAUGUUUAAUAUAUUAAUUUUAAAAAAAUAUCAUCAAUGUCAAAAUUUUAUCAUUAUUUUCAACAUUUUUCGUAAAUUUAAAAUAUCGAUAGUUUUGUAUCAUAAAUUUAAAAUAUCAAUAGUUUUGUGGACAGUGUAGAAAUAGCAGGCACCAACGUAUUGGAAUACUCAAACCCUCAUCAACUUUGUACUCGUUAUAUAUAUAUAAACUAGAUUAUAUUGAUAUCAUUAUUUGACAUAAUGGCAAAAGUCUUCUAGUCCUCUCUAGACCUAAGUUGAAAUUUCACUCUUCACUUUUUUGUUUUUAGAUUAUUUUUAUUGAAUUAUAAAACCUACAUUUAACAAAAAAAAUUUGUAUUCAUCAGUUAGAGUAGGUAUCUACCUACGAAUAAAAUGGACAAGAUAAUGAAAGACCACUAGUAAUGUACUAAUUAAAAAAA
rnacentral:lncRNA from 1 species